rnacentral:lncRNA from 1 species
AUAGACCUCCUCUUCCAGAAUACCAUGAAGGAACGCAUUCUGAACAUCUAGCUGUCUCAAGUCCCAUCCCAUAGAUACAACAAUAGCAAGAACAAGUCUAAUAGUAGCAGCUUUAACAACAGGACUAAAAGUAUCCUCAUAAUCUAUACCAUAUCUCUGUUUAAAUCCUUUUGCUACCAAACGUGCCUUGUACCUGUCUAUUGUGCCAUCAGCUUUUCUUUUGAUUCUAUAAACCCAUUUGCAGUCAAUUAUGUUUUUACCUUGACUUGCAGGAACAAGAUGCCAUGUCUCAUUUUUCAUGAGAGCAUCAUACUCUUCAUUCAUCGCUUUCUUCCAGUUCUUGUCAUCUAAGGUGUCUUGAAGAUCGCUUGGUUCACCUGUGACACAUAGCAUACCAUACAAAAUAGUUCCAUCUUUUCGAAUUCUAGGAAACCUUUUACCAUGUUGGAGUCUGGUGCGCCUUGCCACAGGUUGAUCAGCAGGUUGACCAGCCGCAGAUGAUCCAAAAGAGUGUGUGCUGGUUGGUGAAGAUUCUGCUGGUGCAGAAGAUCCCUGCACGCGAGCCUCCUCCUGACUCGGCUUGCCCCUCGAGGCAGAUUCUCCUGGCGACGCGGUUUGCCCACGUGGGGCCACGCGGGAAGACACACGCGACGAGGCAGAUUCGCCUGCCGAUGAUCCAGACGCGCUUUGGGCAGGCGCAUGAUCCGAGGAAGAUUGCUCUGCCGGAUCCUCCUCGCUUUCCAUGUCGGUUGCCUGCGGAUAAUUCCCAGCGCUGUUUUGGCUGGGAUCUGCAUCAUCUUCAUCCGGAUUUUCUCCUUGAUUUUCUCCACGGUUCUGCACACAAGUAGAAGCAGGACUAUGCAUAUGAUCAAUACAUGUUAUGCCCCCUUGAUUAGAUGCCGAUUUUGGGUGGAGAUUCUCGGGAAGGAGAAGAACUUCUUUGCGAAAAAGAGCUCCGGCAUUUGGGUGUAGCUCCUGAAAGGGAAAGACAGAUUCGUCGAACACCACGUCAUGAGAGAUGUAAACGUGACCUAUGGCAACAUCAAGGCACUUGACACCUUUAUGCAAAGGACUAUAGCCUAGGAACACACAUCGCUUAGACCGAAACGCAAGUUUGCGUGUGUUGUAUGGUCGAAGAUUUGGCCAGCAAGCACAACCAAACACACGAAGAUUUUCAUAGUGUGGUGUCAUGUUGAGGAGUCGCUUGGUUGGUGUGUCAAAAUUGAUGACUUUGCUUGGUAGGAGAUUAAUGAGAUAUGUAGCAGUGAGAAAGGCAUCAUCCCAAAAUUUUAAUGGCAUGGAUGCAUGUGCUAACAAAGAUAGACCAACGUCAACAAUGUGUCUAUGUUUGCGCUCGGCGGAGCCGUUCUGUUGAUGCGCAUGAGGACAUGACACAUGAUGUGAGAUGCCAAGAGUUUGAAACAAAGAAUUCAAUUUCUCAUAUUCUCCUCCCCAAUCAGUUUGCAUGGCAAUGAUUUUUCUAUCAAAUUUCCGUUCAACAAAGUUCUUGAAAUUAUGAAAGACUGAAAAUACAUCAGAUUUCUUUUUAAGGAGAUAUAUCCAUGUGAAUUUGCUAAAGUCAUCGAUAAAGCUCACAUAAUAUAAGUGUCUUCUAACAGAAGAUGGUGCAGGACCCCAUACAUCAGAAAACACAAGUUGCAAAGGAGUGGUAGAGAUACUAGUAGAAACUGGAUAUGGUAAUUGAUGACUUGUAGCACACUGACAUGCAUCACAAACGGAUUCAGGACUAUGAUCCUUGACAAACGAAAGUUUAUUAUUGCUAAGAAUUUUUUGAACUACGGAAAAAGAUGGAUGACCAAGACGACUAUGCCAUUUGGCGGUAGAAACUUUUGUGGUGACAUGGGCUUGCUUGCUAGCUCGAGACGACGAUGAUGACUUCAAGGGAUAGAGUCCACCACGGCUGGGUCCGCUAAGAAGAAGUUUCCUCGUGGCCCGAUCCUUUAUCAAGAAAUAUUUGGGAUGAAAUUCAUAAAAGGCAUUGUUAUCAUAAACAAGUUUGUUAACAGAAAGUAAACUUUUGGAUGCACUUGGUGUUGGGAAUAUGCCCUAGAGGCAAUCAUGUAUGAUGUAAUUCCCAAUGUAUUCAUAAAUAUUAUUAAAUUGUCCUUGUUUGAACAUCUGAAAUGUAUCAUUGAAUAUGUGAUUUGAUUGUGGAACUAUGUAUUCAUGUUGUUCAUACUAAAUAGUCCUUAGUCAUUGAGAUUGUGCUGGACACAUAACCUAGACCAAUGUGAAAGUUGGCUGAUGACUCGGUUCCACUUGUCAUGGGCAUGGUGAUGUCAUUCCAGCUUACACGGACUCGGCUAAAGAGUUUAGCGAGUCGGACUGACCCAUAUUGAGAUGCAACAAGUAGGUCGUCAUUUGCAUGUCUCAAUCAAUGUAAUCCUUAGACCUGAGGUUAUCGCACAAUCCGAGUUGUGGAUCACCAACUUAGGUUCUGUCAAACGUUGUUUCGUAACAGGGCAAUUAUAAAGGCAGAGUUCGGGUUGACUGAGAAUCAAGCUGUGUGAUGUGGAUAACCAAGAUGGGAUUUUGCCCCUCCGACUGGAGAGAUAUUCUCUGGGCCCUCUCGAGUGAUAUGAUUCGGGAAGCAUGGCCAUGCGCGACUUGGUUAACUGUUAACUGGGUCGAUCGACUAAGAGUUAGUCGGAUGAAUCGUAUAUCACAGAUCGAGAAGAGAGUUGAACUAUUAAAGGGAUGACGAUUAAUUGCCUAUAGUUUGACAAGGUAUAUCGUGAGGCAAAAAGAACUAAGACGUAUGUCACAUUGGAAGGUACGUCGUCAUGACUCGAUGGUACUUGGGAGUCGGCACGUUCUGCUAGGAGCCGCUACCGAUUGAUCGAUUGAGAGUCGGACUCCAAUCGUGUCCAAGUCGCCAUGAGCCUGCGGGGUCACACACUUAAGAGCGGGAGCAAGUAUUUGGUCGGGUUGGACCCGAACUGGAAUUGGACUGACAAUACGAGUUGGACUCGCAGAGUGGAUGGGCCACAAGUGCUGGAGCCCACUUCCACUCGGUAUAUAUAAGCAGGGGCGUGGGAUGCCUAAGGUAUAAGGUUUUUUCACUCUCAUGCGUUGAGAACCCUAGCCCUAUUCAGUCUAACCGUCGCACCGGACCUAGCAGUCCGCCGCCGGAGCUCCUCCUCGCACGUGUGGAUACCGGCAGAGGUGCUGUACGUUCAGCACUUCGACGAUCGCGGGAUUGGAUCGGCUGGAUCGGAUCGAGGGACUGCACUGCAUCAAGGCGCCGCAUCGAUAAUCCGCAACUGCGCGUCUAGUGGUAAUCCUCGUGGCCUUCUACCUCGGCUAGAUCUUGGGAGUUCGCGUAGGAAAAGUUUUUGUUUAUCUCUACGCGCCCCUUCACUUGGAACAUGCAAGAUAUUUCUGAGAUGAAGAUUUCGGCUAGGGGUAGGCACAACAGUAUGACCAACAUGCGAAAUGUCCAUACCUGCUCCACUUGCAGUGUGCACUUGAUCCUUGCCCUUGUACUUCUCUCGUGUAGUCAGCCGGUCUAGCUCAUCGGUGAUGUGGUCCGUUGCACCUGUAUCGGCGUACCAGUUGGUGUCGACGCCGUAUGAGGCAAGGUUUUCCCCAUGCUCGUUGCUGUAGUCGUCCUCCUCGUAACGAUACCAGCAUUCAUUGGCCGGGUGACCAACUUUCUGGCAGAUUUGGCAUGUGACGUCUCGUCGAGUAGACGAUCCGCCACGACCACAUCCACCUUGAUUUUUGUUGGUGGCUGGAGCAUUGCGGCCACCGCCUCUGCUGCGUCCACGGCCACGGUUUCCACCGCGGCCACGAUUGCCUCCACGUCAGCGAGUUGCGGCGUUGGCGGAGGUUUGGAAGCCUCCUUUGCCUCCUCCUGACUCAGCGAGCAUCUCCUGACGAGCAUCAUAAGAGGAAAGUUGUGCAUAGAGCUCGCUUAUAGAGAGCGUGUCAGUGUUGUUGAGGGAGGUGACCAGCGGGUUGUACUCAGAUUCGAGUCCCGCAAGGAUGUACUCGACCAGCUCGGCUUCAUCGAGCUUGCGGCCAGCAGCGACGAGCUCAUCACCAAGUGCCUUCAUCUUGGAGAUAAACUGCGCCGCUGUCAUGUUGCCCUUCUUGGUGUUGGCGAGGGCUUGACGUAGAUUGGUAAUCCGCGAGCGGGAUUGCGAAGAGAACAUCUUCACGAUCGCAUCCCAAAUCUCAUGUGCAUGCUCCAUCCCGAUGACCUGUGUAAGGAUUUCUUUCGAGAGAGAGUUUAGCAAAUAGCCAACAACCUGUUGAUCUCUGAUGAUCCAGGAGGUGUGCGCCGGAUUGGCGACUUCCGCGGUGGUCUUGUCAUCGCGGGUGACGGAGAUCUUCUUCUCCGGCUCGGCGUCGGUGGCGUCGAGCAGGCCAGUCAUCUGCGCUCCACGCAGAGCUGGGAGCACCUGUGCUUUCCAUAGGAGGAAGUUCUCCCUGGUCAGCUUCUCCGAUGGUGGUGCGCCUAGGGACGCGGGAACAUUUGUGGAGGAAGCCAUGGAUGGCGGGUGGUGGAUAGAUGAGAACGCUAGAUUAGAUGGAAGAGUGGCUCUGAUACCAUGUAAACGUGGGAAGCGUUUCUACCUCCCGUAGGAGGCCGCGUGGUGUAUAUUUAUAUGUCAAAGAGAUAUACAUGGAGUUUGUUUACAAUGCACAAGAUCAGGAGAAGAUCACGGUUUGGUUUAUAUCUCACCAACCGGAUAAACAUGAGUUGUUGGAAUCUAAUCCUAACAUGACUAGGUUUGUAUAGUCUACCAACAUCAAUAAGCUAGUUUUAUUGAAUCCAUAAUAAUGUAUAUUUUCAUAUUAUAUUUAUGGGAGUGUGUCUAUUUUUCGGUCGUCUAAGAAAUAGUUAUUUCUCAGUCGACAAUCCUAACCAUCCGGUAAAGAUUUUCUUAUCCAUCGGACCUACAUUAAUCUUAUAUGAAUUUCAACGAUUGAAUCAAAAUGUUGUUAUCAUCGACUAAUUAAGAAAUAGUUAUUUUUCAGCCGCCCAAGAAAUAGCAAAACCGUAUAUUUAUUUGACAUCAUGAAUAUUGAAACUUUUUUCCACAGGUUUGAUCAAACUCUAAAUAGUUUUGAUACGUUAUACUACAGCGUAGCUGUGCUUGUGCAUAUGCGAUCGAUCGAUCGGCCCGGCCUGCAUGCCUGUUGUAACUAUCGUACGGUCGCUAGCUGCUGCUAGUGCGCAGGUAGCCUGCAGAUUGAUGGAUCGAUCGAGAGAACGUACGUAUAUAUGUACUGCCUGUCGUCACCUGCGCACGUACGUACGUACAGUACGUAGGGGCCUUAAAACAGUACUAAGAGGAAUUCUUAAUUAGACGCGUCUAGUUUUUGGAAAUCUGUAGUUAUUAUACGCAGAAAGACUAGUAGCUAGCUUGCCAAUUAAUCGUCAACGACAGGGUUAAUUAAGGACGACGUACGUACGUACGUACGAUGGGUACGUACUCCAUAAGUCCAUAUAUAGCAGCCGUAGUACGUAUAAACUUUACGUUGCUCAAAAUAAACACAAACUAUACGGCCUGCAUUUGGGGAUCCAGAAAAGUUGCAGGUUUUUCUUUCUCUUAAUUGAGAAGAAAAAUACAGGGUCGUUAAAUGCACGUACGUACGUAUACUCGCGCGUGAUCUUAGAUCUCGCAAGCUACUCCAGCUCUAGCUGAGCUAUAAGUAGCUGUGCCAUUAAUGGUCGCUACGCUACAGUAGAUCGACCUCGCUAAUUAAGCUAGAGUAGCUAGCUAUCAGCACGAAGAAGAAGAACAGUCGCCGCUGGCUGCAUAUGCAUGUCGCGACAGGGCAGACAGACCGACAGCUCGAUCUGCAUAAGCUGCCUAGCAAUUGCAUCCUUGCAUGGACCACCGUCCGAUGAUUGAUCAGACAGAAAGGAGGACGGUGUUAUUUGUAUAUACAUAUUUCCUUCUUGUGAAACUCGCAGGGACCAUGCAUGCGAGCAGAUGAUGGCCCUCUGCAUGCAUGUGGUCCGUCACGUGCGCCCGCGCGCCGGAACAAAUUUGCUUUUAUUUCGGUUUUUUUUGUUAAGUCGGCUGUUUCUUUUGCUGCUGCUCGGUCCGUUCCAUAAUUCUCGUUAAAAUCUUACAUGUAUGUAGACAUUUUUUAGAAAUAAAUACAUUCAUUUUGAGCAAAUUUGAGACAAGAAUUAUGAUACAGAGAGAGUACCAACGUAACGUACGUAGUUUUGUACUAUCAAGAUUCGAAAUAAACGACAAAGAGGAAAUACGUUCAAAUACUAGUCCGACGGCUCUGAUACUGUCCACUGAUGAGGCUUAAGGUUUUUUUCUUAAACAUCAGGCUGAGCGUAGCCACGUCCAUCUGCUUUUCUUUUCAAUGAAUUACAUACACCGGGGUAUUAUUUAUUCGGAAAAGAAAUCGUGGGCACGUUCGCGCCUGUGUGCUCCAGAGCGACGGCUUCUCUGCCACAAUUUCUCAAGCCAUGUUUGCAUUUGCAAGCAUGCAAAAAGUAAAUAUGCUAGGUACACAAAAAAGAGAAAAUGAAACUACUAAGUUACACGGGAGGUUGCCAACCUCUCUGCUACUUGCCGGCUGCUGAGCCAAUAGCUAGCUACGUGCUACGAAGCCGGCAACGUAGCUCGCUUAAUUAGGUGCACCUGCAGCCUGCAGGGCCCGGGGCAUACCCAUGUAGCACCCCCUGCCUGCCCCUGCCGCCCCUCGUCUCCGUGCCUGUGCGCGCCCACGUACACGGGAGCAAAAUUGUCUGAAAAAAGCCAUAACAAUAAUAAUCCAAAACACCCACAAGUUUCCUCUAUGCAUGACUCACUCACUGAUGGCUUAUUUUUUUUCUUUCAGUCUUGCUAUUGAGAAUUCAUCUGUUUCUUAAUCAGAGAUAAGUCGCCGUGCUUGACACUCAGAUAAUCCAUAGGAGGAAGUGACGAUGUCACUCAUAUCUUAAUUCAACGGUUCAGAUGUGUCAACUUAGAUUUACCAAGUCUUUUGAUUAAAGAUCAGCCGUCCGAGAUAUAGCCACUCUGGUCUUUGCAUUUGAAGAUUACACACAGCUAAAUUGAAGAAGAAGAAGAAGAAGAAGAAGAAGAAGAAGAAACCACAGGGGCCGUCAAGACCAAAGUUCAUAUAAUCUUCCGUACAACCUGGUCGAUAUUAACCUACCACCUCAUGAAAUUAAUAGCAUUCUAAAUAGCUUAGGCUUCAAUUUUUUCGGUUCUACUUAACACCGCACACGCUAUCGUCCCCUGACGAGCAAAUACGGUGAUCCAAAUCAAUCGUGGCAGUUAAAUUCAGUCGAAUGAUUAAUCUCGUGUCGAACACCACGGACCCGGCACUCUAGGUCAUGCAUUGUCGAUCCGUGGUACUAGCAUGACUUUAAUUAUCACAUAUGUACAUAAGAAGGUACACUUACUAAUUACUCUCUCAUGUUGCGUUUACAAGACACGUACAUGUUCCUAGAUAAUAUAAAUCUGACCAGUGAAAUACGAAUUAUAUAUAUGCCAACUACAAGUAUAUUGUUAAUCAAAAACUUCUUUCAAAUACAAAUUAAAUUAAGUAACAUGUUGUACAAUGUAAUACACGCAUUCCAUUGGUCAAAACUGAUGACCUAAUUAAGAGAAUAAGUGUGCCAUAUAAAUUUAAAAGGAGGGAGCAACCACCUACAAACCUAUCAUUUGAAUAUUUUUUAUGCUCAAAGUUUGCCCUGAUCUGAAGUGACGAAAAAAGAGAAAGUGGCGGCCAGCGAUAUAAGUUCCGCAGGUACGCUGCCCGCAGGCGGAUGUCGGCAAAAAAUGUGCAUGUUCAUCGAUCAAUGCAAAGACCGAGAUCUCUGUUUCAAGAUCAAAAUCUCGAGCCCUCACUGUCCAUGCAAGCAGUAGCUGGCGGAUUGAUCUCACUGCACGAUCAUCAGCUGGAUCUACUAGCUAGCUAGCACGAAAGCUUAAUCAAUUUUCCUCCUAUACGAUCGAGAGAGAGGUCGACGCUUAAAUUUACUGCGGACAGAAACCUUUCGCGCGCCCCCAUUAAUCGGCACCUGCUAGCUAGCUAGCUUGAUUAAUUCAUUAUUACCUAAAGUGCAGUGACACAUGCUUGCAUGAAUGCACACUCUUCAUCUGGCGGCCAUCUCGUUAAAGAUCGAGCUUGUUUGUCACGAUCGACCUGACGAUGAUCUGUCGGUUUUCGUGUUAGAGUUUCGAUUUGCAGUCAUCGAUUAAUUGAUAACGACGAGCUGAUUAAUUGUGUGCGUGGGCGCGCGGGAUCGGACUGUAAUCGACGUACACCAACUUUGAAUCGUCCUGUCGGCCAUGCAUGUCUCUCUCUGCAUGCAGUCGUGGUCCAUGGAUGCAUGCAUGCGCGUGCUUUUGAAUUUGAAGAGCUUAGCAAAGGAAAUUAACACAUAUUGCUCCCAAUCUUGAGUUCUUAACGCAGUCGCGAAGCUAUGUAUAUUUGUCGUAUUUAUAAACGAAAAGAGAGAUCAUAUAUACAUAUGAAAAUAUAUAUAAGUUGUUGUUAGAUUAGACAUGAUUGUUUCUAUUUUUUCAGAGAAAAAGAAAGAAGAGAGAGUACGUAGUUUUCAGCCGGUGCCGCGCACGUACGAUCGAGAGAUCCUCAAUCAACAUGCAUGCAUGCAAUGCAAGUAAAGUAACAUCGUCCUUGGAUUCCAGGAUCUUGACAAGGCAGUCAUCUACUCCUAUAGUAUAUCUUGCAUAUGCACGGACAUGGGUUAUACUUUUGUCGAUCUUGCUAGCUAGCUGCCCAAGUACCGGCCGGCCGGGGGAGCAAAAGUUAAUUAUUGACUUUGAAGCUAGCUAGCCGCCGUUGAUUUCUCGAUCUCCAAUAAUUAACGACGAAAAGGGCCAGCCCCAGCCGGCCGGGCAUUGCAUUGAAGCAGCUUGCAACUUUUGUCGACCGACCGAUCUGGCCUAGCUUUAGCGGUAUACUAUAUCAUCGAUGUACUUGCAUGUGAAACUGUAGCUGUAUAUAUAUGUCGGCCGGAUCGAUCGGCCAAAGCAAGCACAUGCAUGCCAUGUAAUGCCCACGGCUUAACUAAAAUCGAACGGCCCGGGUGGUACCAGCUUUUAGCUAUUGCUAGGGGGUGUACCGUACGUGGUACUUUGAGAUUUGCAUUUCUUGCAAGCUAGGGUAAGUAUUAGCAAGUGGUGGUGCACGUACGUGUACGGCGUACAGAGAUCGUUGCUGGCUGGACCAUGCAUGCAUGAUCAAAGGAAAAGAGGGGAGAAUUAAAGAGAGAUUGUGGGUGUGUCGUCCGUCCGUACCGUAGAGAAAUCGGGCAGCAGAGAGACACGUACGCCGUACGUGCAUGCAUGCAGUGCGAAUUAAGAAACGGACGUACCAGCUCAGUUCCGGAGACACGGACGUACGGACGGCCAGGAUCGGUCCAAUCAUCAUCAUCGAUCGUCUCACACUCACCGACCGCCGUCACAAUGGACAAACAAAUUAAUAACGGUUUUGUUGCUUCUCAGGCAGGCAACGAGAGAGAUAGUUAAUUAUUUCUAAGUUGACGCAAACCAGCGUUUGAUCCCGUCAUUGACAAGAGUAUAUAUAAAGGAUGAAAAAAUCUCUGACGGAUGAAUUGAAUUAUGAUCGUAGAUCGAUAAAUAACUAUCUCUAAAUGGACUGAAAUAACUACCCUGACAAACAAACGCUCUCCUUCGUGAAUAAAACGGCAGCUAGCUAGCAUACGAUGUCAGAGUACGUAAUUAACGUGCGGUGCGCUGGGGAUCGAUCGAUCUACUGGCAGCGUAGGUACAUACGUACGUACGUCCAUCAAUGGAUCGACGGCCCGGAUCGAUCGGAUCACCCACGGUGGCCUGGCAGCAGCUAGCAGGCUGGGGGCCGGCCGGCCGGCACAUGCUUCGCCUGCACUGCAGGGCAGUGGCUGUCUAGCCGGCCGCUUGUUGCUCACAUUGUUCGUGCAUGCAUGCAUGGAAGUUGACAGAGCUUAAUUGCUUGCAUGACGUCCUCUCCUAAAUAACUUUACCGCGGGUGUCCCCCUCUCCCAGCCUGAGCUUGCACGUACUACCGUCCUCCGAGACGAUCUCGAAGCCCCUCGAUCGAUCCAGCAUAUGCCAGCUCCACGUACCCUUUCUCCUCGUCAUUGGGAGAUUCAUAUUUUGGAGGAUCUGAGCGUCCCUAAAUUCAUAUUUGGCUGCCGGCUGAGAGCAGCUACUCAUAUCAGCUGGCUAGUGAAAUGUGAUUGAGCGAAAUAUGGAUGUGCCGUUACAAUGCUAGUCAAAAUUUGGUUGGCUGGCUAGCUAGCCCUGGUUAGAUAUUGGCUGCUCUCUUAGACAUAUACUUACUGCUCCAAUAAUUACGGAUCGACGCGGCAACGCCUUCUCCGUUGUCUUUAAAUCGAGAGAACUAAUUAAUGGUACUCACGCUCCGUCCGAAAAUAAGUGAUUUGGAUUUGUAUAGAUUUUUAUACAAAUUCACAUCACUUAUUUCCGUACGGAGGGGAGUAUAUAGUAUAUUUAUAUGUCGUGUUGUACAAUAGGUUAUCCCUAAUGCUAUGUAUUUAAUGCUUAUUUUACUAAAAUUUAAUUAAAUAGAUGUGAUGAAAAGAUGAAAUCUAGUAUAAGGAAAAAAAUGUCAUAUCUUUGUCGUGAAGAGAUCGAUCAUCUUGGUUACGGCAAUGCUCAUUCUUUUCCUUCUCUUUCAUAUUAGCAAUUAUUUAUUGUGAUAUUGUUAAGAGAAGGCUGAAAUCACCCUGUUGUAUAUGCCCUUAAGGCACCAGAAAAUGAAGUGUGACACAUAAAUUCCUCAUGCUUUAUGUCUGGCAUUAAUUAUUUUCAUUUUAGACAAAUUAACCUUAUAAUAUUGCCACAUACUUUAUGCACAUGUAAAAUUGCCAAACCACAAGCCGCAGUCUAUUUCAAAAAGGGCACAAAUAAGUAAUAACGGCGAGCGAUUUUAAAAUGCACAUCAAACGAAGAAGAAAUCAAAAUACACAUGCAUGAAUGGUCAAUCAUGCGUGCUCCCAUGAAACUUAUAACAUCCAGUGCAGGCAAAGUGCUUAUGCGUGGCCCAUUACAAAUCGCCUAUCCCAAAGACAAAAGAACCCCGACGACGACGACAGAACCUAAAAGGAGCAAACAAAUUAAUUAACAAGCUCCAUAUCACUCUCAAAACCGUCUUGUUUCCCGGCUCCCAUCAUCAAAAUGAAUGGAUUUCCCCCAUGCUCGCUGACUAUUAAAACCAAGAACAAGGAAAAAGGUGCAAGGGCAAGCCAUUCAUUCACUCGAGAGGAAAAAAGGUGAGAUACUAUUAUAUAGUGUACCCUGGGGGGGGGGGGGGGGGGGAGAAUAUAUGUGUGGCUGACACACUGCCAAACAUGGAAACAACCAGAUUAGAUUAGCUUCAAGUGUGACGUGCUGAUUAUUUAAUUAAUUAACCUGUUGGAUCAGGCAUAUGCAAAAAAAGGGAAGUGGUGGUUGUUAAGGCUGCUGCUGAUAGCCAGGAGUAGAUAAACAUGCAUGCUCUGUUCUCGGUUCAGACAACACUUGAUCAGGCAAUUUUAUACUGAGAACAUCAGAUCAGAUGAUCUCUCCUGCCCUACAAAAGAGAGAGCCUAGUAUACUAAUUCUAGUAGAGUAGUAAAAGAAAUCAGAGUGAAAAGAUGUGAAAAAGAGCAAGAGGGUAACAAAGCACCCAAACCAAACGAAACCAAAGCUCCAAUAAUUGCAGCACAACCCAACCCCCUUCCUUCCAUGGAUGGCAGCAGUCUUUUAAAGGUGAGAACAUGGUGGCCCCCUUCCCCUUGGUUGCCCAGGAUUCAAUGGCUAGCAACCCGGAGCCACAAAUGAACAUGAGUAGCAGGAGGCAACUCUCUCUCUCGUGUGCAAAGCUACCAUCUUUCCAUAAUACUCCUACAAGGCAUAUAGUAUUCACUCCGUUCCUAAAUUCUUGUCGCUGUUUUAGUACAAAUUUGAACUAAAACAGCGACAAGAAUUUAGAAAUGGAGUGAGUAUUAGAUUUCGUUAGAACAUUGUUAGUAUGUGUUUCACAAAAUAUGAAAUCACAAUCGUUAGCAAGUGUUUUUGAAAACGGAUCUAGUAGUACUAUCAAUUUUAGUCUUAUAAACAUCAUGCUAAUUAAGUAUUCGAGCAAUGUAAUACCCUCUCUACAAAUCUCGCUCAAAUGGGAGUAAUUUUUAUGAACAUAUUGUCCUAAAGAAACCUAGCACACCAUGUAUUAUUGCUGCUGCGUAUCUUUGUUGCUCCCUCUAAAAUCUAUGUACCUCUCUCUCUGUAGACCCUGGAUAAGAUUUUAGAAGCUCCACUGGUCUCUCAGUCAGUCUCUCUCUAGUCUGUAGCACUGCCAUCAUCCAAUUGUUUGUUGCAUCUGCCUGCGGGUGUUAUUAUUCGACAUCUUUGGUUUGGUGCGGCAAUUAAUUAAUGAACCGUCCGUGGUGGAUCCGGUAGUACGUGCAGCUGGCUGGCCCGGCCACACGUACCAGUAGGAGCUUACUGCUGCUGCUACUACUAGGUGGGAACAGCGAGAGACAAGAGCACCCGCGGAAUGAGAGAAGCCGAUGGAGCUCGGACAGCGACCGGAGCAGAGCUUCUUUGGGCUUGCGUGUGAGUCUCGUCUGUGUGAGUGAGAGAGACAGAGACAGAGUGGGAGAUGAAGGAAAGGGAAAGGUCGGGAGCUUAGGCGAUACUACUGUAGUAGUAGGAACUAGCUUAAGAUUAGAUUAGCUUAGCUUAGCGGGGGGCUCCGGCGGUCGGCAUGGACUGGGAUCUCAAGAUGCCCGCGGCCGGCGCCGGCGCCGCGUGGGACCUCGCCGAGCUGGAGCAAGGCGGCGGAGGCGGCGGGCCGUCGGCGGAUGGCAUUGCGGCUCCUGCUGCUGCUGCGGGCGGUGGUGGACGGGCCGAGUGCUCCGUGGACCUGAAGCUCGGCGGGCUGGGCGAGUCCGGCGGCGGCCAGGCCCAGGCCCAGGCCCAGGACAGCAGCACCCGCGGGGGGAAGGCGCCGGUCGCGGCGUCGGCGCCGGCGCCGGGGAAGAGGCCGCGCGCGGCGGCGGGGUCGUCGUCGAGCAGCGGCGGCGGCGGCGGCGGCGGGGGGCAGGGGCAGCAGUGCCCGUCGUGCGCGGUGGACGGGUGCAGGGCGGACCUGAGCCGGUGCCGCGACUACCACCGGCGUCACAAGGUCUGCGAGGCGCACUCCAAGACCCCCGUCGUCGCCGUCGCCGGCCGCGACAUGCGCUUCUGCCAGCAGUGCAGCAGGUAACAGGAAUCAUCUCGGCAAUCCAAUCCAGAUUAUCCAAUCCAGUUCUUCGCCCGCCAAAUUCUAGGCCAAUGUUUGUUUGAUUGCCAUAUUCAACCAACGAACUAACUGACACCACUAUACUGCUCCAGCAUAUAGUAUAGUACUAGUAAAUCAAAAUCAUACCCACUUCAAUUGUCCUCUUCAUCUUGCAAUUCCAGCCCUGUUCAUGGUUUCUGUUCAUCAAUUACUUCCUCACACUAUCAGUUUUUAAGCCCCACCUUCUUUUUCCUUUUCUUUCAGUCUCUGUGCAUGUUUCUGCCUGUCUCAUUUCAAGGAUGCACAGCUUUACCUUUUCCGGCACCAAGCCUGUUUCAGCAUCUCAUUAUUUUUUUUCUUCUUCUUCUUCCCAUACCAAAUUCUCAUUUUUCUCAUGUCGCCCUUUAUCAUGACAGCCUGUUACCUGAAUUAUUGCCGCGCUUUUCCUGUCUGUUCCUCCCAGGAUUGCUUAAUUGCCCCCCCCCCCCCCCCCCCUCACUCACUGAAUCAUGACCCCAUCCAUGAGAAUAAUUCAGGAUCGGAAAAAAAAUGAGAGGUCAUAUCUGCACUCCAUCUGGCAAUCACACAGAGGCACCACCCAAUGAUCAUUAAUCGACCGGCCAUCGUGCCCAAUUUGCAAGAUGGCAUGUAUGUUUAGUCAGUUCUGAAGGCCAAUCAUGCCUUUGAUCAGCCAUGUUUCUCUCUGUUUGCGACACUUAUGAUACCGGUUCCGGUGACGCGACACGCGGUUGAUGGUAGGCCGGACGUCCGACAUGAUUUGCCGGUGACUCCUUUUCCAUGUGCAACUAGCUAGAAAUAGGUGGAUCCAUGUGCCUUGUUAUGCCUGUCCCCUGUGGAUUUCUUUGCUGCAAAAAUGUUUUGCGUGGGACUGUCAGUUCCUUAAAUAUCUGUGAACCUUCUGUUUGAAAGGAAAAUGCGAUAUGCCGAUAUGAGCGCCCAACCCUAGAAACCUUUCAGUGCCAUGAAGUAUGUAGGGUUUACAGAUACACGUUGAUUCCUCAGGUUGGUCAGGCUUGCCCCCCUUCCAUGGGCAUUAAACCUUUCCAUGUUUUUACUUCAUUAAAAGGUUCAUGCUAGUGGCAACUGACUGAUGUACCUUAAAUAUUAAAAGGCAAUACCAACCUAUACAGGGUGCUCUAAUGAUUUGGUUGGUGACCAUGGUAAAGAAAGAGAUCUCUAGCAUCCGUAUUUGGACUUAAUAUCACAAAAGCCAGAACUAUGUUGUGAGGACUGCAUUUUUAGGUGGUCCUCGGAAAAGAAAACAAAGACGAGUAUCAUAUCGUGACAAUAUCUGAUUUUUAAACAUUAGUGCCAGCAUACUUAAUAAUAGAUGAUAAUGUGCUUCUCUCAUGUGCUCUUGGACCACUUGAACCUGUUUUGUCUAAGUUUCACUUUUGCAAUUGCCCUGUGAAGAUAGCUUCCCUAUCUUUUUGUGCAUAAUUUCACCAUAAACUGAGUAAAUCACAUCGUGUGAACUGAGCUUUACGGAUCAAGUUUAUCACACUAAGAUUUCCAGAAAUUACCACAACGGCUUAAACUUAGAAAUUAAUAUAGACGUACCGAGUAUCCUCUAUCCUCAACCUGAGCCAUCCAUUAUUAUCUGUCAAUUAAUAUUAUUAUUUUAAGUUUUCGGCCUCUAGAAUUAUUUCUUACAUUUGUAAUUUUGUUGUAUCUUGGUCAACUUUAAAGUAUAGUCAUGGUUGUGCCCAUUUCUAUCAUGCUGAACAAAGCAGACGAUUCAUUUUUUUUACGAGCAAGGCAGGAGCUCUGCCGAUUCAUUUAAGAAGAAAGAAGAUACAACUGCUCAUCGUCCGACAACAGAAAGCAGACGAUUCUAUUCUACCUUCACGCCUUUAUAACUCGAUAGGAUGCUAACCAUCAUCAUAUUAGUUCUUUCCACACAAGAAUAUCUUACUCAGUGGGGACAGUUUUUCCAAUGAUUGAUUGCUUCGUCUGUUGGUACAGAUUUAUAAAUUUGGUGACCCCAAUGUCCCAAUGAACUUUCAUUCUUCUAAAAAAUAUAGUUUCAUAUACAGUAUACUGUGGUCCAAGUUCAACAGUUGUUACAAUAUUUUAUUUUUCUGUCAUUCACAAAUCUUCGAAGGCGCCCAAUCUCUGAAAGGGAUAAUUGACAGAUUAUGUGGUCCCUUGUGACAUUACCUAUUCCAAGAGUAUUCUGUAACUAGUUUCGUGUUUUUUUUAUUGGGAAGCAUCUUUUUAUACUUCGGAUCAUGUGCCUAACUACCUAGGAGCAUCUUUUGUCAUUACAGAAUCAACCUAGGACCAUGAAUAUCUCAUUUAGUUUUUGCAAAAAGUCUAAGAGUAUCUUGUAUCUUUAGAAAAUAAAAUCAUUCCAGAUUGUCCCAAUGGAUUAGGUUAAUAUUACUUCUGUAGUUGCUGUGUUGCAGAUUAUUUUUCUAAGUUAAAUGCCAUUGACUGAUCAUGAAUUGUUUGUUUCUUUAGGUUUCACUUGCUUACAGAGUUUGAUGAGACCAAGCGUAGCUGUAGAAAACGUCUUGAUGGGCACAACCGUCGCCGCAGGAAGCCACAGCCAGAUCCCAUGAAUUCUGCAAGUUUUAUGACAAGUCAACAAGGUCUUUUACUUUUUACUACUGCUUUAUUUUUAACAGUCAAUACAUGGUUCGAAACACGAAAUAGUUUGUCAGACAUCUUGUAACUCAUGGCUCACCUAGUAUGUUUGACUUAUUAAAUUCACCAGCUUCAGCAUCUUGCAGCUCAGCAACUCACCCGGUAGCCUGUUACAGUGUUACUCCACCUUGUUGCCCAUUUGUACCUUAUCCAGCAAUUGUCAUCCUGUAAAUUAGUCAGUCCCAGAGGUGGUUAGUACUCACAAAGGCAUAGAUAGCACCAUAUUUUACUCAUAAACAUACCCAGUUCAUAGAGGUUGGAUAUGGUGUAAAUAGUUAUCUCAUUCCACUUGUCACACAGGUCAAAGUUCAGUUCUGUGGGACAAAUAAAUUCUUUACUCUCUGCACAGUUAAGAGUCCUUGUGUCUGGCCUAAGGUCUUACUAAGUCCUAAGUCGUGUUAAGAUCAUAUCAAUCCCUGCCAAGAGUAGAUGUUGACUUACAAUUUCAGUGCGCUUGUUUUUUUUUGACGAUGUGCUUGUUAGAUAUUGAUAUUAAUCACUUAUUGUAGUGCUAAAUUCAUUUUAAAAUUAACUCUACUAUCAUAUGAGGUUUCCGUAUCAACCUCAUUCUUUGUAGCAUUAAAUGGUUGGAUAAUACUAUGACUUUACUCAUUUGUAUUGCCAUAUGUAUGUUCACCACUUUCAUUACCUUCUUAUUUAUCGCAACCAAUUGACAUUGUUCUCAAACUCAGGAACAAGGUUUUCACCAUUUCCAAAUCCAAGACCGGAGCAAAGCUGGCCAGGGAUCAUCAAAACUGAGGAGAGCCCAUAUUACGCGCAUCAAAUCCCUAUAGGUAUCAGCAACAGGCAGCAUUUUGGUGGAUCUACAUCUACUUACGCCAAAGAAGGCCGGCGCUUUCCUUUCCUACAGGAAGGCGAAAUAAACUUCGCCACAGGGGUGACCCUUGAGCCUUCAGUGUGCCAACCACACCCGAGGACGGCAGCUCCUCCCGAUAGCAGCGGCAGCAGCAAGAUGUUCUCUGAUGGGCUGACUCCUGUGCUCGACUCAGAUUGUGCUCUCUCUCUUCUGUCAGCUCCAGCAAACUCCUCUGGUAUUGAUGUCGGCCGGAUGGUCCAAGUCCAACAGAACGAACACAUCCCCAUUGCUCAGCCUCUAGUCUCCAGCCUACAGUUCAGCAGCUCGUCCUGGUUUGCGCGCUCCCAGGCUGCCACCGGUGCCGUCCCACCGACCGGAUUUUCCUGCCCUGUUGUGGAAAACGAGCAGCUCAACACUGUCCUGAGCUCGGAUAACAAUGAGAUGAACUACAGCGGGAUAUUCCAUGUCGGCGGCGAAGGCUCCUCAGACGGCGCCCCGCCAUCUCUACCCUUCACCUGGCAGUAGUAGUUCCCAGUAGCUGUUCUUGGCGUGCUUCACAGUAGAGCUCUUCCCUUCUCCGGUUCUCCCUUUCCCUAGUCCCUAGUGAUCAACACUGUUUCUGUUCACUCUGCAUCAUUCCAAUUUUUUCUCCUGUAUUCAUUUCACUCAGCAAGCAUUCGCGGUCAGCAAAUUCAUCAUAAAAGUCAGUUCCUCGAAAAUCUUUUUCUCAUCAUGUUGUCAAGUACUCCCUCUAUUUCACAAAGGUUGGCGUAUUUUGUUUCCUUAAGACAAGGCUUUGAUCAAUGAUAACUCUAUUAAUAUGUGUUUUUACAUAAGGGAGUAUAUUAUUGAUCGUCAAGUGCCAACUGUAGAAUUAUUAUGCUCCUGAUCUUUUCUCGUUGAUUAUUUCCUAAUGCCGAUCUUCUCUUUGACUAUUAUUACGAAAACAUUGCACUGCAUCUAACUGCAAACGGCAGCAGUGAGCUCCACAUGCCCGUUUGGCAUGCAGAGUCAACUGAACAGAUUUGCAACAGCAUCCUAAUCUGACUUCUUUCUAAAACGAAAACUGCAAAUCAAAUAAGCUAUAAAGGAAAUUUUCCUUAGGAAUAGAAUCCUCCAAAUUUUUUACUAGUGCAUAUGAUCAAUGAAGAUAAAAUUAAUUGAAUUGGACAAUAAAUUUAGAGCGGUAGAUCAAUGAUACUUAUCCACUCGCAGACCACCUGCACGGUCUAGUAGUGGCCAUCCGCCGGGCAACCGAACCAGCGGCAAAGCGCAGCGAUGUGGCUGAUGAUCAUUAGGGUGCUCCCAACGAUCAGUAAGCUUCACGGCCGUACACGCGCGUUGUUGCACAACAAAUCAGAACGAGUAAGUACGUUGGAGAUAUUAUAUGUCCGAACUAGUUGUGCCAACACCGAAUUGAAUUAAUUAGCCGGCUGGUAAUUAGUUGUUACCUACAGGAAGGCGAAGAAGCGGGGAAGCCUCGUUUUGGGAUGUCGAUGCAGCAGUGUAGGACGCCAAAGCCAGCGCCACCACAAGGGUCCUGCACGUAAGCAGAAACAGGUCUCGAAGAUCCAUUUCCUGUCCCGGCCUGCACAUACCAAUUGUGAACUUGUAGUAGGAGAAAAACUAGUCAUGUCUUUUUCGGGGGGGGGGGGGGGGGGGGGGGCUACCGGUCCUGUCUUUUGCAAAUUUCGGACUUAGUAUACUUCAAGAGUUACUACCUAGCUAGUAAUCAACAUGCAUAUAGCAAUCAUCAAUACAACAAUUAACAUGCAUGGUCGCACAAUUAAGUUACAAGACCAUGUGUGUUUGGAAAUAAGCCGUCAAUCGCACGUACUGGAGCCGUGAAUCAACCUAGGUGUCGUCACCCUCUGCCUCCGGCUGCAAUUGACGUGCUAUGAUCGCAAUCCUAGCCCGGGACUGAACCACAACAAUGGCUAUGCAGACAAGACUAGCUACGAGGGCUAGUAUCGCUGAGAUAUUACGAUCCCUGCAUAAACAGCGUAGGAGCCGGCGCAGGUUGACAGCUUGCCAAGGAACAUGGCCACGGCUACGACGGAGGCGCUCGCACUCAACCGCAUAGAUCCGCAGAAAAAUAUGAUAAAAUUGUUACUAGUGCAUAUGAUCAACGCAGACGGAGAUAGAAUUAUUGAAUUAGACAAUCUAAAUUGAGAGCCGUAGUGCCCGUUCGCCGGCCAACCGGGGACGCCUCGUUUGGGAUGGGGAUGCAGUGGCAGGAUGCCAAAGCCAGCGGCACCACAAGGGCCCUGCACGUCAGCAGAAACAGGUCUCGAGAUCCAUUUCCUGUCCCGGCCUGCACAUACACAAUUGUGAAAUUAGCGACGCACAAUUGUGCAUACAACUUGUUGUAUGAGAAAAAACAUGGUAGACAAACUUGUCUCCUUCCUCUACCGCUAAGGUCUUUUUCAGGAGCACGAGGACACUCGUCCCGUCUUUUGGAAAGCGUGAGUAUAUACGUACCUCCUACAACCUGGACCGAACAAGAAAAAACAUGGUAGACUAUUUAACUCUAGGAUUUUCUCUCACUCUACAAAUCCAUGUGGUAGACAAACUUGAUUUUUGAACCCAAAAUUUAAAUUCAACCAAAAGAAAUCCUAUCAAGAAUUGGAUUUCAUUUCAUUUCUACCAAAUGAAAAUAAAAAGAUGGGAACCAAACGAGCUGGUACAGUAAAAUAGAAUUCACAAAAAUCAUGUCAUUUAUUUUGAGACGGAGGUAGCACAUAAAAAAUUUAAGUACACUCUGUACUACAUUGUUCGGACAGGAAAAAGCAGCCGUUGAGCGUUGAAGCGUGAAUAUGCACAGUACAUUGCGUUCCCCUGCAGGUUCCGCUAGCUAGUGAUCGGACCCGACCAGACUGAGGUGUGUUGUAGCGUCGAGUUCUUCACGCCGACGAACGAGGGCAACAGUAGAGGUCUUGGAAAGGGAGCGGAAUGAGGCGUAGGGUAGAGCGAGGAAGAAGCACCGGCGGUUAGGGCUGGGCCUGUGUGUUUCCUUUGGGCUGGAAGUCGUGGGCUCGUGACGAUGUCGGCCCGGUUCACGUGAGUCCGUAAGGCCGAACUGGCCCAUGGGAACGAAGUGUGUGCAGCUUGAGCCUGUCACGGCGUCACCUUCCUCCUGGAGGCGGCAUGCACCCUGUGCGGCUGUGCGGGAAGGUUUGGCUUUUGGCACCGGAGCUAAGGCGGAUUAUUAUCGUUCGAAAUUAGGGCUCGAGGCGAAGUCAAUUCAAAACCAACCAAUAACACAUGGAUGGUAUACUAGGUAUUGUGUUGCUUUGGAACAGCAGGCUCAACCUCUAAAACCCCUGGCCAGGCCACCACACUAUACACAAAAUUGUUCUCCGGUUUGUUGUUGUGGGUAAAUUUGUCAGAAGAUUACUCUCAACUCGUUUAUUGUAUUUUAAAUCUUGUACUCCGUAUAUAGUAAUUAAGGGAGGGAGUACAUUCUACAAAGAGUGGUUUUCUUCUGUCGUUAUAGUAGUAGAACUAGCUAGCUAGAGUGCUAAAAUUAUGUGCACUUGGAUAUACAUCAUCUGUUCGAUUGAUCUUCAUGCUCUCAUCUUAUCUUACCGUAAAAAGUAUUUCAUGUGUGUAUAAAAGUUUAAGUACUCACAUGUACUCCCUCCGGUCCCAUAAUAUGAAGCACGCACGUAUCCCUACAUCCUCAAUUUGAUUAAUUAAAUAUGCAUGUUUUUUAACAAAAAAUACAUCAUUAGAUUCGUUAUCAAAAGAACUUUCCAAUGAUAUGAUUUUUUAAUUAUUUAAUUUAUAUUUAGUUAGCUAAAUUAAUGAUCUAGGGAUGCAUGCGUGUCUCCUGUUAUGGGACGGAGAGAGUGCUACGUUGUUCCGAGAGGAAAAGCAGACGUGAAGCGUGAACUACUGGUGAUCGAUGUGGAUAGAGAGAGAAAAGUAACAAAAUAUAAAUAAAACCAGAUGUUACGGGAGUAAGAACAAAGUACGUCAGGGUAAACGGACAGACAUUGCAAUUCUUCGAAAAAUAAAAGGACAGACAUUGCAACUAGAGCCAGUGAAUGUGAAGAACGUAUGGAUGCACAGUACAGUGCGUUCUCCUGCCGGUUCCCGCUAGGGACCGGACCCGACCGGACUGAGUGACCGGGGACUGUCCUCACUCUCUCUCAGUCUCUCUCUCUCUACUAUACUUGCACCGCUCGCUCCACACGCAACAUGUCGCACACAUGUACAGUCGCCGAUGGAAAGCAGCCAAGAAGGGUUUGCGUGCGCAUCCGAUGGAUAGGAUCGAUGGACGGCGACGGAGCAGCGAACCGCGAGGCUUUUUUUUUUGGUCGGAGCCACGUCAUUAAUUGUUUUCCCUGGCGACGCAGCAUAUGUUUCGUCCAAGUCACAUCGAUCGAUCGACCCGGCCGUAUGGCAGAUCCGUACGCCCGUAUGUAUAUGACUCGCAGAUUGCAUGUGCUAGCUGUGUGCCUGACGCCAAACCAAACCAUAGUCUAUACUGUGUUCCUGCGUCUGCGUGUGUUGAGAUAAAAAGCAAAGGGGCUGAGCGAUUCAGCUCCAAACAGUGCAAAGUGUCGACCACGCCGCAUACGUAUUAACGUGUUUGUACUCUUGUUUCGGAACGGAGACAAUGCAAAGAUACACUUUACUUAUUCUGCGAUUUUUUCACACCUCGCCGAUUGUGAUAUUUUCCCUUGCAACUCCUUUGGCACCCAUCAUUUCGGUCUAAAAUUCAUUUGAAUUGCAGAAACCAAUUUGUUUGGUUUGCAAAUUGACUAUUCUCUUCGUCCAACAAAUGACGUCUCAACUUUGACUAAAUUUGAAUGCAUCUAUACACUAAGUCAUGUCCAGAUACAUCUAAAUUUUGAUAAAUUUGAGACAUUUUUUGUUGGACGGAGGGAGUAAAAGAAUUCAAUCUGAAAUUUCAUGGAAUCAUGUUAUAACUAACUCCAAUUCCUCACUAAAAGCUCUCUGGAAUUGUCUCUCACCUUACAAAUUCAUGUGGCAGACAAACAUGAUUUGUGAACCCGUUAUUCAAAUUCAACUGAAUAAAAUAGAAUAAAAAAUUGGAUUUCAAAACUGAAACGAAAGGAGCUGUUAGACAAGUUCCUUAAACUAUUUAUUUGUGUGAGGUUCUAAAAAUGCGCAACGGGCACCUGCAGUAGCUUUAUAGCUCGCCGGCAGGAACUAGGCAUCUCCAAGGGUGACUGGCCAAGCCAUCCGUCCGUUUGUCCGCCGUUCGGACAAUUUGGCAAGUGUCCAUUUACCACAUCACCCAAUGGACACAAACUAAAUAUCCUCCUUUUAAAUUAUCCGCACCUAUUUCUUAAUGAAUUCUAUUAUAAAACAACUAUGUAUUCAACAAUAUUGAUGCAAGAAUAAAUAGUAGAGUGCAAAUUAAUUGAAACAACUACAACUAUGUAUUCAACAAUAUCAAUGCAAGAAUAAAUACUAGAGUGCAAAUUAAUUGAAACAGCUACGUACACUUCUAAAUUGUCCAUUUACCACACAUAUACACUUAUUAUAUUAUCAACAACUACAUACUCGGCAACAUCAAUUCAAAGGUAAAUAAAACCUAUGGCUGUUCAUGCAUAUCAAUAAUAAUUAUGUAUAUGUUUUUUGUGUCCUAUAUAAAUCAUUUGAUUGUUUGGUAAAGUGUCAUGAUACAGACGGUUUGUAUUAUCUCAAUCUCUCUGUCCAGUAUAUCCAUCUCCCAAACAUUUUUCAAGGCCUCAAGGGCAUGUUAACUAAUUUCAAGUAAUUUUUUGUUCAAAAAAAUGCAAGUCAUUUUGUAGCAAAUAUGCACAUAGUAGCUAGUACAACCUGAUUCUAGUUUUCGGUAAGAAAUAAUUUUCAUUGGAAAAGAAAUGUUUAGAGUACAUUAUAGUAGUAUAACAUAAUAAUUAAUCAUCUUUCCGUGUCAUAUCAAAGCCAUAUUGAUGAUGCGGCAUUGUCCGCGGACAUUGUCCGGCUUGCCAUAUCAAAACCAAAUUUGACUAGCAUUUGGUUUGUCCGUAGACAAACGGACGGAUAGCUUCAAUAUGACAAGCCCCGUUAGAUGGGUUUUUUUGUCCGCGGACAAAAACGGACAAAUGGCUUGUAUUUGGCUAGUGCCCUUGGAGAUGCCCUGACACGGCCCGGGGCGCAGCGAAGAAAGCUAGACAGGAGGGAACCAAAAAUGGACGCACUCUGCAUGUGCGCCGGCCUGCGUUUUCGUGCGUAUAUACAUACGUACGUACGUAUAUAUGCAUACGUACGUUUGCUGCGUUAAUUCUUCUGGAUCGAGAUCAUUUCGUCCGUCGAUAUUGAUGACGUACGCACGCACCACUGUAGAUCGAUCGGUCGCGGUCUCCUCGAUCAGGCCGACCCCCGGCCGCCGUCGCCGCCGGCCCUCGCAGAUGGACGCAUGCGCGCAUCGUUCCCGGCCGGACCCCGGCCCGGCCAGCCAGAAAUUAAAGCCCGGCCGGCCCAGAACACACAAUGAAAUUGAAGUUGAAGAAAUUACUAACUCUACUCUAAUUAACCCCUUUGGGCUUUGGAUGAUCCACCCCCAGCAUAUUAAUUACCUCGUUUGAUUGAGAAUGUACUCCGUAACAAUGUUUGAGAAUUAAUAAAGAGGUCGUAUGCAUGCAUCUCGAUCGCCAAUACUAGUACACGAUCACGAUUACGUAAGCUGGCUUGGCUUUCACUUAAGGAAAACGUAAUUAACCUGCCAAGCUCUCUGGCUUACACUAGCUCUUCUGAGUUCUGAAUCUAUCACGCGCCCCAUGAACACCACGUGUCGACCGGAGCGGCCACCUCCCGCGCCGAUCGCACGGCUCUCCCGAUCCAACAGCCCCCACCAACGCCCCAAAAAAUCUGGCAUCCCGACAAGCGCCCCAUGUGUGUGUGUUUUUACAGAGAGAAGGGAACUCUCAAGAACAGGAGCCUGUGGCUCUGUGUGUGUGUGUGUAGCAAUGGAGAAGGCAGCGAAUAAAGCAGGGAGUUAAGGGAUGGGGACGCCGGGCAAGGACGGGACGCGCGAGCGACCCACGCCUAGGCUUCCGGAAACGCGCUACGCGGCUGGGCCUCUAGGGUUUCCCCCCUACUCAUCCUUUGCCAAAAACGGCAUUCCCCCCCAACCCCACCCUCGCGCCCACUGGUUCUUCCCCUGCACCACCACCCCCAUCAUCAUCCAUCCCUCUCUUGCUUUAAUCCCUGCUGCCUCACACACACGCAAGCACCCGGCGGCCUCUCUCUCUCUCCCUUUUCCUCCUCCUGCUAGCACGCUCUCGGUGGUGGGGGAGAUCUGGAGGGAGUCGGUGAAGGUUGGGGAGGGGGGGAGAGGCAGGAGGAGGCGGGAGCGGCGGCGGCGGCGGCCAUGGGGAGGGGGAGGGUGGAGCUGAAGCGGAUCGAGAACAAGAUCAACAGGCAGGUGACGUUCGCCAAGCGCAGGAACGGGCUGCUCAAGAAGGCCUACGAGCUCUCCGUCCUCUGCGACGCCGAGGUCGCGCUCAUCGUCUUCUCCAACCGCGGCAAGCUCUACGAGUUCUGCAGCACCCAGAGGUAUAUAUCACACUCUCACACGCGCGCAUCUGCUCUAGCUCCAGAUCUGCCCGUCGAAAUGGUGUUCCGGCCGGCCCCCUCGACCGCGCGCAGCGAAUUACGCGGGGUUUUGAGAUUCCUCCCCGUCGAGCUAAGUUACGGACGCCGUUGAGGUGCGCCAUGCACGGUUUAGUGCUUGCUUUGCGCGGAUCUGUGCGAUCGAGCUUGUUGGUGAGGUUAAAGGGUCACCGGAUUGGUGAUAGGAGCUGGGUUUCCCGCGGAUUACUCAGCCGGCCGGGAUCUGGCCAGUACUAACUUCGCGGGGUUUAGGGUUUGCUUCCCGGUCCGUUUGGUGUUUCCUCCUUUUGCGGGUUUUCCGGCCAAGCUAAGCCUUUCCCUGAUCUAUCGGUUUUGAGGCUGCAGCGAACUGAUCUGGCAUCUAGCGGGUCCAAAAUUUCAUGCUCUCUUCCUCUCUCGUGAUGUACGUACAGCUGUUCUCGUGGAUCUGGGUGUUUUCCUUCAAACAGAAAAUUCAAUUUUCCUUGGUGUAGCCAAAAAAUUAAACAAGGUUUUAUAAACAAAAUGAAGUCGCAAUGAAAGUUUUUGUGCAGAGAUAUGCUAAUAAGUGACCAUCGUUCUUAAUUUUGUGGGGAGAUAUGAUACGAAAUAUCUGCGUGUGCAUUAAUUCUUAGCUUACUUUGAGGAUACAACUAAUUAACUAUUAAUCGAUGCACACAAGAUUGUUGAUUCUAUCUAUGGAAAUGUUCAUGUAACUAAGAUCUUUUUGUACAGUAUACAAUUGCCUAUAGCAUUAAUUACUAAGUGAAUAGUAGUAGACGAUUAAUUAAGUGUUCCCAUCAAUUAAGACUCGUUCGGCAUGCUUGAACUUAUAGAUCCUGUUGCAAACGUUGCCUGCCUUACUUCUUGUCCACUCGGUAAAUUUCUUGCAUAGUAGCAGUAUGUAUUUGAGUUGUCCUCAUGUGUAAAUAUUUUUUUGUUUAGAGUUUUUAGCUAAACAAAUAGAGUUACUUUUCUCCCAAAAGUAAAAACGCUUCGACCUCCAAUAUAUGCCCUCCCAUCAACUAAUCCUUUCAGAUGUCACAAGUGACGAGUUCAAACUUCGUACAGUUCAUGUGCCGCCGUGCCGGGUGUGUAUGACAUUUAUCGCACAUAAAUUUGUAGUAGCGCGUAUGUGUCUCCUGGUUUGCACUUUUGAGAUGGGACUUGAGAAUACUCACUCUCGGCUCGUCCACUCAAACUGAAAGAUUCCUGGUAUCCGGAAGUCUGCAACAACCUUAAAAUAUGCGUGGAACAGCGUACCCCGUGCAUGCAUGCAUGCCUGUUCUCUAUGGAUAUUUGGAGGAAUGCAUGCAUAUCAUUUCUCUCAAUUCCCAACUCUUCAAUGACUUCCCGCCCUUUUUCUCAGUAUCAACUCAUGUACUUCCUCUUUUUCAAAAAAAAAAAACUCAUCAAACUUAUCACAUGUCGUUUGUGCAUACUUUGAGUCGUCUUAUUUGUAUUUUAAUUUAUUUACAGAAAAAAUUAGUUGCCUUACUGGACUGAAGUAGCAGUACUAGUUAGCAACUGACAUUGUGAAUCUGAACUUAAUUACGUACUCCAUACCAAUUCUAGAAGGGCAUACAUAUACUUUUAUCUUCACCGUCCACGUCCUAUAGUUCCGUGAGUAAUUGUUAUCCGAUAGUACUCCGUCCACGUCCUAUCUAGAAACCUAGGUUCGAAACUAUAUCUGUAUUCACUGGUAUUCCAUCCGUUCCAUAUUAAGUGUCAAAAUAUUACAUGUAUCUAUACGCUUUUUAGAUAUAAAUACAUGCAUAUUUAGACAAAUACGGGUCAUUUAAUAUGGGACGGAGGGAGUACUAGAAAAUAAUCAUUAUUCAGCUAACCGGCAGAUAUUAUAAAAUGAGGAAAGUUCAAAUUAAUUUACUCUAGAGUACAUUAUUUUUCCUCUUAACUCUGAUUUUUUUUCUCGACAUUGGACUUGUAGCAUGACGAAGACACUCGAGAAGUAUCAGAAAUGCAGUUAUGCGGGACCUGAAACAGCCGUGCAAAAUAGAGAAAAUGAGGUAUAGGUGUUUUCUAUAUUCCCAUGGAUUAGCUGGAGAUAUGAUUUUGAAUUAACCACAUUUAAUUACUAUUACAGAAGUCUAUACACAGCAAGCACAUAUGACCGUUAUCAGCUCUUCUUAUAUGGGAAUGAGUGAAUGACAUUCGACGCGUAUCCCAGAUGGAAUGUGUGCAUAUCAUAUGGAAAUUUUAAGUACCUGUAACCUGUAAAGGUUAUCUAGAAAAAUCAAAGCUAGUGAACAGUUUGUAUGCUAUCCAUUCAUAUCGCACUAAUGGUAAUAUUAUACUCCAUCAAACUAAAAUCUUGCACAACAUCUUAAAUAGAAAGAUUCACCGCAGCAUGUAUUGCCAUGCCACAAUUAAUCCUGCGCCAUAUGGAAUCUCUGGCCUAAUUAUACACGCUAUUCUAUCAGUAUACUUUAAUUCGCAUCGCAACAUGUUCAAUGUACGAAAUGGUUUUCCUAUGAUUCUUAGUAAAGUGAACCUGUUCUAUAUUCUGUCUCAGCAAUUGAAAAACAGCCGCAACGAGUACCUGAAAUUAAAGGCACGGGUUGAUAAUUUACAGCGAACACAAAGGCAAGUCCUCUUCUCAAGUUAUUUCCUAAUUCUAAUUUGGUUGCCUCACGUUGCAUCUUCUGGCACAAUACAUCACUAGAAUACCAGGAAGACAUAAACCAGUUAACCAGAUCUUUAUUUACUUCUGAAAGUACAUUAAUCAGUUUUUGUCAACCAAAUUUUUAGCAUGUUGCUUCGAUUAUUUGCACAUUUUUCAGGUUAGAGAAGAAUUUUAACUGUCAUUUUCUUAAAAAGAGGGAAUGCGAUGAAAACUUCAAGCUCCAAUCCUUAAAUUAAGGGUUUGGGUCAAUUUAUAAAAGUGAAAUCACAUGUCCAAAGUACUUAAUUUUUGGCUGGCUCAUUAUAUUAAGUAAGAGUAAUAAUCAUGUUUGUCCAGCGGAAAAAGAAGUAAUAAUCAUGUUUGUGAUACUGAAUAAGCACGUAUUGGUGAGAGAUCAAAUACAUGAUAUUUCUAUUGAGUGGCUACAUCUGAAUCUAUCUAAUAGCCUGUUAGAGUAGUUUUGUUAUCUCAUUUCUUGAGAGACAGAUGCCAAACUUGAUUCAGUGCAGUCAAUAGGGGAUCGAGAUGCUAAUUUCAUCUGUACAUAUAACCAUUCUUUUGCAUCUUUUUGUCCAUACACCACACAGGAAUUUGCUUGGUGAAGAUCUUGAAUCAUUAGGAAUAAAGGAGCUCGAGGGCCUUGAGAAGCAACUUGAUUCAUCCUUGAAGCACAUCAGAACUACAAGGGUACGUACUGCAGAGUUAAUAAAAAACAGCUGUCAUUUCCUGCUUAAGUGGGAGUUUGCUCUUUCCCUGUAGAAGUAUAUAUAUUCAUAGCUCUACUUACGAUCAACAUCGGCACAAUGUGAUUUUCUUAAUGAUGUUAUGUUACCCCUUUUGUUCAUCAGUUAUGGUUGUAUAUUUCAUCGAGGUUUUAAAAUUUCUUUUUGAACAAAAUUUUGGUACCCCACCGAAAUGGCCAGAAUUUCAUAAUUUUGGAAACUAUUUCAGAUUUCAGUCCUUAAAAUUCGACCGAAUUUUACCAAAUAUUCUCAAAAUUGUAGCGAAUCAUAAAUUUUUCCAAUACAAAUUACAUAAUUUAACUACUUGGUUCUCAUUAAAAAAAUGGCAUACACUGAAUUUUAGGAUAGAGCUAGUUUACAUUAGCUAUUUUGCGCUAGGCUUAAAUUCUAAGCAACUAUUUUUUUGAACGAAAGGCUAAACUUUUGGUAUCGACGGAAAUUAACGAAAUAUCAGAAAUUUCAUAGGAAAAUUUUAAACCUUAAUUGUAGCAUGCUAACCAAAUUCUGCGCAAGGUGUGUAGACAGACCAAAUUCCAUUUAGCUUGUGAAGAUGUAUAGUAAGUGUACUAACCAAAUUCCAUUUCUCUUGUGAUAGACACAACAUAUGGUUGACCAACUGACGGAACUCCAGAGAAGGGUAUGCUCUCAACAAGUCAACAUUGAUAGAUAGUGAUAUUUAGUGACUGACCCUGCAUUAUUAUUAAAUUUGCAGGAGCAAAUGUUUUCUGAAGCAAACAAAUGUCUUCGAAUAAAAGUAAGUUCUAAGACUGUAAUAAGCAUUCGAAAUGUAGAUGUUCUCGAAGGAGAUGGAAACUAAUAAAAUACUGUACAUACUUAAUUUCCUACUCAUAUGGACCAUACAUCUAGCUUCUGAUGUUCUUGAUUUUCUGUAAGAUGCAGUUGGAGGAGAGCAAUCAGGUUCAUGGCCAGCAACUCUGGGAGCACAACAACAACUUACUCAGCUACGAACGUCAGCCUGAGGUGCAGCCGCAGAUGCAUGGCGGCAAUGGAUUCUUCCAUCCUCUCGAUGCUGCUGGUGAACCCACCCUUCACAUAGGGUAUUACUCUCAUUCUUAAACCAUGUUUACAAUCGAUAAUCACUGCAUAUAUGUUCUGUUUUCUUGCUAGGCAUUUUCUGUAGGAAAAAACGAAGCACAUCACGCUGUUAUAUUUUCAUGUGAUGACUUAUCGAUAAAAUGUCAUAGCUACCGGACCGGGUACAAAUACAAUAAUCCCUCUCUCUAUCUGCAGGUACCCUUCUGAGACGAUGAAUAGUGGCAUGAAUAGUUCAUGCAUGACCACUUUCAUGCCGCCGUGGUUACCAUGAUCGAAGCCAGCGAAUCGUUCAAUAAUAAGAAUAUGCGACUCCGGGCCGCAUAUGUGUACACUACUUCGAGUGAUGGAUUGUUCAUCCCAGCAGUCAAGGCCCCCUGUUAUUUUGCGUGCAACUUUAACUACUUUUGUGUGAGAACAUGAAACUAAAACUAUGUACUGUUUGAUCUUCAGAUAUUUGUACUUCAUGCGUGUAAAAGAUCAUAUAUGUAACAGCUUGGAGCGCUAGCUGCCUAUACAUUAUGCCAGUAUGAAUGUGUGGUGCUUGUAUAUUUCGUAAUUUGCAGCACUAGUUUAUUUCCUUUGACUACACACUAGUAGUUUCAAGGAACGUCUGAAUUUUAACUUCACCUAUACAAUUGCGUGUAUAUCAUUGCAACACUCUGUACAUUACUUGUAGCUUGUAUACAUUUUCCUUCAAUUUUUAUCUUGUAAACGUACAUUUUCCUUUGCAUUAUUUGGGGAUCAUUUUCCUGGUACAAGGCUACAAGAGCUGGGCGGUGCAACAGCGUGGGCCAAAGCCCAGUACACCAAACAGGCCUCCCCAGCUUCAAAAGCUCGAACACGCCCUUUCUGCUGACUCCCGUGGGCCCGGGCCCCGGGCCGACCUCUUAAGACCCAAUCCCACCAAACCCCUGCCGAAUUUUCUUAUCCCCUUUCUAUCUUCUUCUUCCUCUCCACGCAUACUUCUUCCUGCCUCGAGGAAGCGGUCAUGGCCGGAGCAGCAGCAGCCGCCGUGGCCUCCGGGAUCUCGAUCCGGCCGGCAGUUGCGCCUAAGUCCUCGCUCGCUCCCCGCGGUAGGUCGAUGGUGCGGGCCGCCGUCUCCGUCGAGAAGGGCGCGAGUGCGUACACGGUCCAGAAGUCCGAGGAGAUCUUCAACGCCGCCAAGGUGCCGCUUCCUCCUUCUCUCUCCCGGUUUGGAAACUCCAGUACCUCGUCUGAGAUAUCGCCUCCUUCGGCUUAGCAGUUCGAUGAGCGGGGUUUCAGGCAGUAAUGUUUUGAAUACAGUUGUGUGGGUUCUCGGCCAAUUGGAACUGGUCUCGUGUAGAGAUUGGGGGCAAAAUGAGUGCAAUUCGUAUCUGUUUUUAUGCGAAUGGAAUCCAAUCUGUGAGAUUAGAGGUGAAUUUCAAUGUGCGAGGUCUAGAUGAGCAAUGUGAGAUUUUAGCAAGUCGAAGGUCAACUGUGUGCUCAGACUAGAUUGGUACAUUUAGACAGACAUAUAGGAUAGCCACAACACUGAUGUUCAAACACGAAGCUAUUUUCGACAGUACAUGGUCCCUCGCAACUGUGCAUAUGUUGAUUCUGCAACUGAAUUUUACAUCAAUGUGUUAAAACCGAAAUGAGAAUAUAAUGUGAAAUGGUCGCCAUACGUAGCUAGACUGAAGAAAUGCAAACUGGCCAGCGCAUUGAAUGGUUCUCUUGGUUUGGUCAUGUUCUCUAGUUGGCAUGUCGCGUUGACAGAAUUUGUGCAACCCUGUUUGGAUGCAAAACUUGCAUUCUUCUGUUAUCUGAGAUCCUAGUCGCAUUUGAUGUUCAUUGUUGUUGUUGUUGUUGUUAUUAUUAUUAUUAUUAUUAUUAUUAUUAUCUGUUGUGAGUGUUUACUUAUUGAUGUUUUCACUCCACAGGAAUUGAUGCCUGGCGGCGUUAAUUCACCAGUCCGAGCCUUUAAAUCAGUUGGCGGGCAGCCCAUAGUCUUUGAUUCUGUAAAGGGUUCUCAUAUGUGGGAUGUUGAUGGCAAUGAAUAUAUUGAUUAUGUUGGAUCCUGGGGUCCUGCAAUCAUUGGUCAUGCAGAUGAUACGGUAUAUCCUGCCUCCAUGCUGACUUAUCUUUGGAUGGUUUCACUGUUCCCUAUGCCAUAGUGGAUAGUUUAAUGAUAGAAAGGCUCACAUCUAUUUCUUCAUAGUACUUGAUAUGAUUAAGUUUCCUUCAAAAGAUAUAAGGCACCACUAGUUAGUAGAUCUGUAAAAUUUCUUGCUCAUAUUAUGUAAAUCAAACUGGUGUAAUUGCCUAAUAAUAUAUAUCUCAAUUCAAGACUUAUGAACACUCAUUGAGUAUGACCUGGAAAAAAGAAUCCUUAGUUGAUUUAGAAACUUUGAGAUAGGAAACAGACUUGAAUACUGAAUCAAAUCAGUGUCACCAAAAUCUUCUUGUUUACUUCAGGUGAAUGCUGCACUGAUUGAAACUCUGAAGAAGGGAACUAGCUUUGGUGCUCCAUGCGCAUUGGAGAAUGUGUUAGCUCAGAUGGUUAUCUCUGCCGUGCCAAGCAUCGAAAUGGUCCGUUUUGUAAAUUCAGGGACAGAAGCCUGCAUGGGAGCACUCCGCCUUGUACGUGCAUUCACUGGGAGGGAAAAGAUCCUCAAGUUCGAGGGCUGUUACCAUGGCCAUGCAGAUUCCUUCCUUGUUAAAGCUGGCAGUGGUGUUGCCACCCUUGGCCUCCCAGACUCCCCUGGAGUUCCCAAAGGAGCAACCGUUGGAACUCUAACGGCACCGUACAAUGAUGCUGAGGCAGUAAAAAAAUUGUUUGAGGAUAACAAAGGUGAGAUUGCUGCAGUCUUCCUUGAGCCGGUUGUCGGCAACGCUGGCUUCAUUCCUCCAAGUCCUGCUUUCUUGACUGCUCUUCGUGAGUUGACCAAACAAGACGGUGCACUUCUGGUCUUUGAUGAAGUGAUGACUGGUUUCCGUUUAGCGUAUGGUGGGGCUCAAGAGUACUUUGGGAUCACCCCUGAUGUGACAACCUUGGGGAAAAUUAUUGGUGGUGGUCUUCCGGUUGGUGCUUAUGGUGGGCGGAAGGACAUCAUGGAGAUGGUUGCUCCAGCAGGGCCGAUGUACCAGGCAGGAACCCUCAGUGGAAACCCUCUAGCUAUGACUGCUGGAAUCCACACGCUCAAGCGUCUGAUGGAGCCUGGCACCUAUGAAUACUUGGACAAGAUAACCGGCGAACUUGUCCGUGGGAUAUUGGAUUCGGGCACUAAAACAGGGCACGAGAUGUGUGGAGGACACAUCAGAGGAAUGUUCGGGUUCUUCUUCGCUGGUGGCCCGGUUAACAACUUUGACGAUGCCAAGAAGAGUGACACAGCAAAGUUUGGGAGGUUCCACCGUGGAAUGCUCGAAGAAGGUGUGUAUCUUGCGCCCUCGCAGUUCGAGGCAGGUUUUACCAGCUUGGCACACACACCCCAGGACAUCGAGAAGACGGUGGAGGCUGCAGAGAAAGUUCUUCGACGGAUAUAGGCAAUUCUUCCGGCAAACUUGUUGAAGUGUCCCCUUGUGUUGUACUCUGAUAUAGUUCUACGCCGUGGAAGUUCAGUUUUGUAUUGUAUUGUAUUGUGCAGCAGCAGUACAUUGAUCUCUAGACCAUUUCGUUCUUUCUGAAUUACAGUAGUAGCACUCUUUUUGCACUGGCAAUAAAACUCCGUCCUACAACCUGGAUUACAAUGUCUUGUACAGUAUUGACAUCUGGCUUUGUUUCUUCUGCUUUUUAGCUGACCUAUAUUUGCAACAAGUAAAAUAUUUUGAGUAGGCACUCAUUUGCAGGUGGACUAUCAAGCCGUUGGUGCGCUGAUCGCAUACUGGAAGGCUGGAAGCUGCUUCUUCCAGCUAAACGUCGGGAAGCAGCGAUGGAAAUGGCUUCUAGGAAUCAGGAAGGGCUUGACAUUACGGAUCAGAACUCCAAGCGUGUCGACCCGGUCUUCGUCGCUAUUCACCCUCUAUUCAUUACUGUACUCGGAACCCCGAGUGUUGUCUGUGACUAUAUGCUCCUGUUUCGUGCCGUAUUCACACUGAGAUACCCUGACUAAAAUACACCACCUGCAACGUGCUCAGUAAUCACUAUCCGAGAUGUUCGACUCCUGUUUCGUGCCGUUCAAGGUCAAGCUUCCCUAUGACCAGACGGAGAACCUCGCCGCCGACCAUGCCGUCAGCUCCAAGGACGUCUCUGCCGGUGGAUACCUCUGGAUAUUUUCUCUUCCUACGACGCCUACGACGCCUACGCCGACGACAGGUACCUCGGAAUCUGCCUACAGCUCGCGAGAAACGCUAGAAGAGUCAUCAAGGCCAUCUUCGAGGCUUUCGUCAUGAAGAAGAACGGUGAGCCAUAUUCUCCCCUUGCCGACAGACUCGCGCAUUAUUUUUCCUCAUCAGACCACUCCUCGGGGUGGUCAUGGUGCGUGAAGCGAAGCGAACUCGAGUCGCUCUACAUGGUCGACGGCUGGAUCACCAUUGCUUGCGGGGUCAUCGUCGUGCGCGACGACUCCUUAUCCGUGCCGCCUUCCGACAUCGGGACCCAUCUCAGCAGACUCCUGGACUGCGCCGCCGCCGACGGUUCCGACGUCUCCUUCGUAGUGGGCGGCAAGAAGUUCCCAGCUCACCGGGCCGUGCUCGCCGCCCGAUCGCCGGUCUUCAAGGCGGAGCUCUUCGGCUCCAUGGCAGAGGCCAGCAUGUCAGACAUCACAUUGACAGACAUUGCACCUGCAACCUUUGAAAUUUUCCUCCGGUUCAUGUACACCGACACCUUGCCUGAAGAUGGCGACUCGCCUAUCGAGAUGUACAAGCAUCUGCUUGCCGUGGCCGACCGGUAUGCAAUGGAUAGGCUGAAGCUCAUGUGUGCCAAGAAGCUGUGGGAUGAUGUGUCAGUAGAUACGGUGGCCGAGACUUUAUCUCACGCUGAAACAUACAGAUGCGCCGAGCUGAAAACCAAGUGCAUUACCUUCUUUGCGAAGGAGAAAAACUUCAGGAAGGCUGUGUUAACCGAUGGUUUCGUCAGGCUGGUUCACAAGUUCCCAGCGAUUGUUGCCGAGCUGAGGGAGAAGCCCAAGAAGUAGCCAGAGAGAGAUGCAAAUCCUGAUUGAUGUGCCUGUGUUGCAAUUUACUAUUCAGGUCUUCAUGUAUGGUUUAUGUCACCUGGUAGUUGAUAUCUUUUAAAGCAUACUGCUGUACUUACCAACUUAUUAUGUGAUGGGCUUGAAAAUCGUGGUAGCCUAAUCUUUGGACUAAUCUUCUUAUUUGCAUAUUGGUGUCACUCUUCUAUAUGUUUUUAGCUGUAGCGUAAUUGAGUCCAUGCUGCGUACAAUCAAACUGGGAACUGGUCUGUAGUUUGUGCAAUUUAGCCCAACUGGCCGGUGCAGCAAGUAGCAGUUACUGUUCAAUUAUUGGAUAAACAACAUAAUCUAUAGGAUGGAUGCAGUAGUAUGUACAGUAUGUAUCAAGUGUAUAUGUAUGUUUUGACAAGUUUGGGAUUGCUCACAUCCUUCCUUCUUUUCAUUCUGUUCACUCAGACGGGAAACAGGGAUGUUGAUGUUGUCAGUUAAAUUUCACAGUUUGGCUGAUUUAGAGUUUAUUCUUUGCAGUGGCCCAUAAAUUGUAGCAAUAUAUUCCAGUGUUUACUUCCAUCCUUACUUUUUUUCAUGGAUCCUCACAUCAAGGGACUGACUCCGUGACUGAACAUAACAAAUGAUACAUUUGUGUUGCGUUCAGAGCUUGAAAGGUUUAGGGAAUAGUUUUGGAGAUGCAGACUGCAAGACUUGCUGCUUGACUUUGCUCUUGUUCUAUAUACAGAAAGGGAAAAUAAAACCCGUUCAUGUUGUUGAUGUUCCUGGUCAUGCAACGCUGAAACCCAAGCUUGAUGGAUUCCUCCCUCAGGCAGCUGGAGUUGUUUUUGUUGUGGUGGAUGCUCAGCUCAGGAUUUCUUGUCUAGCAUGCAAGCUGCUGCAGAGUAAAUUUUUGCUGACUUCAUUUCCGUUCUGAGGAAAAUUUGUGUUUAUGCAAAAUUGAUGUCUGAGUUGCCACUGAUUGACCUGAUGAGAGAGUAUUUGGUGCGAUGAACAAUUCACAAUCGCCACCUUCUGACCCGCGUUGCCUCCGAACUUGACGUGAUCUGUUGUAAAAAAGUAAGGUCAUGUCCUGAAUGUGUGGUUUCCACAUGAAUAUUUCAGUAGUUUCGAAGGAAACACUCCUAUCUCUGUAGUAAUCUGCCAUGCUCCAAAAGCUGCACAAAUGAUUUCAGUAAGGACGUGUUGACGCCUUGUCGGACGGUUACCUGCAGUUGGUUCGCAAGUUCCCGGGGAUCAUGGCUGAGCUGAGGGAGAGGGUUGGGGCAGAGUGAGAGAUUCAUGUCUGUAAUUUAGUUCAACUUUCUGAAAUUUAGUAAUUCGCAGUGUUGUAGUAUGGUGCAUGAUGAAUCUAGCAUUCUUUUUUAGAGAAAACUAAUCUACGGAGUAGCAUUCUUCAGAAACUUCAUUGGAAUAUGGACGUUGCUUCGGCUCUUAUAGUUCUUGUUCCGUCUGUCACCUCCUACAUCUAAUGAUUUUUCUCGCAUGCAUGGAUAACACGAUUCUAGAUACGGUACUGGUCAUAACGAUGCUUUGUUAUGCAAAUUUCUCAGCAAGGUUUUGCAGUCUUCUGAUGUUCCUUGUUACACCUGGUUAGCACGGCAAUACAUAUGAAGAAAUAUCUCUCAUGUCUCUCGGGCAAGGGACACACAAACUUGGAAAACGCUAGUUCAUUACAUUCAAACUGUUCAGAAUUCCACUGUGUGCUCUCUUGGGAAUGGCUCCCACAUCUUCUUUUGGUUCGAUCACUGGUUGCCGAAUGGAAGAUUAUUCAGUUUUCCCAACACUCUUCUCCUAUGCGACAGACUGCCUCUCCACGGUUGCCUCACAAUUCUUUGGGAGUUGAUCCCUAAAACUCCAUCCCAACUUGUCGGACACUGCAAUCAGAGAGCUCCAGAGCCUGCAUAUGAAGCUACUGAACUUUCAACCGGUUGCCUCUGCGCAAGAUAUUCGUACUGCUACUUUGAGCGGCAAGCCUGCAACAACCGCCUUUUUCUAUUGGCUGCUCACAUUCAGAGGUGUUAUUUGGGGUCCAAGUAAGUUCACCUGGCAUUCGGUUAUCCCCUUAAAGCACAAAGUUUUUCUCUGGUUAGCCUUCCAUGUCCGUGUAAACACAAGAAGCAGCAUGAUCAAGAAGCAAUGAAAGAAUAUUGAUCGCGGGGACUGCGAUAUCUGCCCGGCUACUGAAAGUAUUGACCAUAUUUUACUUCGAUGCCGUGAUGCACAUUACCUUUGGUCUGACCUUGGACUAAUCAGCCAAGCAUCUCGAGCUAGUAGUCCUUACUCCUUCCUAAAAGAACAGAAUGAGCAGGACCAAAACUGGUUUAUCUUCUUUGCUGCAUGUGCUUCACAGCUCUUGUUUGCCCAUAACCACUACUAGAAAUCACAAGUUUCCCUAGGAUAGAUGUGUUUCACUAGAUCCGAUUUUAGUUACUCUAGGUAAAGUAAAGGUGCAAAUAGUGUAACUCUAGGUAAAGAAAAUUUGCAUCCAAAAAUAAAUAUGAAGUAAACUUUACCUUGAGUUUAUUUGACCCCUAGGUAAAGAAUGCCAACUGGCUGAGGAAAAAAGGCUCAUGGCGGGCAAUUUGCUUCCCUUUUCGGGUCCAUCCCGCGCUUUUUCCCUGUCGCGUGCGCGAUGCUUUGCAAGGGGCGCGCAACGCUUUGCACGGGACCAGUCGACAGCGAGAGAGUCGAGCGAAAAUUUUCUGUUCUGUGGAGAAGGACCGCUCGGGUUGCUUCUCUUUCCCCUCUCGCAGUUGUCCUCCUUUCGCAGCCCUCCUCCUCUUGCCGUACCCACGCCGCCCCACCCUCCCCGGCCGGCCCCGCCCUCCUCCUCUUGCUGUACCCACGCCACCCCACCCUCCCCAUCGAGCCCCGCCCUCUUCCUCUUGCUGUACCCACGCCGCCCCGCCCUCCUCCUCUUGCUGUACCCACGCUGCCCCGCCCUCCUCCUCUUGCUGUACCCACGCCGCCCCACCCUCCCCGGCCAGCCCCGCGCUCCCCCGCCCGCCGUACCAGCACUGCGCCGCUGUUCCCUUUUGUCUCCGCCCCUUCCUGCCAUACUCGCAGUCUCCGCCCCUCCCCGCCAUAUCCGCGCCGCCGAGAACUGCCUCCUCCGCUGUCAAGAUGGGCGUGCCGCCUGCGAGGAUGCGGUCACGGUGACCGUUUCUAGAGGGAUUUGCCGAGGAAUCUUGGCAGCAGCGGGCUCCCUAUGGUGGCUGCCCCUUGACCACCCCCCUUCUGGUUCGUGCUCUCUCAUCUCAAUUUUCUCCAGCACUCUCUCUCUCCCUCUCUAAUUUCUAAUUUUAUUUGCUAUGUGUCAUGAUCUAUGUGUCUUUGUAAUGAUUUCAGUCGAUUGAUUUGAUUGUCUGAAGCAACGAUUUGCUUUUGCCGGCUGUGGUAUCUCAAUGAUUUGUGAAAUCAUGAAGUUUUUAUCAAUUGAUAUAGUUCCGUCUGCUACAUGUGUUAUCUAAAUAUCUUAUAAAUUGAAGGAGCGUUGUUUGUGUGGCACAUGCUCAGCAGCAGACCUAGAAUUUGGUCAUGACGGGGGCUAAAUUUCAAUGGCCAAAAUAUAUAACUAAUUUAUUUAUGCUCUUGUAUGUAUUUUGAAGGAGCAAUUGUGUGAAGCCUGCUGUUCAGAAGUAAAUGUUUUGAAAGAUUGGUGUUUCUGAAGCUUGCGUUCAGAGGUAUGUAUAAUAUAGAUACGACCAAGUGUAGUACUAAUUAUAGCAUUAUUUUGCUUUGUCUAAUUAAUUUGUACAUCGAUUCUUUUCAGAGAAAUACAAGUUUUUGCUGGCCAGAUUGAAGGAAUAAAGAACAAACUGGUCUUCUGUGCUACAGAGCAAUCAAGUAAGCAUUCCAUGUCUUCUGAACAAUUCCGUGACUGGAUGUCCAAUGGUUGGGAUGAAAGUGGAAGGCAUUCUCAGGAAUGGAUUAGAAACACCAAUGAAUUUGUGAAUCAUGCUUUUGAUGGGGUUCGUAGUGCCAAGUAUGGAAUUCGCUGUCCUUGUGCAAAAUGUUGCAAUGAUAUUAGAAGAACAAACACUUUGAUGACCUCUCACCUCUGCCAAUGGGGUUUUAUGCCCAACUACUAUAGAUGGACAUCUCAUGGGGAGCAGCCUAGAAGUGAACCUUUAAAUCACAAUACAAUACAGACCCUGCCAACACUUCAGAAGCCAAAGAAUUGAAUCUAGCUUCAGCCUGCAUUGUAUAGGGUAGUUCUAAAGGAUUUAAGAUAGUAAUGUUUACAAAAACCACAUGUGUUAGACCUUUCUUAAAUGGUUAACUCAACAAGCUUUACAAUAGAAUUACAUUUACAUGACUACGUAAAGCUAUAGAGAAAAAUCUUACCCUAAGAAACGAUUCAACUGAAAACCGAAUAAUUAUUUACCUGCUAUAUUACCCUAAGGAAUUAACAUCGAUACACUGCAGCUCGUAAGAACUUGACUUGCAACUUUCGGUGAAAAGAAAACUCAUAAUAGUGAGAAUGGAAUAUUGUUUCUCUAAGCAUGAUGGUACCUGCCCCAUUAGCGGGUUGGAUAUUGAAACUGUGGCUUCCCUUUAACUUUUGCCAUUUUGAGACAGAAGAAAGCAUAAUUUAGUGACAACUAAAUCUGGUAUAGCUUAACCGAAAUCAUAUCAUUAUCUGCUUUGCACUAACGAUACAUUGCAUCGAGAACAAGAAGGUAAUUUGGGUAAGGUAGGUAAUUUUGUGGGCAUUACAACACUAAUUUUGUGGCCCCACGUGUAAGAAUGAGAGGGCGUGGUGCGACGGACGACCACCACCAAAUGCCUUUUUUAGAAGAGUAAAGAUUGGUGCUCUAGAUUGGCUGAUUGUCUAGCACUUGUUUCUAGCUACAAAUUAACAGUUGGUUGAUUUUCUCUCUUAGUAGGCUCACUGGUAUACAUGCAGCCUUAUACCCCCUCUGUCCCUAUUUUUUGGGCGUAAAUAUUCGUGUCUCACUGCAUCAGGCGCUGUUUGUAAAUUAGACUGAAAUGCAGGGACAUACCAAAUGAUUUUUAUUUUGCAUUUUGCACAUGAGUCUGCCAUGGUGCCACCCUUUUGGUUCCACUUUCAUGUUUAGUUUUGGGUUCCACUUUCAUGUUUAGUUUUGGGUUCUAGGACUUCUGCUUGAUAACCACCUAUAUUUUGGUAAGUAUGCAUCUCAGAUUGGUUGUGGUCAUGAACAGGUUUGCUAAUUGAACAUACGUGCUUUGCUGGUCGUUCCUUUUUCUCCCCCAAAAGACUAGAAUCUCGUUGUCAUGUAAUUUGAUGCCUUCUUCCAGAUCUGCACUCUUGAGUUUUGUUUGUCAAUACACUGAUCGACACACUGUCCUGUGCUUUCUUCUCACAAUAGAGAAAUGUUAUUAUCUUUUUUAGGAUGUCAUAUUAACUGUGUGUACAGCUUGAGAGAUUGCAGCCCUUUUAGCAUAAUUACUCCAAUGCAUGUGAACAUAAGUUUAUAUGAGCAUGCUUGAAUAUAUUGAUGCUACCACAUAAUUACUCCAAUGCAUCCGAACAUAUGAACGGAGUGAGUACAUGUAGAGUCGCUUUUAAGUUAAAGGUACAUACUGACUAGAUAUCUAAUGAGAUGUUGUUAAUUACUACCAUUGUAUACAUUGAUGCUACCACAUGAUUGUCGUCUUAUUUUCAGGAGCACAAUGCCAGCUCAAAUUUUUCUGCCGACGAGCCUGCGCAUGCUGCAGAUCAAGAUGCAUUUGGAGGUUUCUUCAAUGAGAUUGCAACAGGCACAAUUACGUUCUCAUCGCUGCUCAUGAGUAGCCAUAGCAACUGAAUAGAUCUUGCUUAUGUAGUUUUUUGGAGUAGCAAAAUCUAGCUACUUACUGAUAUGUGACAAUAGUUGAUAUGGGACAAUAGUAGGCAUAUCGUGUCAUAUUUUUUGGCCAUAGCUAACUCUAGCAUGCAUGUACUGAUCUGUCACGGCUGUAAUCUGAUCAGACAUGUUAUUUGAACGAAGACUGAGAAUGAGUGAAUAUAAUGUCUCCUGUGAAGUUUCUAUUGGUUAUUAAUUUCUGCCACAUUCGAAUAUAUUUGAAUUACGGUCAUUUCAAAUUCAACUAUUGUCAAUAUGAAUUUAUAUAUGGUCAAUAUGAAUUCCAUAUGGUUCCCUCGAGUGUAGUUUAGAUCUUACUAGGUAAAGUCCUCUAGGGAAAGAUGAUGAUGUGGCAAAUCUGAUUCAAAUAUUGGUCCCACACCUUUCCCUAGAGGUAAAUUGACCCUAGGGAUCAUAACUUUCCACGUUGGCACAUAGCUGCCAUGUGAUCUCUUUACCUAGAGUUCCAGCCACCAGGGAAAGAAAUAUUCCCCUAGAGUUGUACAAAUGCCCCUAAGUAAAGCCCUCCUUCCCCACCAUACUAUACUUAGGGUUCUUUCCCUAGUGCGGUCACUAGGUAAAACAUUUACCUAGUGUUUUUAUGCUUUUUCCUAGAGUAUUUGGUACUAGGGAAACCUGUGAUUUCUAGUAGUGAACACGCGAGUUUUUCGAAUGAACAUAUCCCAAUGCGCAACAUCAAGCAAAACACAGCUGACACUCUCCGACUUUGGAGCUUUAGAAUUAACAAGAUGCCGCUCAGGCUCUGGCUAGCUCGCGGGGAGAAAGUAUUUCCUGAGAAUUGCCUGUAUGUUAGACCUGUCUUUUUCAUAUCCUUACCCGUUUUUUUUUGUCCUUUUGUAACUCAAACUCGACUCAGUUUUGAGUCUUUGGAAUAUAUAAAGUAGACAAUUGUCUGCCUUCUUAUAAAAAAAAAUACGGUACUGCUCAUACUCUGUUUUUUUUUUGAGAGAGAGCAUCAUACUCUGGCUUUUUUUUUUUGAGGGGGGCAUACUCUGGCUUCUAGAAAGUCGUAACUAAAGAAGAUCCCAAGGUGAAAAUGUCAGACAAAAAUUGAAGCUCGGCGAUAAAAGGCCGCUGGACCACUCGGCUUUGAGGAACCAGGCCCAAUGGAGAGAAGAGGUACGGCGAGCCUCCUUGCGAUCCAUCAUCCAUGUAUAACCGUGCCGUGCUUAAAGCCCACACGGGAACGGGAACUGAAGUUUGUUGCAGGCGCCCCAAAAUUUAUUUGCAGCCAGAUCGGCUUCUUCGUCUUCCUAAUUCCUCCACCAGACGAACCCUAGCGGCUGGGAUCAAAACAACGAGCUAGCGCCAGCGGCCACUACUAGCCAAGAUCGAUGUCGGACUCCUGUUUCAUGCCGUUCAAGCUUCACUACGCGGAGACGAAGAAGAACCUCUCCCAAGGCGACGCCGUCAACUCCGAGGUCGUCUCUGCCGGCGGGCACCUCUGGAGGAUUACAUGCUAUCCACAAGGUAAUGAAGAAAGCGGCUUUAUCGACGACGACGACGAAGAAGAAGACGAGGAGCCGGCGGCCGAUUACCUCGCGAUCUACCUCGAGCUCACGAGCGAGUCCAAAGGCGUCAAGGCUAUCUUCGAGGCUUUUCCCAUGGAGAAGAACGGCGCGCCGUCUUCUUCCCAUGCCAAAAGACUCAUGGAUGUUUUCUCAUCCGAGGAGGACUUGCAAUCCAACUGGGGGUGGCUACAUUUUGUGAAGCGAAUUGACCUCGGGAAUCGCUACGUGGUUGACGGUGGGUCACUAUUAUGUGGGGGGUCAUCGUCGUGCGCGACGACCCCCUAUCCGUGCCGUGCUCCGACAUCGGGACCCAUCUUGGCCUACUCCUGGACCGCGCCUCCGCCGACGGUAACUCCGACGUCUCCUUCGUCGUCGGCGGGGACACGUUCCCCGCAAAUCCCUAGUCUUCAACGCGGAGCUCUUUGGCUCCAUGGCAGAGGCCACCAUGUCGAGCAUCACGUUGGAAGACAUCACGCCCGCAACAUUUGAAGUCUUCCUCCGGUUCAUCUACACCGACGCCUUGCCCGGAGAUGACGAGCUCGGUGAAGAUGGCGACUCGCCUAUCGAGAUGUACAAGCAUCUGCUUGCCGUGGCCGACCGGUACGCGAUGGAUAGGCUGAAGCUCAUGUGUGCCAAGAAGCUGUGGGAUGAUGUGUCCGUGGAUACGGUGGCCGAGACUUUAUCUUAUGCUGAAACAUACAGCUGCGCCGAGCUGAAAACCAAGUGCAUUGCCUUCUUUGCGGAGGAGAAAAACUUCAGGAAGGCCGUGUUAACCGAUGGUUUCGUCAGGCUGGUUCACAAGUUCCCAGCGAUUGUUGCCGAGCUGAGGGAGAAGCCCAAGAAGUAGCCACAGAGAGAGAUGCAUGUCCUGAUGUUCAAGUAAUUUACAAUUUAGGUGUGGUUUAUGCGCGCAUGCAUGUCUGGUUUGGUUUAUAGAUGUCCCUGUAAUUUACAAUUUAGGUGUGGUUUAUGCAUGUCUCGUAUGGUUUACAUGUUUGAUGAAUUAAUUAUAGGGGGGUAGCCUUACAGGGUGCCUUCCGACAAGGCCACAUGCACGUGCUUUAUUCGUCAAGAAACCCCUUCCGUGCGUGGGUCGAACGCGUUUUCUCUUGCCGUCGUAAUUAAUUCCCACCCUUCCGCAGACUGCCCCACCUUUUUUCUCCUUGACAUUCACUGUACGUCUCUGGCCGCGAGCGACGCUCCUGCAUACACGCAUCAUCCCCGCAUAAUUACAUCUAGCAAGAAUUCCGAAUAAUAGAUACUCCCUUCAGGAAAUAAGUCCACCCGAAAACGACGGAAAAAAGUGCAUCCCAAUUAUUUGGGUACACAGGUCUGUCACAAAUUCAUUUUUCUAAGGAACAAUUCACUUAAAAGCUAAGUACAUAAAACAAACGAAAUACAUGGAGAGAAGUACACAAGUUAUCCUCCAUACAGAGUGUAUCAAAUGUGCAAAUGAGGAAAAGAAAUCCACCGAAACAGGUAGACAACUUACAUCCCCACUUAGCAUCACAUACAGUUGGCAAGAGCAUAACUGACAUCUUCGAUGCCUGCAUAACAAAAAAUUACGCCAAACUCAGCUCCAAAACCAAAACUCUUUCCAAUUAUCUGACAUUUUGCUGAAAUGAUGAAGACAAACAGUAUCAACAGAAAUUCAAAUUGCUAUAAGGAUUGAUAGAUGUGAAAUAAUUUCGCGUAUAAAACAAAAGAGUUUUGUCUAGCAAUCAGCCAAAACUAGAUCAUCCAAACUUCAUUUGGCUUGUUAAUCUGGCCAUCAACAACAAUAUGGCUUGGUUCAGUAUCCACUGCAUUGGUUACAUCAUGUCUAUUUGAAAACAAUGUUACUGCAAAGCAAAGGUAAAACUACAUCCUGGUAUGACAAAGACACAUCCGGUAUAUGAACAUAUAUACAACUAUAUAAGGUAAAACUGCAUCCUAUCGUCCAUGUCCUAACCUGCCAUGUGUGGUCCCCAAAUAGCAGGUAACACGCCGCACCUCCUCUGCUUUAUCAGAUCUCCCUCUUUUUUUGUUCUAUGAGAAACUCCACACAUCUAACAAAAUUUACUUUCUCCAAGCUCACAUGUAGAUGUAACUUUUAACAUCAGAAUUACAUCUAAUAAAUCAGGAAAGUAACUCUUAACAUUUAAACUACAUCUACCAAACUCAUGAAAGUAACUGACAUGUUGAAACUACAUUUAGCAGAAUCGUAAAGUAACUCCUAACUUGAAAUUUACAUCUAACUCACUCAAAUGUAACAUUCAAAAUUGAAGUUACUUCUAACAAUAAUGGGAUCCAACUCUUCUGCAAUGGGAUGAUAGAAAUGUAUGCAUUAUAGGAGCUACUGCCGGUGCUUACCCUAGAAGUACCAGGUGAAGAAGCAGGUUGAAAGGUCAUACCAAGGGGUGAUCAACACGUAUGAGAGCAAACACAACUACCUCAUCCCAGCCACGCUAUGCGACAACCCGCACCAUCUGCAUGUCCACCUCCUCCCUGCACAUCACUUCCACCAGAACAAUAACACCAGGUUGUUCCAGAUGCCAUCGCCGCCAGUGCAGCAGCACUCGGCCACCUUGCAGGCAAUCCAACAGCUUCUUGCCGCUGCCGCAGGGUCGACGACGAUGGCGGAUCUUGCAGAGGGGAGCGGUGGCCUCGGUCACGGAGGGAGGUAGCCGCGGCUCACCCAGAGGUGGGAGGCAGCCUUGAUUCGCGGAGAGAGGCGGCCGUAGCUCACGCGGAGGAGGGAGGUUGCGGCGGCGGCCUAGCGCCGAGGCCCAGCCUCGGUUCGUGGAGGGAGGGGGAGGCGGCGGCUCACGUGGAGUAGGGAGGUGGUGGCAGAGGCUCACGGGGAGGAGGAAGGUGGCAGCGGUGGCCUGGUGCGGAGGAGGAAGGUGGCGGCGUGGGGGAGGACUGAGUGGUGUGCGGCUGCGGUGGAGAGAAAACAAGAGAAAGAGAUAAGACGAAGUAAACAGAUGAGGGGAAAAAACGGACGCGGGAUAGGUCGGCAGGAGAAAACGUUUCGGGGAGAAAAGCAACCGUGCGAUUUGAUCGGAUGGUUCUCGCGCGUGCGCACUGCGCGUUACAAGAGAGUGCGCAGGCACAAAUGAGAUUCGGCGUUAAUUAUAAUAUCUUUCCCAAGCAUGUUUUAGGGUAUAUGUGUCUUACCUCUGUUCCGCUACUCAUGGGCCGAAUCCCUCGGCUCAUUGCCCUUCUUUGUCAGAGCUAUCGGUUCAUUUCUACUCCCUUUGUUUCUGAUUGACGUUUUGGAAGGCAAAAUUUGUCCGUCUUACAAUUAAAAACAGAGGGAGUAUUACGUUUUUUUUUCCUUUUCUUCCCGUGAGCCUGCCCCUUUGACCCAUUUCCUUUAGAUCGCCUAUAUGCAUCCAGGCCUAGCGGACUGCCAUCCAGAAUGAACACCCAUUUCGAAUGCGUGUUGGUUGCAGAUACUUUGUCUCGGGAUUUGUAUGUACUUCCACUAGCGGGAUUUCAUUAAAAAAACCACUAAAAUUACCAAAUAAAAUCCGGGCCAGCAACAGCCGAUGAUGUCUUGGGUCGGGUAGAAACUGACGUGGCAUGAAAAACGAGCGUCGAAAAUAGGUCGAAGAAGAUGACAUGGCAUCUGAUUGGCGGCCGUGUUGUCGGCCGGAAACACAAUCAACCAACUUAAUUAUUGACCAGCCGCUCGAAAAGUUGUGAUUUUGUGAGACUAUUAAAAACAAUCAUGAUUUUGUGAAAUUUCGCUAUACUGUGUUGAUGUUCGUUGCUCUAAUAUUUUUGCUCUUGUUAUUUGUUACGGAGUACUACUCAAUAUAUAAGAAGUUUUUUUUAGGGAAACUCAAUAUAUAAGAAGUAAAACACAAAGUAGAGUAGAGUUGUAGCCCAUGGGCUGGACUGUAGCUUAUGGGCUCGACUGUAGCCCAUACAGAGCCCUGCCGUGUCCAUGGGCCACGAACGACCAUAUAUAUUCUUCUCGGUGGGUUUUAGCUUCGGCCACUGGGCGCUCGGCGGCGACACAAUCCCUAAUCCCUAGGAGAGUAGCAGCGAGCAAGUCUCGGGCGGCGGCAGGGCAGCGAGGAAGCGGACUCCCGGAGGACAGCGGCCGGCGGAGCCUCGACACCGAUCUCCAUCACCACCAGCAGGCCAACCGCCGCCGGCAGUGAGUGCCCCCCCCUCUGUUUCCUUCUUCUUCGGUUCCUGAAUCUAUGGUUCGGUGGUUUCUGAAUGGGUGCGCUGUUAAACUGCGCAGUGAGCAAGGGAGCCAAGGCGACGGGGCCGGGGCCGGAGGCGCGGACCACCGUGGUGAGUUCCGCCGCCGUCCAGUUCAGCGUGGAUUACGAGCAAGCCAAGCAGCUUCCCAUCGGCAAGGCCGUCUACUCGGAAGUCGUCUCCACCGGGGCACACCUCUGGAGGAUUGAGUGCUUCCCCCGUGCGGACGAUUUGAAGGACGAGGAGGAGUACCUUUCUGUCUGUAUCACCCACAUGAGCAAAAUGAGCCGAAGCAUGAGGGCCAUCUUGGAGGUCUACCUCAUGGACAGGAACGGCAUACCAUCUAGAACGGAAACUGAAAGGACACUUAAAACCUUCCGAGCCAAGGGCGGCUCCAUCGGAUGCUCAUCAUUCAUCAAGGGAACUACUGUGGAGAAAGACUACCUACUAGAGGGACACAUCACAUUCGUAUGUGCCAUCAUUAUCAUACGCGACGGCUGUAUUCCCGUGCCACCUUCAGACAUUGGGGUCCAUCUUGGUAGCUUGCUAGAUCACACGGACGGGACGGAUGUGGCAUUCAUCGUCGAUGGCGAGACAUUCCAUGCUCACCGUGCGGUGCUUGCUGCCCGCUCGCCGGUCUUCAGAGCGGAGCUCUUUGGCUCCAUGGCUGAGGCUACAAUGUCUUCCAUCGAGCGGCACGACAUCAUGCCCGCUACAUUCAAAGCUAUGCUUCACUUCAUCUACACGGACGCCUUACCUGGAGACGACGAGCUGGGGUGCUCUCCUGUCGAGGUGCUUCAGGAUCUACUUGCCGCGGCAGACCGAUAUGCACUAGACAGGUUGAAGCUGAUCUGUGCCCAGAAGCUAUUGGAGCAUUUGUCUGUUGAUACAGUUGCAACUACGUUAGCUUGCGCUGAGACAUACAACUGUCCGGAGCUGAAGAACAAGUGCUUUGACUUCUUCGCGGUGGAGAAAAAUUUCAAGAAGGCCGUGUUCACUGCUGGCUUUGCGAUGUUGUUGCAGAAAUUCCCAUCAAUUACUGAUGAGCUGAAAAGCAAGGUCGAGACAUAACAUAUACAUCCAGAUGUCAACAGUUCAGGCAUUAGCUUUAAUAUGGUGUUUUGAAGAAUUUGGUGAGUGAUAUAUAAUGUCUUCUCUAGCAUAUUGGGACAUGUACUACUUGUAGUUGAUAAUCUGGGAGCCUGAUCUUUAAAGAAUUCAUCUUCUUGCAGAAUCUUCUCCUUAUGUAGUAUCGCGCUAAGUUGCUGCCAAGCAAUACUUGAUAAGUGAGCAGAAGUGGAUUUUCAGAUAGCACAGAAGCAAAGCUAAGGAGAAUUUGCUAACUAUACUGGUGCAUUUGUGGUUUUGGCUCUCUGUUCUCUUGGGCAUGUCAUGUCCUGAACCUUGGCUUAUGCUUGAUGCUUUUGCUACACCGUUGUAACUAUUAAGAUAUUUAGUAUCUAGCUAUCUAGACCUGGGUUCAUGAGUACUAUGUGAUCAAUGCAAGCAUGUCGCAACUGAGAACACCUGAGUACUGAUGUUGUCAUACCAAAAUUAUGGGGUAUUGCUGUUUUCGUAGUUCAGUCUGAACUAUCUUAUACUGCCAUCAUUUGAUGAGUGAAAUCUGUGCUGCCAUAAAUAACAACAUUACACCAUGACAAAAAAUCAGGUAUUACUCUUUGUAUCUUCUAUCCCUCGUAUGAUGUGAAUUGCACAUUGAUUAAGGGCAAGACCUCUCUGACAGAUAAUGCCUCGUUUUGGUGUCAGCUUAUCUGAACCUUAGUUUUUUUUUGUUUGUGCUUACAAAUGGAAGAAUCAAUUAGGCGGUGAACAUUUGUGCAUGUACAAAAUUAGUUUGUGUAUGUUUAAAUGUUUUAUUAGUGCUAGAAAUCUCCAUAAUUCGUUUGUUUUAAAAGAGUGCCAGAUUCUUGAGUUGUUCAGGUGCUGUAAAUUGAAUUCCUGACAUGCAUAAUAUUGUGAAUGUGCUGAAUGUCGUGGUGGUGUCACGGCAGAUGCCAUAGCAUGGCUUAACUUGAGGCCGAUGGACAAAGGAGGAAUCGGAGGAGGGAGGACGUGAAGGGAAACAACGCACAAGUUACACAAACACAUACAGAUUUACCCAGGUUCGAAGCUCUCUUGCCGAGGUAAAACUCCUACUCCUACUUUGUUGUAUUAGCCGGGAUAGACAAACUCUACAAUGGCGCUCCUUGAGCUGUAUUCGUGAGGAAGAAGAAGAAGGAGAAACCCUAGAUGCCUAAGUGCUUCGUCUCUCUUUAUAGAGGGGUAAGGUUCUAUUUAUAGGCCGCCCAUGUCACAUUGACAUGUGGGCUGAGUCCUAACGUCACCUUCCUAGGGCCUCGCCGGGCAUGCGGCUUGGUUCCCUCCCGGUGGCACCGUUGGGGACAAGACAACUUUACUUUUCCUGGCACCCUGCAGCAAAUACCGCUAUCCUCUGCCGGCUUCCGUCAGAGAUUCUCUUUCGGUGUUUCUUUUCAGCAGUCGCCUGGCACCGGUACGUAAGUGGCGACUGCCUUUUCCACGAUAAUGAUGACGCUGCUUUACCCUCUGUCACGUGGUCAGGAUAAGACCGUUGAGAGAUCUCGGCGUGGGCCGAGAUCAAGGUGCUCGCCCUUAUCCUGCAAGCUCAUAAGACAAUAUAGUCAUGCCGGCAUACAUCCAGGAUGCCGGUUUAGUGUUAGUUUGACUUUACGAUGCCGGCAUACAUAACCAUGCCGGCUUUGCCUCCGUCAUCUCGGCUAGAGUUGUGUCGUCAUGACCCUACCCGGGGUCAUCCCCUCGACACUAGUCUCCGAAACUGUUGCGGUCCGGCAAGGAAGAAUGUCGGGCCACGACAGUUUCCCAAAGACAAACCACCAAAUCCUACCAGGGCUUAGCCGAAAAGGAUGCCGAGACAGCCCCAAGUUCUCCUAGCCGAGAUCAGUUCAUUCCGACAUUCCGGGUCGGCGUGCUUAUCCAGCCCCUAGCCGAGAUUCUUUUCUUCUCCAUGGCCAACAGUUGAAUUUUACUUCUGCUGAUAUUAACGCCACCUGUGACUUGGACUCUGCACCCCUCUAAACUAACGGGAGGAUAAGAUCCGAUUUACUGCUGGUGCGCCUUUUGAGGCGAACACAGCGUUCCAUCGGGCAGCAAAGCCGACAGAGCCAUUAAGAGGGGAAUUUCGGUUCCCACGCGGACACUUAUCCUCCCGGAUCCGACGGGAUUCUCUGUCCCACGCCGCACGGUAACCAAGUGUAUGCGCUUUGAUGGGAAUAACUGCCCCCAAGUCGUGCGCAAUCUUCCCGUUGGCCACAGAGAUAGUGGGUGUGGAGGAUCCGCGCCCCAUUACUGUGCCGUGAGCAUAAAUAGAAAGGGGAGGGUGAGGGUAAAAAACCCUUCGCACUCUUGGUCUUCUUCGCCUUCCUUUGCUCUUUUGCUCUCUGCGCACUCCGCCGCCGCAGCUAGCCCCGAGCUUCUCCGCCGCUGCGGUUUCUGCUCUCCGCCACCGAGCUCGCCGCCGCAAGUUCGCUCGCACUCGCUUGGGUCUCCGCCACACUUCUUUGCUCGCCCGAGCCUCACGCGAGCGCCUUCCUCACCGAAAACACAAACCCUAGAUCUACUCCUAAACCAUGGCUUCUUCUUCCCGCAACCCCGCCGUCGACCCUGCAGCUCAGGAGGUUGAGGAGAGGACCGGUUCGGAGCGAGCUGGCUGGGAGGGCUCUGAUGUCACUCCGGCGGACAUCGAGUGGCUCCACCGCUCCCGGCGGAUUCCGGAGGACGUCAAAUGUUGGGUUCCCGGUGACGAGACCGUGCCGACUUCAGAGCUCGGUGAGCAUGUCGUUUUCCUUGCUCACUUCGUACACGGUUUCGCUCUUCCGACUAGCGAUUUUCUUAGGAACUUCCUAGAUUUUUUCGGCCUCCAGCCGCACCACCUUCCGGCGAAUACCGUCCUUACUCUCUCGGCAUUCGUCACUUGCUGCGAGGGUAUCUCGGCCUCUGGCCCUCCAUUGACCUGUGGGCUAGAUACUUCAUGUUCCGGCCCCAGGUUCUUCCCGACAAGGAGAAUCCCGGCGUCGCUAAGCCGAUGACCCAAUGCGGCGCCGCCACCGUUAUACCUCGCCGAGGUUCGGCCUUCACUUGGAUUCAGGGUCUUGAGUCCUGUAAAAAGUGGCUCAAGACCUUCUUUUACAUUAAGAACACGUCCGACACCGACAGAAUCUACUUGCCGAGAUUCGAAGUCGGCCCCCCGGAGGAGAAGUGGAACUGGACAUACGACCCGGAGGAAACCCUCCCGGAGGUCAACGAGAUCCACGCCGGCAUCGAACUCAAGGACAACGGGAUGAUGGCUGACGACUUGUUGGCCACCUUCAUAUACCGGCGUCUAUGUCCGCUCCAGCGCCGAGUACACAAGAUGUGCUUUUAUGGCGGCGUCUAUGUCAACUUUCAAGCUCACUCAUGCUGAAGUCCGGCGCCGGGUCAAGGCGAUCGCCAAGACGAGCAUGUCGGAGAGAUGGACGUGGUUAUGCCGGCAUACAGCCGGGAUCGCCCCGCUCCUCCAGUAAGUUUUGUUCUCAUUUAACUCCUGUUCAUAUCCGACAUAUGGUUAUGCCGGCAUUUACCUGACGAAGGCCUAUCUCGGCUCAACCUGAUUUCUUUAUGCAGAGGUUCUCUCUUCAGCGUAACGAGGACGGGAAUUCUCUGGAUAAACGCUUCACGGCCCCGCGCAUGUCCAUUGACGUCGAGGACCCGGACUCCGAGGAUUUUAUGCCGAUUGCCCAUGCUGGCCCUCGUCGUGUCGAAUGUAAGGGUCUCAAACAUUUUCUCGCAGUCCUUAUAGUAUUCGUCACCAAAAUACUUAUUCCUGCUCUAUCCCGGAAAUAGCCGACUCAGGCGAGCCUGCUGCUGAGGCAUCGGACCCGGCUGCCGCUGCGGUGCCGGUCCGAGAGAAACGCGCAGUCUCGAAGCACGCCGCCGAAAAAGAUCUUCCGCAGAACAUGAAGCGGAAGAAAAAUGCGGCACGUGCACCCAAAACUAAGCCCCUGGUCGCUGGGUAAGGCCAAUAUCACCUCAAUCAUCGAUGUUGGUUUUUUUUCUUUAUUGUCAAGCCAACGCCUAACUUUUAUUUUUGCAGGGCGACUCUGACGGCUACGCAAUCUAAGACGUGUAUCGUGUCUGAGAUCCCGGCUGCUCCAUCUCCCCGUGUCGAGGCUGCGACCCAAGCCACGAGUGAGACCGAGGCUGCCGUGGACCCGACAUCCUCCGUCUGGGAUGUCGGCCCGAGCAUCGAUGCUACGAUCAUCGACCACACCGGGAUGCCCGCGGCCGGGAGCUCGGCAGCCGGGGCUACUCCUUCCUCGGCAACAGUCGAGACAUCGACGGAGCCGUAGGUCAUGGAGAUACCACAACAACCAGCAACGGGGCCCCAAGAACCCCAAGGGCCACAGCCAUCGUCACCACCGCAACCGGAAGCCGCUCAGCUUGCUGUCGCAAGGGCCAAGAAGGCUAAGAGCUCCGCAACCCUGGCGGGAUCGGCGCCUCCGGGUUCCUCUGGCCCGCAGACUUCCGGAAGGCACCAGGAAGUUCCCCUCCGAACGACAGUUCGUAAUGGACUGGAACAGCGCCGACAACUACGAGGUGACCUCUAGCACCCUUCAGUCGGCUCGACAAAGCCCCCUGGUGGGACCUCCACCUGCAGCGACUCCAGAAUCGGUGUCUACCUGGAUGUACCAAGCAUGGGUGGCCUUGUUUGAGGCCAGCCCAUCUGCAGAGGUACGAAGAAUUUCUUAAAAGAUUUUACUUUUAAUUUCAGUAUAGUAUCCAUACUCCUAGUCCCCGAGGUUUAGGACGAGUAAGAAUUAGUCGGCUUGAAGCUUAUCCCCUUAAAACUUCAAACACUCUGUAACACUUAGAAAGUUCAAACACUUAUUCCCCGAGAUUCAGGCCGGGUUUAGAAUAGUCGCCCUGAAGGUUUAGAAACUUCUAACACUUACUCCCCGAGAUUCAGGCCGGGUUUAGAAUAGUCGGCCUGAAGCUUUAGAAACUUCAAAACCUUAUUCCCCGAGAUUCAGGCCGGGUUUAGAAUAAUCGGCCUGAAGCUGUAGAAACUUCAAACACUUAUUCCCUGAGAUUCAGGCCGGGCGCAAAAGUCAUAAAACUACCCUUUUGGAAAAAAAUAACCUCGACGAAUUCGCUUGGCAAUAUCUGAAUUAGGAAAGAAAUGCCGGGUUAAGACAAUGCGCAUCCCGAAUCGCUUUCUUGCUUGUUUCCGCAAUCGCUUUUCAUGUGUUCAGUUAUCUCGUACCCAUCUCUAGCUUGCCAUGAAGCUGGGUUGCGGACAGCAGCGAAGUCGUAGAGAGGAUUUUCAAUACUGACACACUACUAAACCGACAUAACAUUACACAACUAAGCGACACCGACAUACGCAAGAUAUUUGCGAUCCUACAUUUAAAUGACAUGGAAGUCCCCGAGUCCCUUUUAAGAACCCGGCGGAUAAUUUCAUUAUCUUAAAACAUUCAACAUAAAGAGAAAACGAUACAAAUACUCAUCUCUCAAGUAUAGAACGGACGAAGCAAAGCUACAUUCCAUGGCCUCUUGGUCUCCUCGCCUGACCGGUCCAUCCUGUUCGCCUUGGGAUCUUGUGCAUCUAUAAGAUAGUAGGAAUCAUUGUGAAGCGCUUUGCUCACAAUGGGGGUGACAGUUUGUGCAUGCCGGCUGUGCGCUGCACAAGCCGGAGAACGAGGUCCCCUUACCGGAAUACCCGCGGGUUGACCUUUCGGCCGUGAUAACGCCUUGGGUGCUGUUGAUAGAUAGCCGACCGAGACAGAGCCAAUUCCCGUGCUUCUUCGAGCAGGUCGACAUCAUUUUCUCGGGCCUCUUUUACCUCGGCUUCCGUAUACAUGGUCACUCAUGAAGAGUCAUGUUCAAUGUCGGCUGGUAGGACAGUUUCCGCCCCAUAUAUGAGGAAAAAUGACGUGUAGCCUGUGGAGCGAUUGGGAGUCGUCCUGAGACUCCAUAGCACAGCCUGGAGUUCGUCCAGCCAGCAUCCCGGAGUACGUUCCAAUGGUUAGCCGAGGUUUUAUGCCGGCUAAAACCAUGCCGUUUGCUCUUUCAACUUGUCCAUUGGAUUGAGAAUGUGCUACGGAAGCGAUAUCCAGUCGGAUUUUCUUUUCCGCACAAAAUCACGCGAAAGGUCUCUCCGCGAAGUUCGUUCCAUUAUCCGUGAUGACACUGUGCGGGUACCCAUAUCUCAAGAUGAUGUCCUUCAGAAAUGACACCGCGGUCUUGCUGUCACACUUUCGGAUCGGCUUUACCUCUAUCCACUUGGUGAACUUGUCAACCAUAACCAAGAUAUGCGUCCUGCCUCCUCGCGCUCUUUUGAAAGGUCCCACCAUAUCCAAACACCAAACCGCAAACGGCCAAGUGAUUGGAAUAGUCUUGAGUUCGGAUGCUGGCAUAUGAAUCUUGCUGGCAUAUCUCUGGCAGCCGUUACACUUUCUGACUAUGUCUUCUGCUUCCUGUAGUGCACUUGGCCAGUAGAAACCAUGUCGGAAUGCCUUUCCCACUAGCGUUCGUGAAGACGCAUAAUGGCUGCACUCUCCUUGAUGAAUAUCCCUGAGUAUUUCUUGCCCUUCUUCCGGCUCGACGCAUCGCUGCAGGACAUUUGUGACACUCCUCUUGUAUAGCUCGCCAUUGAUGAUGGUGUAUGCCUCCGCCCUUCUCUGAAUUUGUCUUACCGACACUUCCUCUUUCGGGAGACUCCCAUAUUUGAGGUAGGACAUUAUCGAUUGCCCAAACCGGCACAGGACGAGUGGUGAAAAUCGGCUUAUCCGGUACGUCUAUCUCCAUUGGCUCAAUCGCCAUUGCUUCUGCCGAGUUAAGGCGCUCAGUCCCCGGGUUACUGGAACCGUUGCCACUGUCAAUGUCCAUGGGGGUGACGUCGGCUUUUGAGCUCACCGGGAUAAAUAUCGACUCCGAUUCUGGUGAUGCCUUGAUGGAUUGUUUGCGUAAAUGCUCUAAGGCCACACCAGACGGAAUGGCCUGUCGCGUUGAGCCGAGUUUCGACAAUGUGUCGGGUGUCGGCUGCUUCGUUCUCCGCCCGCGGUAUAUGGUGAAACUCGCACCCUUCGAAGUGGCCACUGAUCUUCUGAACAUGAAACGGUAUAGCGCCAUAUUGGCAUCCAAUGCAUCCCAAUUGCCGAAAGCUUGCUGGACUACCAGAUCGGAAUCACCAAAGCAUUGAAUCCGGCGGACUCCAAUUUCCUUUUCCAUUUUCAGUCCGUGCACAAGUGCCUCAUACUCGGCAACAUUGUUGGAUGCUGUGAAGUGAAUUUGCAAUACGUACUUAAGUUGGUCGCGCUUCGGCGAGGUCAGAACUAUGCCGGCACCAAGCUCACUUUUCAUCUUAGAGCCGUCAAAAUGCAUUUUCUAGUAGUUAGUUUCCGAGGGCGGUGGUUCAUACUCCAUCUCGGUCCAAUCCACCAAGAAAUCCACCAGAGCCUGAGAUUUCACGACAUCCCGCAUGCCGUACUGCAGCGCAUAGGGUGCCAGCUCGGCAGCCCAUUUGGCUACUCGGCCGCUCGUGUCUUUGUUACUCAUGAUUUCCGAGACGGGCGCCUCGCAUAUAACUCGGAUCUGAUGUGCCUCAAAGUAAUGCUUCAGCUUCUUUGCCGCCAUAUACACGCCAUACGCCAUUUUUUGGUAAUGGGGGUAAUUCUGCUUAGACGAUGAUAACACCUCGCUCAAGUAAUACACCGGCCUUUGCACCGAUUUUCCGUCUUCAUCUCUUUCCACCACGAUGACGGCACUAACAACUCGGUUGGUUGCUGCUAUGUAUAACAACAUCGGCUCCUUCUCCAUUGGCGAGGCUAAUAUCAGUGUCGUAGCGAUCAUCUACUUCAACUCUUGAAAAGCCAGGUCUGCUUGUGGCGCCCACAUAAACUUGUCGGUGUUCUUCAUCAGCUGGUAUAAGGGCAUUGCCUUUUCACCCAGCCGACUAACGAAACGACUUAGUGAUGCUAAGCAUCCAGUGAAUUUUUGCACAUCUUUGAGGCAUUUCGGCAAUUUCAUCCUUUCUAUGGCAGCAAUUUUCACAUGAUUUGUUUCGAUACCUCGGCUUGAUACUAGGAAUCCAAGCAACUUCCCUGCCGGCACACCGAAUGUGCAUUUGGCCGGGUUCAGCUUCAUCCGGAAUCUCCUCAGAUUUGCGAAUGUUUCCCGGAUAUCAUCCAGAAGCGUGGCGAUUUCCUUGGUUUUUAUGACGACAUCGUCGACAUAUACCUGCACAUUUUUUCCGAGUUGGUCGUGCAAGCAUAUCUGCAUGCAUGUUUGAUAAGUAGCCCCUGCAUUUCUCAAACCAAACGGCAUAGUACGAUAGCAAUAAGCCCCGAACGGGGUGAUAAAUAAUGUCUUUAUUUGAUCAUUAGGGUUCAGUGGUAUCUAGUGAAAACCAGAGUACGCGUCUACAAAAGACAGCAACUCACCCCGGCUGUAGAAUCGAUCACUUGAUCAAUCCAAAGUAAUGGAAAAGGAUCUUUGGGACAUGCCUUGUUUAGGCUGGUGUAGUCGAUACACAUGCGCCAUACCUUGGCAGCAGUUGGGUCGUCUUUCUUCUUCUCAACCAUGACCGGGUUUGCCAGCCAGUCGGGAUGCAACACUUCCAUGAUGAAGCUAACAGUUAGAAGCCGGGAUACCUCUUCCGAUAUGACUUUCCUUCUGUCGUCAGCGAAGCGUCGAAGGGGCUGCUUCACCGGUCAUGCGUCUAGUCUGACAUGUAAUGAGUGCUCAGCCAACUCCCUCGGCACACCCGGCAGGUCUUGAUUUGACCAUGCGAAGAUGUCUCGAUUCUCACGGAGGAAGCUGGUGAGCUCGCCUUCCUAUUUUUCACCCAGGCCGGCACCAAUGAUGACGGUGCGGUCCGGGAACUCGCUGUCAACCUGUACCUUCUUUGUCUCAUUGGCUGCCUGAGAAGUCACACUUCCAUGGGGAUUGGUCAUAACCGGCAGGCUAAUUUGUGCCACCUGAGCCAUCGCAACCGCUUCUUGUAGCUUCUUCUUCUCGCCAGCGAUGACCAGUGACUCGGCCCAAGCAGAUCCGGCCGCUGCGCACUCCAUUAAGCGUUUGUAGUUGCCAGUGAUGGUUAUGGUACCAUUUGGUCCUGGCAUCUUCAUCUUCAGAUAGCCAAUUUGAGUAGUAUCCAUGAACUUGGCGAGUGCCGGUCUGCCAAGCAGCGCAUGGUACGGACUACUAAGGUCCACCACCUCGAACACUAGGUUCUCGGUCCGACAGUUCUCCCUGGUGCUGAAUAAGACGUCGACUCAGAUCUUGCCCACCGGGGCACGAGACACUUCCGGCACAAUACCGUGAAAGGUAGUCCGGUUGGGCUCAAGCAUGUUAUCAGUAAUGCCGAGUUUAAGUAUCGUGUCCCGUUACAACAUAUUUAUGCUGCUCCCAUUAUCAAUGAGAACACUAGUGAACUUGACGUUAAUGUCGGGCCCGAUGAGUGUCGGGUCGACCACCAGAGCGUAUCCACCAGGGUUGGGCAUAACUUUAGGAUGGUCUGCCCGGUUCCAGUUGAUCUCCUGCUCCGACCAGUACAUGAACUUUGGAACAGCAGGCAUAACAGCAUUGACCUCCAUCUCUCGCCUGCGCUGAGUUUGCUUGUCAGUUGGCUCAGUGAUGAAGAUCAUGUAGCUUUGAUGAUGCUCCUUGUACUCCAUUCAUGUUGCGGAAUACCUUGGUCUUCCACAUGAUUGACGACAUUAUUUGCCGGAGGAGGUCCCUGAAUCUGGGCGUUAACGCCGGUGAGAGGUGGGGGAGGGGGCAGCCGAUUUGCCUCUUCAUUCUCGGCACGCUGCAUCCAGCUGCAUUGCCGCGUUGUGUGAUUUGCCGGCUUGUGGGGUUGGUCGUGUGAAAACGACAAGGCUGAUCCAGCAUUGCCUCGAACGUAUACUUCGGCUUAUCCUGCCAGGGCUUCUUUUGUUCUCCCUUCUUGACCCACCGCUGAUUUCUUGUUUUCUGACGCUGGCUGGAGCCGGCAUCAGGUUGAUCCUGAAUAGCGGCGACAUGGACUGGCCCAUAUCGGUAAUCUGGCCUGUCAUCCCUUCUCUUGUUGCGGUGAUCUUGAUGAUCGUUCCUCCAGAAUGCCCUGGCAGGAUUGUAUGUCGGCUGCUCCCUUUGCAGUUCUGCCGGCAUCAACGAUGGCUUACUCGCAUACAUGUUGGUGAUCCGAAUCAUCUCAGAUAGGGUAGCUGGCAUCUCUCUUUGCAGCUUUUGCCACAGCAUGCUGCCGUGCCGGCAUCCUUGGGCAAACAACGCUAUGGCUUGCGAUUCCACUAUCCCUUCACAGGAAUUGCAGAGAUUGUUCCAUCUUGUCAGGUAAUCUCGGUCAGUCUCGUUGUCUCUUUGCUUGCACAUGGACAACUGUUGAGGGCGAUUUGGCCUCUUGUAAGUGCUAGUGAAAUUGCUGACGAAAUCUUCUUCAAAGUCUAUCCAGCAAUUGAUGCUGCCUUUCGGCAAAUUGUUCAGCCAUAUCCUUGCCGGCCUUACCAGCAUCUGGGGUACAUAACGUACCGCUUAUCUCCGGUUGCCGCCUGCCACACUUACUGCAAUGACAUAGUCUUCCGGCCAAUCUUCCGGCUUAGUACUGCCGUCAUAUGUUCUCGUACCCCUGGGCAGCUGGAAACCCGGGGCUGGUCUCUCCCUCAUGAUCCGAUGCGCAAAACAACGCGGUCCCGGAGGGCCUUGCUCCUCCAGGAGCUCAGACAGAUAAAUUCUGUCAAGCCGAUGUCGGGCAUCCAGGGGCGACACUUGCCUGUUCCCAACUCGGGCUCCGAGCGGGCCGAGGUUAUCACGCUCUCGCCUGAUAUAACCCUCGUCACCCAUGACCGAGUAUCCAUCAUCGUAAUGGUCAUACUGGCGAUCUUCACCUUGAUACGGGGGGUUGCGCCCGACACCCAGCUGACCUGCAGCAGUAUUGGGUGCCGGACCCCGAGGUUGGUGUCCAUGAUCAAACGAGUAACGUUCUUGCUGGUCCCGACGAUUGUCGCCGGGACGUAGGCCACUCUGGCUGUCAUCAACCCUUCUGACCAUUUGUUUCUCGGCUAGGACCGGGUCAUAACGCACCGGCUGCUUAUCCGGGUCAGAAAUUGACACUUUUGUCUCGCUUGCUACCAGGCGAAUACGCUUGCUUGUCAACUCGGCCUCCAGCAUCCGCUGCCGAGUGAAUAACUUGAGAUGCACUGGGCUUGCCGUGCAUUCUCAUGUAUGCCUCAUUCUGCUCAUUAGCUGUGCGGAGCAGCUCUUUCACGCGUAGGUGUUGUUGUCGAAGUGCCUCUCCUGUAAGAUUCGCCAGCUCUUCGGCCGCAACCUCAGCAGCUCUGAGAUUCUUGACAGGGGUAUUGUAUUUCGGCUUUAGCGCCGAGGCGUAACUUGCCGACACUGCUGGCACACCCCUGCCAUCCCUAGUCAUCUCGGCAUUCAAGUUCUUGCCAUGGUUACGCACCUCACCAACUUGGCUAGGCUUAGUAAGCGCAGUAGAACUAAGACCAUGGGCUUUGUUAUACUCACGGAGUGAAAUAUCCAGUUGUUGCCGAGCGUGAGCGACGUCAACCGCUUCCUUCAGCAGUUUUUGUCGCUCCAACUCCAACUCCGCCUGCAAUCAGUUGUUGCCGGGUUAGCGUUCGACGCCACCGGCGCAAUCAGCCGUUCGAUGGAGGCCUCGAGCUGGGUCGGCUUCGGCGGCAGGGCCGUCUUGCCGGCUUGAGCCGCGAUGUUUUCCGGCUUCUCCAAGGGGAGUUUCGCCGUUCUUCCGGAUUUGGUUGGGAUCGCGCCACUUUCCGCAGCGUCCCUUCCAGCAUCAGCACCAUGAGCCAUCACCAUGACCUCCACACGGUCAACGAGACAGUCGACAUGCCGGCCGCGAACCGUGCGGACGGCGGGGGUGUCUUCGGCCACCACCACCUGCUCUGGGUACUUGCAAGGGCUGUCAGUAGAAACAUAAACCUUGUGCAUGCCGAAGUUGAUGAAGCGUCCUGCACAGGGAAACGGUGUGCCGUUGAAGCAGCCCGUGUUGUUGUCGAUGAAGCCCAGAGAGCCGAAUCUCUGGACCAAACCGGAGACCACGCGCUCUCCAGUGGCGAGAAAGCUUCUCGUCCGGAUGAAAACUCCAGCCAGCGCCGCUGCUGGCCCCACGGUGGGCGCCAACUGUCGUGGUGGUGUCACGGCAGAUACCAUAGGAUGGCUUAACUUGGGCCCGAUGGGUGAAGGAGGAACCGGAGGAGGGAGGACGUGAAGAGAAACACGCACAAGUUACACAAACACACACAGAUUUACCCAGGUUCGGAGCCCUCUUGCCGAGGUAAGACUCCUACUCCUGCUUUGUUGUAUUAGCCGGGAUAGACAAACUCUACAAUGACGCUCCUUGAGCUGUAUUCGUGAGGAAGAAGAAGAAGAGAUGCCUAAGUGCUCCGUCCCUCUCUACAGAGGGGUAAGGUUCUAUUUAUAGGCCGCUCAUGUCACACUCACAUGUGGGCCGACUCCUAACGUCACAUUUCUUGGGGCCACCAGGCACGCGGUUUGGUUCCCUCUCGGUGACACCAUAGGGGACAAGACAACUUUACUUUUCCCUGGCACCUGCAGCAAGUACCGCUAUCCUCUGCCGGCUUCCGUCAGAGAUUCUCUUUCGGUAUUUCUUUUCUGCCGUCGCCUAGCACCGGUACGUAAGCGGCGACUGCCUUUUCCACGAUAAUGAUGACGCUGUUUUACCCUCUGCCGCGUGGUCAGGAUAAGACCGUUGAGAGAUCUCAGUGUGAGCCGAGAUCAAGGUGCUCGGCGUUAUCCUGCAAGCUCAUAAGACAAUAUAGUCAUGCCGGUAUACAUUCAGGAUGCCGACUUAGUGUUAGUUUGACUUUACAAUGCCGCCAUAUAUAACCAUGCCGGUUUUGUCUCCGUCAUCUCGGCUAGAAUUGUGUCGUCAUGACCCUAUCCGGGAUCAUCCCCCCGACACUGAAGCUCCUCUCAUUCUCGUUUUUGUCUGAAUCUAAGAGAUGAGAAUGCAACGAAGUGUAUUUUUUUCCCUGUGAAAUUUUUGAUUGUAAGAGCUGAAAAUGAAUCGUGUUUUUUGUUUCUGAAAUCAAGCGUAUCAAUUUUAUUUGAAUGUCACCUGUUUCUAUGAAAUCAAGUGCAAGCUGAGAGCUACCAACUCGUUUUUGUCUGAAUGUAAAUAUGGUUGAGUGAGUGAUAGAAGGGAUUAUGUAUUCGUGUCCGAAAAUCAAAUCUACCUUUGUUGCAGUUUGUUGCAGAGUAAUCCUUUGAAAAAUACCAUGAUUUAGUGAUUUCUCAAGGCCUAUGCGUGGAUUAUUCAUUCUCUCUUUAGGGGAUAGACGUAUUUUUAUUUCUCGGAUUUCAAAGGAAGCACUUCUCCUCAAAAUAUUUUCUGGCAUCUAAACCUCCUGAAAUAGCAAAACCAAACCAUAUCAAAUGGAAUACCUCUCAUACAGUCAAAAAAAAAUGGAAUACCUCUCAACUAAGUUUUGCUAAUGUGGGUACAUAAGUCAGCCAAAAAGGUAGAUUCUAAAAUCAGAAACGAAAAUAUAAUAAUUUACAAAACAUACAAAAAUAAUUAGAAAGGCUUUUUGUUGAGGGCCAGGUCUAUCUGGAGUCUGGACCCGCCAAUGCAUAUGGCGGCAUUCUGGAGCUGCUGUUCUGGGCUGAAACGCAGCGCAACAUGGCAGUUAGCCUUCAACGAUUGGUAGGCCCAUUGAGAGGCCCAGCAACGGCGAGGCAAAACUAAAACGAACCGGAAUACCAGCAACAGGCCGAAAAUGUAUCGAAAACGGCAAACCUAAACAAACGUGUGGGGGCCAUGCAAAAAAAAACGGUUAGGCAAAAGUCUCGAGAGCAGCCCAUGCACAGACCUGCCGUGUCCAUGGGCCGCGAUGGGCCGGAGGGUCGGAAGUAUUCUUCUCCUCGGUAGGUUUUUGGCUUCGCCUACUCGGCGGCGACGCAAUCCCUAGCGGCGAGCAAGUCCCGGGGAGCGGCAGGGCAGAGGAAGCGGACUCGCGGAGGACCGCGGCCGGCGGAGCCUCCACACCGGUCUCCACCACCAGCAGUCCAACUAACCGCCGCCGGCAGUUAGCUUUCCUUCUUCUUCUUCGGUUCCUCAAGCUUCGGGUUCGGUAGUUUCUGAAUUUUUUGUUCGCUGUUCAAUUGUGCAGUGAGCAAGGGAGCCAAGACGACGGCGGGGCCGGAGGCGCGGACCACCGUGGUGAGUUCCGCCGCCGUCCAGUUCAGCGUGGAUUACCAGCAAGCCAGGCAGCUUCCCAUCGGCAAGGCCGUCUACUCGGACGUCGUCUCCGCCGGGGCACACCUCUGGAGGAUUGAGUGCUCCCCCCAAUGGCGGCAAGGGGAAGUUCUUCUCUAUCUCUAUCACGCACAUGAGCAAAACAGACGGAGUCGUCACCGCCAACUUGGAGGUCUCCCUGAUGGUGAUGGACAGGGACGGCACGACAUCCAGAAUGGACACACAAAGGAAACUUGAAUCCUUCCGAAAUAGCGGCGGCUGCUGGCGAUGCUCUUGCUCCGUGGGGCAAAAGAAGAAGAAAGACUACAGUACAUAUUAGAGGGACGCGUCACAUUCCUAUGUAGCGUCAUGGUCAUACACAACAGCUCCUCCGUUCCCGUGCCGCCUUCAGACAUUGGGAUCCAUCUCGGUCGCUUGCUGGAUCACACGGAGGGGACGGAUGUGGCAUUCAACGUUGACGGCGAGACGUUCCAUGCUCACCGGGCGGUGCUUGCUGCCCGCUCGCCGCUCGCCGGUCUUCAGAGCGGAGCUCUUUGGCCCCAUGGCUGAGGCGACAAUGUCCUCCAUCGAGCGGCACGACAUCGCGCCUGCUACAUUCAAAGCUAUGCUUCACUUCAUCUAACGGACGCCUUGCCUGAAGACGCCAAUCUUGGGUGCUCUUCCGUUGAGAUGCUUCAGGAUCUCCUUGCUGCGGCAGACAGGUACGCACUAGACAGGCUGAAGAUGAUGUGUGCACAGAAGUUAUUGGAGCAUUUAUCAAUUGAUACAGUGUGCACUACAUUAGAUUGCGCUAAGACAUACAACUGUCUGGAGUUGAAGAACCAGUGCUUUGACUUCAUGAUAAGUGGACUUUCAGCUAGCGCAGAAGCAAGGCUAAGGAUAAUUCACUAAACUAGUAGUGCAUUUGUGUUUUUGGUUCUCUGUUCUCUUGGGCAUGGCGGCAUGCCAUGUCCUGAACCUGGGCUUAUGCUUGAUGCUUUUAAGGUCUUUACUUUUGCUAUACUGUUGUGACUAGUAAGAUAUUUAGUAUCUAGCUAUCUAGACCUGGCUUCAUGAGUACUAUGUGAUCAAUGCAAGCAAUUCGCAACUCAGAACACCCGUGUACUGAUGUUGUCAUACCAAGAUUGUGGGGUAUUGCCAUUUUCGUAGUUCAGUGUGAAUUUAUAAAAUAACAUUACAUCAUGACAAAAAAAUCAAGCAAUACUCCAUGUGUCUUCUGCAUCUCAUGUGAUUUGAAUUGCGCAUUGAUUAAGGGCAAGACCUCUUUGUCAGAUAAUGCAUCCCGUUUUGGUGUCAGCUUUUCUGAAUCUUAGUUUUUUUGGUGCUUGCAAAUGGAAGAAUCAAUUAGGCAGUGGACAUUUGUGCAUGUACCAAACUAGUUUUUGUAUGUUGUAUGUGUAAAUGUAUGGGUGAUACUUCAAUCUACAUUUAUUUUUUUGUUUUAAAAGAGUGCCAGUUUGUUGAGUUCUCCAGGUGCUGUAAAUUGACAUCCUGACAUGCAUAAUAUAUUCUGAAUGUGCUGAAGAUCCUCUCCUUGCUUUUGUCUGAAUCUAAGAGCUGAAAAUGCAACCAAGGGUAUCUUUGUUUUUCUAUCAAAGUUUCUGAUUGUAAGAGCUGAAAAUGAAUCAUGUUUUUCUGUUUCUGUAAUCAAGCGUAUCAAUGUUUUAUCUGAAUGUCACCUGUUUCUCUGAAAUCAAGUGCAAGCUGAGAGCUAAUAAGGCAUUUGUCUGAAAAUAUAAUAUGCAUGAGUGAUAAAAGGGCUUAUGUAUUCUUGUCCGAAAUCAAGUUUACCUUUGUUGCUGAACAAUGUAAUACUCGGUUUGUUGCAGAGUGCUAAUCCUUUGAAGUUACCGUAAUUUUGUGUUUCUAUAUGUGAAAUAUUCCUUCCUAUCCCUUUUCACUUCGCGAUUUCUCAAGGAUAACCAGCAUAAGGCCUAUGCGGGGAUUAUUCCUUCAUUACAGUAACUCAUAUUUUUUCGUAUUUUCAGAGUCAAUUUCUUUUUCAGGGGAUAUACAGACUUUUAUUUGUCGGAUUAUUCAAAGAAAGAAAUUCUCCUCAAACUAUUUUUCUGGCAUCUUAAACCCUUGAAAAUAGCAGAAUCAAAUGGAGUAGUACCUCUCAGUCUCAGGGCAGUUUUGCUAAAGGAAAGGGUACACAAACCAGCCAAUUUUUUAAGACGGCGGCCCGCUUAGAAUCGUGUCCAACAGACGGGCCUGGGCCGGCCCGUGGGCCACCUGUGGGCCGCAUACCAAUUGCCGCAGUUAACCGCGAGGCAAAUCCUACAGAAAACCUAGUUAUUAGAAGCGAUUUAGCGACGGCCGGGUUGCCGGUGGCUGCCGCCGACGAGCCGACGAGCGGAGGCACGGCGGAAUUGCGGAGGACCUCGGUCGUGUGCCGGUAGGACGGGAGAGCGGCCGACGGCGCCACCGCAUCGACCGCCGCCACAAGCAGGCCAACCGCCGCCGCCACCUCCGACCGCUACCAAGCCAGUGAAUGCCCUCCUCUCCUCUGCUCGUAAAAUCUUCUUCGGUUCCCUAGCUGGACGAUUGUUUAUCCUGUGAAAUCUUGUGAUGUGCACUGCCAAUUUAGCGGUAAUCUGUUGUUACAUCUGCUUUAAAAUUUGUUCAGUGAGCGAGCGUGCUAGCACCGACGGCAUGGGCGGAGCCACCGUGGGGGCACCUAGGGCACGUGCCCGGGCUCCGCGCCUCCUCUUGCCAGAGCUCCGGCGACCUCCGACGGCGAGUGGAUCGUCUCGAGCACGGCGUGCCCCUCGUCGCUCUCGAAAACGGACGCACACAUCGAUUGUUUUGGGCCACAGCGCCACUUCCCGACCCCCUCAGCCCCUCUCCUGCUACAUGGGCCUAGUUCUGACUGAGUGUUUCGGCCUGUUACCUUAAUCUGGCUCUCCCUUGGGCCUUUGGGCCUGGUUCUGGAGCCUAACAGCUGAUCGAUCUGGAGCCUGGUGCCCAGGCUUUCACGAAGCUCUGGCUCCGCCUUCGGCCCGGAGGCGCAGACCACAAUGGUGGGUUCUGUUGUCCAGCUCAAAGUGAACUACGAGAAAGCCAAGAACGGCAAGGCCAUCCACUCCGAUGUCGUCUCCGUCGGGGGACACCUGUGGAGGAUCGACUGCCACCCUCGUGGCGUGAGUGAGGAUUGCAAGAGCGAGUUCAUUUCCAUCCUCCUCCAGCACAUGAGCAAAUCCGGAAGCGUCACGGCCAUCUUCGAGUCCUUCCUGAUGGACAGGGAUGGCCAGCCAUCUUCCAAGUACCAAUUAAGGUCGUUGCCUCGAUCCUACCAAAGCGAUUCCUGGGGAUGGGGUCAGUUCAUUGGGAGAACUACUCUGGAGAAAGACUACUUAGAAGAUGGACACUUCUCGAUUCUAUGCACCAUCAUGAUCACAGAUGACAGCUCUAUUCCGGUGCCGCCUUCAGACAUCGGGACUCAUCUUGGCAGCCUGCUUGAUCGCGCUGACAGGACGGAUGUGGCAUUCAUCGUCGACGGCGAGACAUUCCAUGCUCACCGAGCGGUGCUUGCUGCCCGCUCGCCGGUGUUCAGGGCGGAGCUAUUCGGCUCCAUGGCCGAGGCUACAAUGCCCGCCAUCACGCUGCAUGAAAUUGUGCCUCGAACAUUCGAAGUUAUGCUUUGGUUCAUUUACACGGAUGCAUUGCCCGGAGACAAAGAGCUUUCGGACUCUUCCAUUGAGAUGUUUCAGAAUCUACUUGGUGCGGCUGAUCGGUAUGCACUUGACAGGCUGAAAUUUAUCUGUGCGCAGAAGUUAUGGGAGAAGGUGUCGGUAGAUACAGUUUCAACUAUCUUAGCUUGCGCGGAAACAUACGAGUGUCCAGAGUUGAAGAACAGGUGCAUUGACUUAUUUGUGGCUGAGUAAAAUUUCAAGAAGGUUAUUUUCACCGAAGGUUAUGGUUCGUUAGUUAUGAAAUUCCCAUCGGUUACUGCUGAACUCAGCAAGAGGGUUUGGCCAUAACAUAGCGUGACGCAUCUACAUGUGUACAGUUCAGGCUUUCAAGCAUAGCUUUAAUAUGGUGUUUUGAAGAAUUUGGUGAGUGCUAUCUGAUGUCUUCUCUAGCAUAUUGGGAUAUGUUCUACUUGUAUUUGGUAAACUAGGGGGAGCCUGAUCUUUAAAAAAUCCUUCUUGCAGAAUCUUCUCCUUGUGUAGUACUGUGUUAAGUUUCUGCCAAGCAAUAUUUGAUAGGUGAGAAGUGGAUUUUCAGAUAGAACAGAUGCAAACUUAAGGAGAUUUUGCCAAAGUAGUGUAUUUGUGUUCUUGAUCUUUGUUUACUUUUGCUAUGCCGAUGUAACUACUAAGAUAUUUAGUUUCUACCUAUCUAGACUAGGCUCCAUGAGUACUAUAUGAUCAAUGCAAGCAGGUUAUAACUCAGGACACCUAAGGUGUGCUGUUGCUAUACCAAAAUUCUGGGGUAUGACCUUUUGUUUAGUUCUGUUGGAACUUUCUUCUACUGCAUGAUUGUUUUAUAAUUGAAAUAUGUGCUGCAUUCAUCAUGACAAAAAAUCAGGCAACACUACAUGCAUAUUCUGUCUCCCAUUAAUUUGAAUUGCGCAAGGGCGAGACUUCUCUGAUAGAUAAUGCGGCAGGUUUUCUUGUUUUUUUACAGCAGCAGGUUUUCUUGUUAAAGGUGUUAGCUUCUCUGAAUCUUGUAUUUUGUGUGUGUGUGUGCUUGCAAAUGGAAAAAUCAAUUUGGCAGUGAACAUUUGUGCAUGUAGCAAAUUAGUUUUAUGUGUUUUGCAGAUUUGAGUAUGUUGUAUGUGUAAAUGUAUGGGUGAAACGUUAAUUUCCAUGAUUCGUUUGUUUUAAAAGAGUGCUAGAUUGUUGAGUUGUUCAGGUGCUGUAAAUUGAACUGAUGACAUGUAUAUGUUCUGAAUGUGCUGAAGCUCCUCUCCUUGUUCUUGUCUGAAUUUAAGAGCUGAGAAUGCAACCAAGUGUAAACCGCUUGGCUUCGCUAGAUGUUUCCCAGUUGCCAAAAUGCUGGGAUAAUUUAUAGCUGUGCUUGAAGACAUGAAUAUACAAUAUAUUGUUACUUGUUUUUAAUUGGUGACAUUUCUGAAAUGAAUUUCUUGGGUUUUGUUGUGUAAUGCCUAUCAUGUUCUCAACGGUUGGCUUUUUUUUUUUUGACGAAACGUAGCUUCAUUUGGAUGUGCCUCAGCUUGGGAAGCAAGCAAUGUCUCUCGGUGGCUGUCUGUUUGAAGUGAGAAUUGAAAUAUCCUGCCUAUUUUGCAGUUCCUGUAUGCACAAAGUUUGUAUUGUAAAUGUCUCGAGAAGUGGAAUCGUAUCCCAUUCCUUAAUGAUAGACAUUCCCCGUGGAGUACUUUACUAUUGUGCAGCAAGCAGGACAUUAUUGAUCUCUAGUCCAUUUCUUCUUCUUUUUUUCAUUCUUUCUGAAUCAAGUAGCAUCUGUAGUGCUUUUGCACUAGCAAGUAAUAAAACUCCGUCUACAACCUCGGAUGUCUUGUACCAUGUUGAGGUCUGUCUUUGUUUCUUGUGUUUAUACGGGUGUAUUUUGUUCAUGACCAAACUCAAUCGUACCGAUAUUUUGGUCAUGCCCAUUUUAUCUUGUUUGGAUUGGUCAUGACCUGACGAAUAUUUGGUCUUGUUUGGAUUGUUGCCAAAAUAUUGGUAAGCCAAUCAUUCAUGACCAACUUCUAGUUGUUGCCAACUUUGGCCAAAUCUUGAACAACCAAAAGUACAACUAAAAUAUUGGUGCCCAAUUUUUGGCGAGGUAGGGCUGGGCUAAAACCAAACAACUGCAAUCAAUUUGGUGAGAUAUAUUUGCAGCAAGUAACAUUUUUAUGCCUGCCUCUCAGUGUUCAUCGCUGUCCACGACGGAGCUACUGUACCUGUUCGCUGUACAUCCUGUCCUUGCAUCCAAAACAUGAAAAGCAAAAACGUCUGCAUCAGCGAGAUGUGCCAAACAUCUUACCAACGAGGAACCAAUCUAGCUACAGUAUGAUAUAUGCUCUUGGAGCUGACAGUAUUGUGGAUGCCGAUUAAUGUUCUCCUGAUCAACUUCAUCACACCGUGCAACUUGCAUAUAGCUCCAUCCAAUCGAUAUAUACGUACGAUCCAAGUGCACGUGGCAAAACCCUUGGGGUCUCUUUCUUUGAAUCCACAUGAGGUUUAUCUUGUUACUCUAUGAAGGUUGGCGUAUUUGUUUUAUUAAGACAACAAUUGACCAAGAUUUUUUUUAGGAAAAUCACACUUAUAAGCAAAAAAAUUUGAAGAUGAAUUUAUCGUAUAAAUUUUUCAUAUCUCAAAAAACAUAUUAAUAAAGUAUUUUUUUUUCAAAAUUUUGUUUUAAAAAAAUCAAAUACGUCAGUCUUUAUGAAAAACAAAAGGUAUUUCUCAAGAAGUUCCUUAGGCAAUGGAGUACUAGUUCUGAAUUUCUGAUAGCAGCUUCCUUUCUCACACAGUACCCACGAGAAAAAGAAACAGAGAUAAUGCGAAGGCUUCUUCUAGUACCGGGUGUGGGACGAGCGAUCGAGUAGUUCAGUGCAGAGAGUCUGUAAGAAAAAGAAAACGCAGAGGGAAAAGAAAAAACAGGCAAGCAAGUGCAUUUCACAGUCAAAGAAAAAGGACGAUGGAUCUCUUCCCGACGAACUUGUUCAUGGUGUCGCACAGAGGAGAGAAUCACAGUAAAUGGCAGAGAUAUACUCACGUUUUGGAUAAGAUCAAAAGCGAGGUACCCUGCUCUAGUCUAGCAGCAGCAGCAGAGGCGAUGCGAUUUACUCCUUUUAAUGUCGUCCACGUUUUUCAAGGUUGGACUUUGACUAACAAUUAAACCAAUUAUAUGUAGAUUAUAUGUUACAAAUUUUAUAUCGUUGGAAACGUUUUUGAAAUACGAAUCCAAUGAUAUAAAUUUUGUAACACAUAAAUCUCUAAUCAUUAGUCUAAUUGUUGGUCAAAAUAAAUCUUAAAAUGAGUGCGUGACAUUCUUUGUGAAAUGGAACCUUAUCCUGCUCGCAGCACAGAGGAGCCAAGUGGACUGGCUGGCCGUGUGGGCCCACUGCGUCAGGUCCAAUACACUUGGCCUCUCCGGCUUGAGGUGUACUAGGCUGUGUCUGUCCUUUCGACGUCCCACUCAGAACGUCUAUGCGUUCAACGAGAAGGUUUUUUCUGUUGCUAUUGUUGCAAUGUGGUGUGUAUCGUCUUUAUAAUGUUGGAGAUAUGAUUACCUGAAUGUAUCUAAGACCUCUUUUAGUGACCUCCGCCCGUGACGAAACUCACGAUGAAAGGCGUGAAUAAAAUGAACUGGUUCAUUGUGACGGAACCAACCCACUCAGGUAUAAAUCAUGUACUUGAUAUGGUUGCUCACAUCUAUUUGGAUUAAAUCCAGAAUUUAACCGGCGAUAUUCUUUCGACAGUAGCUGAUGUACCCGUCAACCGCGAGGCUUCGUCGGUCGGCUCGGUCUCUCUGGAUCUGUCGUCUCGGUCUCUCGAAGGUACUCAUAGGGGUAGGGUGUUGUGAACGUUUGCGUUUGUAUCGUGUUUUAAAAAAAAUCAUAAUAAAUACGGUCAAAUUAUUAAGUCGAAGCACCUGCAAAAAAUGGAGUUCUACUUAUAGUGUUAUUAUGUCACUAAACACUCUUGUCUUGUUUUUUAUGCAAAGAAAUAAAAGAGGUGGAUCGUAGAAUCCUUUUUUUUUCCUUUGAAACACAGAUCACAAUGUUUUUUUCUUUCCCUCGUUCCUUUGAAUCAUAAUGUCACUAAACACUCUUGUCUUGUUUUUUAUGCAAAGAAAUAAAAGAGGUCGGUGGAUUGUAGAAUCCUAUUUUUUUUUUCCUUUGAAACACAGAUCACAAUGUUUUUUUCUUUCCCUCGUUCCUUUGAAUCACAGAAGAUGAAUAAUUUGAUUAAAAAAGCAAGUUUCCUAUUUCUAUAUUUUUUUUUCUCCGCUCUUCUCACGAAUCAGAGACACUAAAUUGGGUCCAUUCUCUUUGAUUGGCGCUUUGUGGCAGUAAGGUAGAAGUUUCCGACAGGAGAAGGGCCCGUCCGAAGAGCAAAUUGGAGAAGAGGAGCAUAUACAUAGCGGGAGCUCUGAGCCGUCGGAUCCCGAUCCAAGAGCCAAUAGCGCACACAAAGCAGCGAAACACCGGGUUUGGCAUGUCGACGAAGCAACACGUGUGUGCGUCCGGGGGCUCGAAUCCUUACGUUUCCACGGACAGUGUGGGCCACUGUGCGCGCGUCCUACUGGUGCCGUACCUCUCCGAUGGAACUCUGCCAUGGCCUGCCCUCCACAACUUUCUCUCGAAUCUCUCCCAGCUCCCCUCCCAGAUUUAAUCCCCCUUUAUAUCCCGCCAGCGGCCACCUUAAUUCCCCUCUCUCUGUCCCUCAGUUUAAUUCUUGGUGUUUUCCUUUUGCUCGCUGAGCUGAGCUGAGUUAGGGCGCGCGCCAAUGGAGGAGAGGAGGAUGUUGCAGGAGCAGCAGCAGGAGGAGGCUCAUGGCCAUGGGGGAAAGGAGGAGGAGGGGAAGAGGAGGAAGAAGCGUGGGAAGGUGGAGCUGAGGAGGAUAGAGGACCGGACGAGCCGGCAGGUGCGCUUCUCGAAGCGGCGGAGCGGGCUGUUCAAGAAGGCGUUCGAGCUGUCCGUGCUGUGCGACGUCGAGGUCGCGCUCAUCGUCUUCUCCCCCGCCGGACGACUCUACCCGUUCGUCUCCUCCGAAAGCAGGUAUAUAUGCAUAUAUACACAAGGUUUUGGGCGUCGAUUUAGUUUGCUCCUUUGCUGACUGGCUGCAGCAAAAUCUUCUUAAUCCUCACCGGCUAAUCCCUUGUGUAUAUACUGUAUUCAUGUGUCGGACAUGCAUAUAUCUGCACUACUGCUGAACUUUUCCGUCUCUUGCGCUGUUCUUGCAUGCUUAAGUUGCGUUUUCUUGUUUUUCGCCUAGCAGUAAUUAAUAGCACGAGCACACAGAUCGCCGCCGUAGGUCGUGUUUGAUUAGGCCAGGCGCUGGAGUUCGAGACUGUUGUGUUAAUUUUCGACUUCACAAAUUAAGGGUGAAGCCACAUCGAUCUGCUUCAAAUCUGUGCAAAAAAUGCAAGGUACUCCUAUACAUGUAGUUGCUGACCGAUAGCCAACGACGAAGAAAGAAUCUCUCUGAUUUUAUGUUGCGUUCCAUUAAUUUUUGCAAUGAGGAAUUAAUGGUUGCUUUCCUUCUGUCCGUCUAAACACCCCUCUUCAUGUACGUAUGUGUCUUGUAGCUUAGUUUUCUUUCUUUUGUUUUCCUUUUUGUGGUUAAUUUGCAGUUUCAUGCACCAAGUAAUAAAUUGGAGAUGUGCUGCCGCGUGUCAUGUAUAUUGUUGUAAAGGCUGUUCAGCGUACAUGUAACAGUAUAUACAUGUGUGUUGCACGUACAGCUACUUGUGAGCCAAAUUUCGAAAUGACACACACAUGUUUGAAUGCAUGCAUAAAAUAUAUAUGCAACUGCAAAUUAAGGCAUUUAAUUUCCACUAUCUCGGUUUCUUGGAGGUGCUCACGAGGAUAAGAUGUGCGUACGUACGUUCGUAGAGGUGAGUGCACAUUGGUGCUUGUUGUGAGCGUCUGCGUUUUGUAUAUACCAUGUUUUUCAAAAUGAUAAUAUCCAACUGCAAAUUAAGGCACUUUCCACUAUUCACAAGCCACUUUUUUCUUCUCCAAGCAAUUGCAUAUAUACAUGUACGUAGUUCUCAUAGUGAGACUGUCCUUUUAGUACAACAGCGAGUAUCGUUCUUGUGCGAAGUUAUAGUGUGGUUUAAGCGCUCUUCUACGAUGUUAACAGAUCACUGCAUGCUUAACCUCGCAGAAAGGAUUAUUUCUGAAAAAAUUAUAUAUUAACUAGUUGACAAGCCGUUUACUAUUUUUUUAAUCUACCCUUCAGCUGGAUUCGUAUUUAACUUCCUGUUUUGUGCAUUCGUUAUGCAGCGUUGAGGAGAUUUUUGGUCGAUGCCGGCAUCUUCCCAACACAAUAGAUCUCAAUAUUGAGGUACGAGAUCCUCGAGUUGAUCACGAUAUACAGGUGAGAAGACUUAUACUUUGCUAUAUAUGUUAACAUAUGAGUAUAAUAAGCAACAGUUUGUUGUUGUGAUCACGCUAUCUUUCGACUGAUCCAGUCUUUACCACUUGAUUGUUGGGUAAACACAGCAUACACAACGGAGAAAAUAACAUCUUAGAACUUUUUAUGGACUCUAGCUAGGAAGUGAAAUAUUUGGUUUUAUACAAUGUUAUAUCCUAUAUUGAUUUAUUUGCAUUUUUUUGUAGUUUCUUUUGUGAACUUUCAAGUAGAAAAUGUUUCCAAUUGAUCGUAAAAUGGAUGCGUCCAUCCUCCAUCCACACACUAAAGCUACAAAACAGAAACCCUGCCCGGAGAAGUGCUCGCUACAGUGAAAUAUAUAUUGAUUCAGUUGUAACAUUGGCAAAGGACAAAAUUAUAUGGAGAAGAUAGUUGCCUUUUUCAAAAUACGUACAUCAGCAAACACCAUUGCACACCAAGUGUCCAAGCUUUGAUGUAACCUAUGAAAUAAAAGGUAAACAUAACAUUAGCGAGCGGAACAUAGUAGAAUGGCUAAAUGAAAGCAUUUAAGUAGCUAAAUGCCUAGAUGUAUGCACAUUACCUUUUAGUACAUUCUUUCUUCUUGCUGGAUCAUAUUGAAUCUCCUCUUUCCCAACUCAUGUCUUCUGGAGCAUCUUGUGAUGGAACUUUUAAUUGAGAUAAAUGUUAUGUUACCGAAGUUCAAGUAACCACUAGUAUCCACCAAUCACUAAGAUGGGACGUUAGGCUCUCUUUAAAACUGCUUUCCUCCACUAAUAAGAAAAAGCCUACCAGUGGCGGUCUGAAAAGGGGAUCGGUGGCGGGUCACUAGCUGGACUGGCACUGAUCGUGCGCCAAUGGCGGGCAUGUAUAGAACCGCCAGUGAUCUAUUUUCCGCGGGGGGGGGGGGGGGGGGGGGGGCAACGGGCACUGAUAGGCCCGGACAUAGCCCAUUAUAGCAACCCCAGGACCCGCGGAGGCACCCACAGGUCACCAGUGGCGGGUUUGUGUAAACGGCCAUAUAAAGGGGGUCCACAGUGUCCGGUUUCUGAAAACCGCCACUGAAGGGGUCAAUAGUGGCAGGUUUGUGUAAAUGACCAUUGAAAGGGGGUCAGCAGUGGCCGGUUUCUGAGAACGGCCACCGAAGGUGGUCAACAAUGGACGGUUUUUAAAAUGGCCACCGUGAAGGGGGUACAUGAGAGGAUUUUGUAGUAGUGCUCUCGAGGAAACCAAGUCCCCAAUCCACUAUGGAUAGUGAAAGAUCGGUAUGGUGGUAGUUUUGUGUACGUGAAGUUGAUUCACUCUAGCCGUUCCCACAUGGACUCCCUCUCAAUAGUACAGCUUUCCUACAGUUCAAUAUAAAUAAGAAGUCGUAAAUACUUCUAUGCUUCUUUACUUUUUGAGGGCGACAAAUCGUCUAUAGCAUUUGAUAUCAAAUCUGAAAACACUAAGUGCACGAUUUAGUCCACAUCCAUGUCAUGUUUUCAUUAACACCAAAACAAUUAGGGAUAGAAAUAGCCUUUCAGGAAAAAAAAUCUAGGAUCACCAUUACAACAUGAAAGGAAGCAUGCGACAAAUGAAAUGGUUUGAGCUCUCUAUGCACGACGUGAUCACACUAGUCGCCUGAUAGCCCCUCUUUAUUGUAUGGCUUUGUAUCCAACAAUCUGGUCUCCCCGUGAACACCUUGAUACCGGUCAACCUACGAAAACCUAGUUAGCUAGGCAUCGUAUCGUACCUUUUCCUUACAUGCAUUGUGCUUGAGCUUGAUGGGGAUGACCAUGCUUACCUCACGCAGUAAUCCUUCUCUUGAUCAUGGUUGUUUGGUGAAGGCUCUCAAUAUUGUCUCGAUGGGCGGAGGCAGAAAAAUAGUUUAACAGGUGCCAAAUCAGAAAGGACAAGAAUUAGGGAGGGCCAAAACACAUAAAUAGACACUUUGUAGUGUAGAAAAGUAGGGACCUAGGCGUGAUUGUCUCCCAUGUAUUCUCAAGCAUAUAUCUUCUCAGGAUGACGAACAGCUUCACAUAUAUGGUGUCCUCACUUGAGGGUUGUUCCUUCAAUGCACACCCAUGUGUAGCACCAAACCCUUAAAAAAUACUACUCCGUAUAACAUAGCACAUGGGUUAGUUCCACAAAGUACAAUAUAAAGUCUGUUACCAUACGAAUAGAUCACUAAAUCUCACGUGGUAUAUAUUCACGCUGGUGUGUACAUUGAUGUUGCUGUGUUGACCAACUUGAAUCUAAACCUUGGAGUUCAUCUUGGUCAACCAUCAUCUUCUAUUCUUCUGCAUGCAUGUUCUAUCUUCAUAUAUUUAAAGCCUCAAUGAAUUCUUUACUUGAAUUUCUUUCUCCAAAACUUGAUCACUAAUGGGUAAACUUAAUUAUGAGCUCAAUAUCAUGACCAUCUCUUGAAGCCAUAGCUUUAAUUCUUCAAUUGAAUUCGUCACUCUGAAAAAAAACUUAUUUACCGACGUUAUACUCCAUUUAUAUGUACAGCCGCAAUUUCAACUGAUGGUCUUAAAAAACAAAAUGCAACUGCCAUAAGAAAACAUCUAUAGUGCAUUGGAAUUCUGUUUAAUAUUAAUUACGGCCCUGUAGCCUAAAAUCAUGAAGUAAACCAGGAAGUUUAUCUUUUUCAUUACUGACCAGAUAUUUCUUUUUAAUUACAUCUGGUCGCUUGAAAUCUUGGAAAUAAACCAGGAAAAUUUCGAAACCAAAUGUUGCAUUGGGGUUCACAACCCGCUUGAGUUCAUAUUAGCUGAUGGUGAUGCUGGUAAAAGUUGGCAACAGACAGAGUUUAGUUCCAAACCUGCUUACCAGCAGCAUCCAUGAUCAUAUGUUCUAAAACCUGAUCAUUGAUCUAAAUUUUAAUUCCUUACUUGUCUGAAUCUUUUCCGAUCUUCUUUGGACAGAUUGAUCUGAAUGAGCAGGCAGCACCAGACCCACUAUCUGAUUUAAACCACUUUGCUGACUGGUGAUUUUCAGUUUUUCACACACAUUUGUAAACCUGAAUCGACGUUGUGUCGUCUAAUUUAGAUGGUAUAUUUUGUGUCAUUUCAGGAUCCUGGAAAUUGAUGUUAACUCGAUGGGCAUGGCUGAGCUAAGACGUUUUGAGGAAAUUGUUUCUGACGCUCUGACAGUUAUCAAGGUCAUAUAUAUGUAUAUGAAAUGGACCUGCAUUAUAAUCCCAUUGCAGAUAAUGUUCUCAUGCAUGGCGAAUGUGUUUAUAUAUACAAGAAGUUUGAGAGUUGCUUUUUUUUGUCUGCAGAACAAUCUGAGGAUGAAGGUGUCACAGCUCACCCAGACCGAGGUUAGUUUCAAAAGCUAUCAAAUCUCCAAAUUAAGUUCAGAACAAUAGAUCAACCAAAUUAAUAUCUAUACCCGGAGAGAUUAUAACAGUUGUGAUUAAUUAAACUCAUCUGAUCGAUAAGAAUUUAACAUCUGGUAGUUGGUAACCUUGUAUUUCUUGUGAGAGAAUCUUCUGACAGUUAGUAUUUUAAUUUUGGGGCUUAAUGACCUUGUAUUUCUCUGUCCAUGGCAAAAUUAAAGAGAAACCCACAGGAGAAAGCGAACAACUUGUCAAGCCAAGAAUCGGAGGAGUGAGACUCUGAGAAGAUGAUGGAGGGGAGGGCAUAUUGCAUAUAUACACUAGUUGUGUCUUCAGGUAUCGAUUUUUUGUCGGCGAAACGGCAGGGUCUCUGCUAUCCAUUGCGUCAUCUUGUAUCAAACGCUUGUAUUUUACAGUGCGUGUGUUUUCCCUAAAAUUAAAACCUAGGAAAGGAAAUAAUUCUGCAAUGUGAAUUCAGUACUCCAUCAUGUAUGGCCGGAGAGAAGAAAAGGCUGUCCAGCUGCAACGGGGCUUGGGCCGGAUGAAUUAUUGAGUUAGAGCGCAAGGCCCAGCCCGCCCGCUGAAAACGGUAGAGCGCAAGGCUUUGAGGUGCACGCGGCCACGCGGGCAGCACGGACAAAGCUAGGAGUUCCAGCGAGUAGCGAAACGUAGGCUGUACAUUCGUGAUAACGUUUACUUGAUUUGCUAGUUCAAAAUUUGAAGAUUUGAAGGCUGGCCUAGAGAUACAUGCAGAACCCCACUUGCCCCUGGUGCUCAUUUUAGCAAUGGGCAAUUGGGCUCCAUGAAAGUGAAACAAAGCAGCGAGCUUGCAGUGCACUUUCUAUGGCACACCACACGAGAAGCGAAUUCAAGUUCAAAGAAAAACAAAUCAUGCAAACAGCCAUAUAUAGUAUGCCUUGUCACAGUUUGCUACGAUAUGCAUAAUAGAUUACAGCAUGCAUCCUGAAUCCUACAGAACUCCAGGUCUGAUCCAUCUGCCUAUGUAGCAAAAAUAGAGGUGAAAUCCAUGACAUGGAUAAUGGAUAAGUAACACAAACCAACCAACCAAAAAUACAAACCCAGAGAUGUCACACAUGAAUAAUAAAACUUGGACAGGUUUCGUCAACAUUCCAGACAACAGCGUUAACCCAAGCAACGACAGUGCACAGGACACACAAGAGAAGAGAAAAUUCUGGCAAAUGCAUAUGAAGUCUAGCAAUUCCUUGUGAUAAAUUGCACCGGUUGGCAAUCAAACAAAAGAGUCUGCAGCAUCGUUCAGUAUUUCAUCGUUCUAACACAAAUCCCUGACCCAGUUCCUUGCUGACAAAGUUUUCGGUUUUCCUUAACCAUAGUUCAGACGGAACAUGUCAUUCUGCACAUAGAAGCUCCCACCAGCUGGCAGCAAAUGGAACAUCUGCAAAAAUAAUCAGUGUACCACAAGGUUAGCAAACACCAGGCAUCCUAAUAUGGACAGCAACUGACAUAAUUUUCAUUCACAUUAGGAUAACAAGGAACAGCAGUGUAUUUCAAUGGGCAAUCUCAUCCUGUCGGGACACGCCUAAUAGUAUAUUCAUGCCAACAGAGAGUGGCUACAAAAGAGCUGAACUAGGGGCCAUCCGAAAAUCAAGAACCACACAAGAGCAGACAGUUUGUAAAAAUGCAACACGAAGCAUCAUAUGUCUUGCCAAAUGAGAACUUGUUUGAUGAUAGGGGGGGGGGGGGGGGGGUAAAAGCUUGAUCUAGGUUGUCCUGACUCUACAUAAAAAUGUGCAGCGGUGAUUAUUAGGGUUAUAAUAGAUAGAUGACACACAAAUGUCAUAUCAGUUAACAUCACUAGCCAACUAAGAUGGCGAAGGGGUGUAGGUUAUUUCACUAGGAAAUGGGUUGACAUCCGUUCUUUGGUAGUCAUCAGAGAAUGUUCUCGCAUUUAUAUGUAGAAACUUGUUGCCCGUUUCACAUGCAGUAUACUCGACUUCAGGAGGCAACUCUUUCUCUCUCUAAAUGAGCAGCUAAAUAAGAGUACAUCACAGAUCACACAACCAUCAUCUAAUUAGUGCAUGGUAAAAUGAAAAUGAAAUGGUAGGCAAUGAAACUUAGAACCCCACCAAUGCAGUAGAUAUAUCACAACCUAAGACUCUGAAAGGCUACCUUCCAAAACUCUACUCCUUCCGUUCCAAAAUAUAAGGUGUAUUUCAAUUUCUUUGACCAAGGCUUUGAUCAAGAAUUACUUCAAUGAACAUGUGACUUGUGUGAUACAAAAUCAUAACCAUUAGUACUUUUGAAUACAAAUACAAUGAUAUCAAUUUAUUUCAGUUAUAUAUUAAUGUACUACUAAUUGUUGGUCAAAGGGAACGAAAUACGCCUCAUAUUUUGGAACAAAGAGAGUACAGAAAAUUGCUACAUAUACCACCCACCCCUCCCCAAGACACGUCAAGCACAAAUACUAAGUUUGUAACACUAGGGAGAAAACAACUCAUUAUUGCAGAUCAAAACAGAAUUCGAGCUCACAUAUGAGCCACGAAUCACACAAACCACAGCAAAACAAGCACAGUUGCAUAUCAGUCCUAAUUUCUCACAAUCAAGUGAACAAGAAGAAAAAAUCAAAAGCAUCUUCCAUCUCGUGGUGCUCCAGCAAGAAGAAAAUGAAGGGAUAAUGUUCUGCAGUACACACAUAAGAGUAAUACUUGAUCAGACUAACCAUUUUCUCAUAUUCAAAUUUUAUGCACCAGUUCAGAAAUCAUCCAUAAAUGUGAUCUAGUAGCCUUGAAAUCAUACCAAAAAAAUGUAGUAUUGAUGAAACAUCCACACGUCCAUAUUUCACUAGCAUGGCAAGAAUUGCACAGCACCAAACCAUGGGACAGGCUGGGACCCAAUAAAAUGAAGGAUCACACUUCAAAACACAAAACUAGCUAGAUUGGACCAAUAAAAAUAAAAUCCAAUGAUUCAUCAACGCACAUUACUAGUGAUGAAACAACCUAAAGCAAUUAGAAACAAAGAGCACGCUCACUACCAAAUUACCUGCCAUGAUAUGCUCCUCUGCCAGAUUGAGAAAAUCUAGGGACAGCAGAGGACGGAAGUAAACAAACAACUAACAGUAACAGAUCGUAUACACAGCUAGAUGCCAGCUGGGUCGUAUAACAGAUCAUAUAUGGAGGACACAGAUCGUAUAAACUAACAGUAGAGGAAGUAAAUCUGAAAACAUUGCUAGGAAAAAAUAGAACUCCUACCAAAAGGAGCAACCUAUGAUGAUAUAACGAAUAAGGAUAGAGCACAGCUCCGAGACAAAAAUCUAAUAACAUGGCAACUCACAAAACCAACACAAGGCCCGCUUCCGAACGAAAUAGUAAUUGCGCCCAAGUAUACUAAGCAAUCGAGUACCGCCUAUUGAUUACACAACGCUAGGAGAUUGAGCGGACCCAGCCAUCGUAACAGUGAGCACAGAUCAGAGAAACAAUUAUUCUGAACAAAUCGAGAGCCUUCCAGGGAAGGCCCCGUGACUGGGAUUUGGUACUGAAACGAUCGCAGGAGCAGUAACCGCAAACUAGAUCAGAUCAGCACGAGACAAGGACUAAACAAGGGAAGCGGAGGGAAGGGGAUCGAAUCGUGACCUGGGAGAACUUGAGGGGGUGCUCGCCGGGGCCGGUGGUGAUGGCGCCGGAGACGAAGACGAGGACGCCGCCCUGGGGCCCCGAGGGCUGGCAGUCGACGGUGUCGAUCUUGUGGUGGCACUGCUGGAAGGGGAGGGAGCCGAGCUUGCCGGCGAUGGCGGCGGAGCCGAGGAACUUGUCGCCCUCGAAGGUGAGCAUGGAGCCGUCCUGGUACAGCCCCACCAGCGCGCCGCGGUUGGCGUCGAACGUCUGGUAGUAGUGCUGCACGAACGCCUUCGCCACCGCGUCGGGGUCCAUGGCCUCUCCUCUCUCUCCCUCGCCGCGCCGCGCCUCGCCUGGGCCCUAGGGUUUGGAGCUCUGGAUGCGGCUUGGCUCGGAGGCGGAGCUCUUGGAUGCGGAAUGGGAAGAUGGGUUCGGGAAGGGGAAGAAAUAAUUGCUGGCUGCUAGUGAUCUGGAUUGGCCUUGGGGAGUUGGCGUGGGAAGGACGCUACGCACUCGGUGCUGGGCCCGUCGUUGGGAGGAAAGCUGCGUUGGGGCCCUACUUUUGUUUUUGUUUUUAAUUUUAAGCGGCCCAGCUGAGUGAUGUGUCCAGAGUGUCUGGAUUAUGGGCGCCUGGUGUUCAUGGGCUGGGAUUGGACCAUCAGAAGAAAAAAGAUCACUUUGUGUUCGUGUGCUAAUAAGGCCGUGUUUAUAUCGCUACAAAAAACGUAGAGGCAGUUUAGUCUAGUUUUUGAAAAAACAGAGCUUGUUGCGCGAGUUACUUUAUCAUUUAUUAUCGACUCUAGAUAUUGUGGUGAGUCUGCAUUCACUCUACCUUUGUGAAUACACUUAUUCUUGAAAUUUUACUAACCGAACCAUAAUAUUUCUAUCGAAAAAGUUAAAGAGCCUUAUAGACAACCUAACAUUCUUGCAGAAUAUAUAGCUUUUCAAUUAAAAAAUCGAGUUUCAUUCCGAAAGGCAAUAAAAAAAGCCAUUGAAUUAACUAAAAAAGCAGAUAUAAGGGGAGUCAAAGUAAAAAUAGCGGGUCGUCUCGGAGGAAAAGAAAUUGCACGUGCGGAAUGCAUCAAAAAGGGUAGACUUCCUCUCCAAACAAUUCGCGCUAAAAUUGAUUAUUGUUGCUAUCCAAUUCGAACUAUCUAUGGAGUAUUAGGUGUAAAAAUUUGGAUAUUCGUAGAUGAAGAAUAACUAAUCUUGUCUUCGCAUUCUGUGCAGUGAUAGAAUAAAAAAUGACAAGAGCCUUUUUUCCCGAAAUCCCUAAAAAAAAAAGAAAUUAUACCUCUUUCUAUAAGAUUUAAUGAAAAUUGGUAAAUCAUUUAAUAUAAUUGCUAUGCUUAGUGUGUGACUCGUUAUUUUUUUCUUUAAAAAAAGAUGGCACUCAUUUGCCACGAGAGAAAACACCCGACAUCAGUUCAUUCGUACUUAUCACUCUAGUCAUCGACAGCCAUAAGAGAAGUUCUCACAUUCCCAACCUUGUUCCUUUCCGAAAUACGAGAUGUUCAAUUUUUUGGUAAUAUCAAAUAAGUAUAUUACAAACAUAUCUAUCAUCUAGCUUUAAUAAAAAAACUACUCCCUCCGUUGCAUAUUCAGAGAUAGGGUAAUUUAGAUUUGUAAAUGUUCAUAGAUAGUCUUUCCGUUCCAUAAUUCUUGUCUCGAAUUUGUUUAAAAUGGAUGUAUAUAUUCUUAAAAAAUAUUUAGAUACAUGUAAUAUUUCGAUAAAAAUUAUGCAACGGAGGAAGUAGUUUUUGUAAAUAAAAAAAUCUACAGCAUCUGGAAGGAAAACGGAGGAAGUAUUACGAAACAAGUGCACCGAACUGAACUGUAGGUUUGGUUUGUAUCUACGCGCAGAAUUUGCCACGUCGCGAAAUUUUGACUCCACUGUCGUACGAUAGAAACACCCGUGGAAAAGAUAGUGGAUCCGCCGCAGCCCACAGCCCCACAGGACGUCGGGCUAGACGACGUAACAGUAGUACUCCGUACGUGCUCGCGGCUGGGUCUACCACGUGCUCGCUGCCGGGUCGUUAAAAGAGUCAGACAGGGAAACCAAAACAAGCUCUGUCCCGGCCCCCCGUCCCGUCUCCUUCGCUGGAAGAGCUCUCCCGGCUGCCGCGCGCUGCGACGACACGCGCGACGAACGAAACGAAUCCACACGUUUCGGCGGCCACGUCAUCCCUCCCAUCCACGCCCGCAGAGUCCCGACCGAUCGUGGCGGCGUCUUCUCGUCUCGCUAUUCACUACUCAGCCCUCGGCUCCGCGAUCGACAUCAUCAUCGCUGUGUUAAGAAAAGUUUGGGCCGGCGGGCGCCGCACAGUGUCGUGUCAAACUCCGGCCUUGUCGCCUUGCACCCCGCACGGGGGCCCUACCAGACACCGAGAGAGAGGGAGGGAGAGAAAGAAAAAAAGAAAACGAGCUCCAAAUCGCCGUGUCCUUUUCGGAGGGAGGACAACACAUGCUUAUCAGCAAUCAAUAGCGCCAGCGCCAGCGCCCAGCGGAGCCCGCCGUGCCGAUCCUUGCCGCUUCUCCCGAUCCCCAUCCCAAUUCCGGCCGCUUCCCCCCACUUCCCCGGGCCCCGGCCCGCUCGCAGCUGCUCCCUCGCCUCCAACACAAGCCCAUCGACCGGCUGCUCGCGCGCCGCCACUUCGUCUGCUUCGGAUUCAGUUCAGCCUUGAGUCUCGCUCCCAUUGGAUUCCCUUCCUUCCUUCAUACGGAGCGUUGAUUUGGGGCUGAGGCGCUGCUGCUGCCACUGCGAGCGCGGCGCUGCGGCAAUGGUGGAGGCGGGGAGCAGGGUGCGGGGGUUCCUGAGGAACCGGUGGCUGGUGUUCGUGGCGGCCAUGUGGAUGCAGUCCUUCGCCGGGGUGGGCUACCUCUUCGGCAGCCUCUCCCCCGUCAUCAAGUCCUCGCUCGGAUACACCCAGCGCCAGCUCGCCGGGCUCGGCGUCGCCAAGGACCUCGGCGACAGCGUCGGCUUCCUCGCCGGCACCCUCUGCGCCGUGCUCCCGCUCUGGGCCGCCCUCCUCGUCGGCGCCGCCCAGAACCUCGUCGGCUACGGCUGGGUCUGGCUCGCCGUCACCCGCCGCGUCCCCGUUCCCCCGCUCUGGGCGGUCAGUCAGAUCCCCUUACCCUUUACUUACUGCUCUGUCAAUUACUAAUCCUUCCGUUAAUUUGUUAAUCCUUCCGGGUUUUUUUUUUGUUCCUUAAUUUCUCGAUCGUUUCUGGCAAUUGCAUUGUUUGGUUGUCGCAUCCAUGAUCCCAUCUCGCCAUCUGUCCUGUACUUGCAUCAUCAUGCAUGUGCUGCAUUUUUCUAUCUAGUAUAGUGAUUUCUUUAGCUUCUUCCCCGUGACUUUCUCUUUGCUAAUUGAGGCGUGCACGAUGCUGUCAUCAAAAUCCCAUAAACUUAAUAUGCACUGCUUGGUGAUGUCUCAGUUUCAUGUUCAUGGUUUCUAUUCUACGGAGUACUGAGUUGAAGCUUCCGAGAUUGGGAUUGGAAACUAAUCACGUCCAGUGUCAGAUGCUCUUUUUUCUACAAUUAGUGAGCAUGUGAGGCUAGUUUUCUGAUCGUUUGGGAACAAGUACCAGACUUGCUUUUAGAAGGCCGCGGCGUCCUUGUGCUGGAAUACUGUUCCAGCUGGACUUAAAUGCCUGUUGUUCUCCCGAAAUAUCGAAAUGCUGUAUUCAGAAAUCCUUCCCAGAUCUUCGAUGGCUCAAGCAAUUAAAAACAAUUCUGCUGCAUGACAUGUACUAGUAUAUUUUAGCAGAGGACCUGUCGAAUAUGCUUCCUAGUCAUCCAGGCGUACUUAUUUUCUUCUUAGAAAAUGUCAGUGGUCGCUUUCUCGGUUUCCAUGCAUGCGCCUUUAGUUAACCUUCGCUGUACAGUCCUAGUUAAUUCAGUGUUCUAUUCUCGGGAAAAAAUCAGUGUUCUUUUUUUCCAGUAGAUUGAACUAUCUCCAGUCUAGAAACUUCACUAGUUCUAAAAUUUGUGGAUGCACAUUGAAAUUAGGAUUAGGAUGUCACAUAAUAUGCUUCGUUUUACGACAUAAUUCUCGGCGUGAAAUUUUGAAGAAAUAUAAGACAACUCCAGCAGAAACACAAGAGUUAUAAUGUUAUAACAUACUUAUGUGUAAGCAGGAAGUUCUUUUCUUUCCUUUUGAUACAAGAUUAGCUGUCCACGAGACAAAGCACAGCAUGUUGUUUUCAGUCACUUCUGAACCGUCCUAAAAAAAAAGUCACUUCUGAACUGAAAGUCUGACAGACAGUUCUCUUGCAUGUUCUCGAUAAUUAGAAAAUAUUUUGUCCUCUGAUCUGAUCGGACCUUUGUUUACCUAUUGUAUUCCUUAAAUUAUUUGCACGUUGGAUCUUGCACUGAAGUUUACCGUCUUUCUGCAGAUGUGCAUUCUAAUCUUUGUUGGUAAUAAUGGUGAGACAUACUUCAAUACUGCUGCGCUCGUCUCAUGUGUUCAGAACUUCCCCAAGAACCGUGGACCGAUUGUUGGUAUCCUCAAGGGAUUUGCUGGUUUGAGUGGUGCAAUCCUAACACAGAUCUAUGCAAUGGUACACUCGCCUGAUCAUGCUGCACUGAUAUUCAUGGUCGCUGUUGGCCCAACAAUGGUUGUCAUCGCUUUAAUGUUCAUCGUCAGACCAGUUGGAGGCCACAGACAAGUACGGCCUUCUGAUGGUAUAAGCUUCACGUUUGUAUACAGCAUCUGCUUGGUCUUGGCCGCUUAUCUGAUGGGAGUGAUGCUGCUUGAAGACCUUGUUGGCUUGAGCCAUCCGUUGACAGUCCUGUGUACCAUCAUUCUAAUGGUCCUACUGAUAGUUCCAAUAGUCAUCCCUGUGAUACUCAGCUUCUUCUCAGACAACGAUGAAAGUAUCCAUGCAGCACUGUUACCAUCACCUCGGAGAGAAGAAGCAAGUGCGUCAGUACCGUCGAGUGAAGAGCAACAUGAGGUUAUACUCAGUGAGGUGGAGGAUGAAAAACCAAAGGAAGUUGAUCUACUUCCAGCCUCAGAGAGGCAGAAGAGGAUUGCUGAAUUGCAGAAUAGGCUAUUCCAGGCAGCUGCUGUUGGUGCCGUCAGGGUUAAAAGGAGGAAAGGUCCACGGCGAGGAGAGGAUUUCACGCUGAUGCAGGCACUGAUCAAGGCAGAUUUUUGGCUUCUGUUUUUCUCCCUUCUGUUGGGGUCAGGAUCAGGACUUACCGUGAUCGAUAAUCUUGGGCAAAUGAGUCAGUCAUUGGGCUAUGAGGACACCCACAUUUUCGUGUCAAUGAUUAGCAUCUGGAACUUCCUUGGACGUGUUGCUGGGGGCUAUUUCUCAGAGAUUGUUGUCAAGUAAGAAUCCGGUAGCACCUCUGCUGACCUUUGCGUGCCAUCUGAUGAGUAGUAUUUUGCAUCAUAUUGAAUAUCAUUCUCUAAUCGCAACUUACGUAGGCUUUUCUGCAGCACUAAUUUUCUCUGUUUCAAAUACAGGCUCUACCUUUGUGAUUGUUAAUUGGCACCUCUUUUUCAGGGACUACGCAUAUCCAAGGGCGAUUGCCUUGGCAACAGCUCAAGUAUUCAUGGCAAUUGGGCACUUCAUCUUCGCGAUGGCAUGGCCGGGCACAAUGUACAUCGGCACACUGCUCAUCGGGCUCGGGUACGGCGCGCACUGGGCGAUCGUGCCAGCCGCCGCCUCCGAGCUGUUCGGCACGAAGAACUUCGGAGCGCUGUACAACUUCCUCACCGCCGCCAACCCGGCGGGCUCCCUGGUCUUCUCGGGCAUCAUCGCCAGCGGCAUCUAUGACCGUGAAGCCGAGAAGCAGGCUCACCAGCACGGCAACUCGGCAUUGCUAGCUGUGGUCUUCGACGCCGCUCCGGCCAUCAAGUGCGACGGUGCCAUCUGCUUCUUCCUCUCCUCGAUGAUCAUGUCAGGGUUCUGCGUCAUCGCCGCCGCCCUGAGCACGAUCCUGGUCCACCGGACGAAGGUCGUGUACACGAAUCUGUACGGUAAACCCCCCACAUGACGGGGAUGGAUCAAAGCUCCAAGAGUCAUCGAUCCUCCCUUGUUCUUCUGAAUAUUCUUCGGGUAGCAGCAGAAGGGCGUGAAAGUUUUGUUUUGCUGUGUUCCUUCUGUUUAUGAGCUAUACGUACAUAUCCUUAUGGCACCAGGACUACGACUACGGACACUACUGGUGGCUACGGAUGGGAGGUCGAGUAUAUCAUCAUCAUGGAGCAUCAAAGUGCAUGUAUUGGGUUCUUGUGUAUUUUGACUGAACAACAUUUCAGUGUUGAGCUGCAAAUGUUGCAUGUACAUAUGGUUAUAUGCUUCAUCAAUUUGUCACGGUGGGUUGUUUUUCAGUCGUCUUUGAAAACUGGUAGUACCACAUUAAUUUACCCAAGUUUAGCAAGUUAGCUGCACGGUCCAUUUUGUGUUGUUUUUGUGAACUCUGUAAUUUGGUCUGGCGCCUUCUGCAUUGGAUGGAAAUCGGCGGAGAGGCCGCUGUUUCAAAGAAACUAAUUGCAAAUUGGAAAGCCUGUAGGCCCGUAGAUGCCUCUGGCGAUGAUGCCACCUGGUCAGGUAGCUAUCUUGUUUGUUGCCCAAAUGGCUUCCGAAGAAAACCAUCCCAUCUCAAGAGCACGAGCUCAAUAAAAUGCAUCAGACAAGUCACGGCUUUAAAGAAGGUUUGGUUGAGACAAUGGUUUGACUAAAAAAAAUCAUUUUAUUAACAUAUAUAACAUGAAACCAUUAUUAUUAGUACUACAUAAGUAUUUUUUAAGAAUAAUCUAAUGAUUUAAAUAUAAUGUCAUAAAACCACACAUUGGUUAUUGGUCAAAGUCAUGCCUAUAUCAAAUCUAAUAUUUCUCCGUCCAACAAAAGAUGUGUCAAGUUUGUUAAAUUUUAGAUGUACUCCGUAUCUAACAUGACUUAGUGUAUAGAUGCAUUCAAAUUUGGUUAAAGUUGAGACAUCCUUUGUUGAACGGAGGGAGUACGUCAUGUAUUAUGAAAAAAAAAAAUUAUGGAAGUAUAUAAUUUAAUGCAAAGUCCUGAAUAUGUAGUCCAAUUUUAUGUGACAUUUUUGCAAAAGCUUCUGACAGUCAAGAAUUGAUUAAGAAAACUUAUUUCUAUUCUCGGGAAGAAAAAAUAAUGGGAAAAUAUGAGCUGUAAGUCGGUUGAUGCCAUCACGCAAAGUAGUUCGGCCGUCAUGAAUUCCCAAACGGACCACGGCUUCCUUCGAAAUCGAAUUGGGCCUCGAAUCAGAAUUGAAUCGAAUCCCCGCACCGUCCCCUCCAGUCCAUCCUAUCGCCGCACCGGCCGCCGCCGAUGGAGUCGACGACUUGCUGGUCGUGCGGCGAGGGCGAGGUGGUGCCGGACCCGGACUCCGGCGCGCUCGUCUGCACCUCCUGCGGCCGCGUCCACGACGCCGGCGCCUCGGAGUUCGUCCACCAGGCCACCUUCACGGCCGAGGGCAAGCUGGACCUGCGCACCUCCUCCUACGUCCACCACUCCUCCCACGCCCACUACCUCGACCAGAAGCUCGCGGGGGCCUCCGCCGUCAUCACCUCCACGGCCGCCCGCCUCGGCCUCUCGCCCACCCGCGCCGAGGAGGCCCUCGCCAUGGCCAAAUCCGCCACCGGCGGCAGCCUCGCCACCCCGGGCACCGCCUUCCUCCCGGCCCUCGCCGCCGCCUGCGCCUUCCUCGUCGCGCGCUCCCACCGCCUCCCGCUCUCCCUCGUCGAGGCCGCCGAGGCGGCCGGCUGCGGCGCGGCGGCGCUCCACGACCUCGCCUCGCGCAUCGCCUCCACCCUCUCCCUCCCUCCCCUCCCGUCCUUCGACUACUCCGCCGCGCUCGAGCGCGCCGUGCGGUACUCGCACCCGCUCUCCGCCGUCCAGGGUGAGAAGAAGGAGGCGAUCCUCUCGCAGGCCCGGUUCCUCCUCCGCUGCGCCUCCAAGUGGUCGCUCACCACCGGCAGGCACCCGCUCCCGCUUGUCGCCGGCCUGACUGCCCUCGCCGCAGAGGUGAACGGAGUCACCGGUGUGUCCGUGGAAGACAUUGCCCAGGACAUCUCCGCGGUGAUGCACACCAGCCGCCGCCGAUACAAGGAGCUCGUCGACGCGCUUGUUCAUGUCGCGCGGAAGUUGCUUCCGUGGGGCGCCGACGUCAACGCCAAAAACCUGCUGCUGAAUGCCCCGGUGCUGCUCCGGCUCAUGGAGAUGCGGUCACAGUCGGACCCAUCGGAACAGUUUCUCGAGAGCUUUGCUCCUGACAUGUCCGGCAUUGUGCAGACCUACUCGUCGGUGGACAACGACGAGUCCAAGUACCUCCAGAUUGUUCCCCUGGAUGAUUUGGAUUUCAACAAUUUCGGGCAACAGGGGAAGGAUUCAGAAGGUUCGAAGAUCUCAGAGGAAUGCCUGUCAGAUAUGUACCAGAAUGUCUUAAAGAAGCUGUCUGAGGUAAAGGAACUUGGGAAGUUUGGUAAAGGUGCUAACAAGAGGAAGCGGUGGGGGAGAGGUCUGGAGCUGGAUCCAUGGAUGGAUUCGCAGGAUGAUGGCUGGAUCAAGGACGCGCCUCUUGAGGAGGCAGCGGAUAUUGACAUUGGCUAUGAUGCACCUCCUCCAGCAUUUACUGCUAACAUAGAGCUGCAGAAGCGGAGGAGAGGACGGAUUGAAGCUGCAAAGUGUCGAAUCGAUGCAAUUAGGAAGGCUCCUGCUGUCCGUCUUGCAUAUGCAAACGGUUCACCCGCUGUUCUAAUAAAUGAAGAUGUCUGUCCACCGCAAAAGAUUAUUAGGAAGAAGAAAGGGCAAAAGAGAAUAGAUGGCAGGAAUCAUGAGAUUCAGGGCAACCGUCCGGCUGAGACGUCAAAUGCUCUGAACUGUCAGAAGAGACAGAAAACAGGCCCCUCUGAUGGUAUUGACUGGGAAGACUGUGUUAUCGAGCUCCUGUUAUUACAUGGUGCAAAUGAGGCAGAGAUUGAACAAGGCCAGUACAGAAGAUUAUUGGAGUUGCAUGUCUUCAGUUCAGUAAGUGGAGACAGAUGAAAACUUGGUGGCAUAGUGUCUUCAGUCUUUAGCUUUUGAUCAUGGACUUGCUUUGGAACAUUGGUUCUCACUAUUCUAAAUCGUGCGCAUUUUUGUGAUAGAGAAAUUUCGUGCCUGUGCGCUCUCUGAAGGUCAGUCAAGCUGAUCAUGGGAAGAACAUAUUGUGAGAGAAAUUAUAAGAAACGGUAGGAUUUUUUUUCUCCUGCUAAAAAAGGUAGAAAAAUACAACAUAGGAAAGAUACAGUCCCCAGAAAUUUUGACUGCAUAGUUGACUGGGGAUGUGUCACUUUGUGUACAUUGCUAUGCAGCUUGUGAAUGACAUACUCUAUUAAACUUGUAUUUGUUUUUUCUCUACUACUAUGAAGUAUGAACGUAUCAUGAUGACCUCACGAGGUGAAAAUGUGGCUUGCUAGAAAAUGUACUCCUCUUUAGAAAUAUGUGCUUCAAUGGCAUAUAAUUUGAAAAUGGUUUGGGCUAUACUUUUCUGUGCUUCUGACUUCAGUUUCAUAUAUGAAUUAUACCCAUUGCUAUGUAGUCCUUGAGUUUACUUCUAUGUCGCAUCUUGUAUCUCUGCCUCAUUCGAGUUAUGUUAGCAUUUAGCUGUCAGCCUAUUACAGAUCAUGUGCAGCGCAUCUUAGUAGAGGUACUCUGCUGAAACAUUCGCCUUACUGAUCAGUCAGUCAUGGUGUAAUUUUUACAUGUAACUUCGAUGUAUUUCUCUUCAUGUGCUUGACAUUGGAAUUCUAAGUUCUUACACUGGUUCAGCUGUUGCACUGCACGUAUUGCUACAGGGACUGGAUCUGUAUUCUGUAUGAUGUGCAAUAAAAAGUUCUGACAUCCUUGCAUGUUGGUUACUGUUUUUCCACUAAUCUUCACUCUUCAGGUCAAAGGCAAAUCCAACAGUUGAUGAUGCUAGUAAUUUGUACCAAUCAGAUACAAGAAUGCAAGCCUUUCUGGUAAUCUGUGUUCUGUAUGUAAGUAAGAGGCAUCAACGUGCCUCCAUAGAAAACGAGAGCUACAAGGAAUCAACGUUCCAGUUGUCACUGCCAACUUUAACUUCCAUCUUAUACUUUGUAUCUUCAUGGAAUGAUGGCCCGGUCAGGCGAUGUUUCUUCCAGGUCAGUAGUUCUGACUAAACUUUUCCAAAGGCCAGUGAUUAGUUUCAAAUUUUCAAUGCCUUGCAUCAUUAUAUGUUUUACUUUAUGGACAUAAUCGUAUCUUAUCCUUGUUAUUUCUUACAUGUUGGUGAUAAUACCGAAGUUCUUAAAAUCACCUAAUUGAUCAAUUGGUGUCUAGUUCUUUUUACUCAUCUUAUUUUGACGUCCUUACAUCACAGAUAUUAUCAUCUCUUGGUGACGAAUAUGCAUUUAAACAAAAACUGAAUCAUAAGGCAAAAUCAAUAUCCUUUGUUUAACAUAUUCGUUAGAUUAAACUUUUUUUUUUCUUAAGAGAGAAUCCUCAAUGGUAUUACACUCUUCAGGCUGUACAAAAAUGCACCCACAAAUCGUAAGCAAAAUAAAAAAUAAAAAAAUGGAAGAAGAAAAAAGAAGAGAAAACGACCCUCAAAUGUUGUAAACCUCACGCAAAAGAAUCAAACUCAGUAUAUGUAUAUCAAAUCCCCCUAAAAAAUGGUACAUGUAUAUCAAACUCAGACAAUAGAUCUGAAUUACAGUUGCUGCUGCAGCCAUCUAGUGGUUGAAGGCAGUGCAAUCUCUUCGGAUCUCUCCAGCGCUGCCGGUCUUCACGUCUACUCUUCCCAGCUUAAUCAUGGAGUCCACAAACGCCUUGAAGAACUGGUCCUGGCUCGCGUUGAAUUCCUCCACCGUCUUCUUCGACGCAACGUCGGUGUAGAGCACCUGGUCGGAGGUGAAGAGGCCGAGGCCAUUGACGAGGUUGUUGUAAUACUUGUUGUCGAAGGUGACGGGGCUGAGGGGGUCCAUAUUGACAGCGAUGGUCGGACCAACAUUGGGCGGACACGCCACCUUGAGCUGCUGUGCAUAGUACUUGUUGAAUGACGGGUCGGUCCGCAUGGUGCUGUUGUAAUUGUACAGCCGUUUUUUGAAGCGAGAGCAGUGCGCGAACCCGACAGUGUGCGCGCCGGAGAGCGCAACCAUGUCGCGCAUGGACAGGCCGUUCUUGUCGAAGAUGGCGGCGAGCUCCUUGACGUGCAUCUCUGGGUCGGGCAACUUUCCCUUGACAUCGCUGGCCUUAGAGAUGAGGCCGUCGCGCCGACCGAGCUCCACUGGCCAGUAGGGUCCGUAUGCCUGCAACCAAAUUGGACACAGGGUUUCAGAGCUGAAGGACAAUGGUGAAGGGGAAAUGGUAGUGGAGAACCGUGCUGCUUACCAGGUUUACGACGUCUCUGGCAGCAAGGGCGAGGAUGUCAGCGCACGAAACCACGCCAGGGCACUCCCGCUCAACGGCGUCCUUGACCCGGUUGACUGUGUCGUAGCCGUCGCCGGCGAGGGAAUCGUCGUCCUCUGAGUUUUUCUCAGCAUCAUUGUUGUGAGAGGCUAUUAGGACUGAAGCGUCACAGCCCUGCAAUUGGAGGUAAAUAAACAUUGUAGUCACAGUUUGCAAACGGCAUGAUAACAUGGACGAAGUGGCGCUAAACUUUGAUUAACUCAUGACGAUGUAUGGCCAUCUAUAUAACAAAUUAAAGACAUCAAAGUUGUUGCAAACGUCGAUUUUGCACAGCCUGUUUUGAAUUACCCUACCUUGUAGACUAACCUGUACUCACAUGAGAAAACAAUUUUUGUUUGAUCCCUUGGUAGCUGUUUGUUUUAGGAACAAAAAGUUUCAACAGAAAAUGCUUUAUGUUUUCGUUCCAGUAUAUAGGCUGCAAGUGGGCCCGGCAUAACUGGUUUCCAACGUGUGUUCACGCUCCCCUCAUCCUGUGUGCAGGUCAACCCAGAAAAGGGGGACACAAAAGAAAGGGAAACCAAGAUGUGAUGCCAGUUACAUGAUUGCCGGAACGCCACUAAACAUCAUUAUGCGCACGACAGGGGAGGCAUCCAAUCUUUAUUCCUUUCAUAGCUUUGAAAUGAUUCUGUAGCUGAUCAGCAAUCUACCUUUUUCCUAUAACAUGUAAUAGUUGAUGAGACAGCUGAAAUAACUCCCAAUUUCUCAUGCAGAUGCCCAGAAUGCAGAGUACAUCUCAACAACUAGGCCAAAACACUAGCAGCAGGGGCUGAAAUGAUUAUGGUCAUGCUUGGACAGACAGUCGAUUAAGGGAGAGAUCCGACAUGGCUGCAAUUUGAUAAUGAGGAUAGCAGAGAUAAAAAGUCGCGCUGGCACAUGCAUGGGGCUGCCGCAACCGACGACCACGCGAGCCGAUCGAGUUGUUCCUCCCACUAAACAAUGCAGCUAAGCUAAUUUCCCCCUUGGCUUUAACUAAUCUCGUUUCUUUGUCGCUAAUGUAUGAUCCCAAGCUCUGAAUCAUGGUCCGUUUGAUGAAGAGGAAUUGCUAAUGGGACAGCAGAAGCCUGCAGGCUACUACUGGACUGGAAAGCAGAUUGCAUCUUGGAGAGAGCUUUAUACCUUUUGGGGCAGGGAAAACUAUAAUGAAAUGCCUAGCUUGUUGAAUAAGAGAAGGGGGGGAAAGAGCAGGAUUCCCAAGCCUGUGCAAAGCUGAAGAACAGUUGGGACCAUAGCAAGAAACUGCUUGAUGAUCAAGGGAUCAAAACUCGGCCGAUGAAUCGAAUGCUGCAACUACGACCGUGGGCGUCAAUCGAUGCAGAGGCCAGAGCCGGUGGAUCGAGUCUCCUUUUCAAGAGAAAAAAGGGAAGGAAACAAAUGCUGCACAUUUCGGUUGACUACUUCACAACUUCAGAGCAUGAUUUAGCAAAUCAAGCAAGAAAGAACCAGGCGUGCAAUGCAAGGUUAGCAUAUCUGGAUGGGAAUGGAUGGACGAACUCACGUUGACGAGGCAGUCGUGGAAGAAGAGCCGGAGCACGGCCGGGAUGGUGACCACCGUCUCGUUCUUCUUCUUGGUGACCUCCCGCAGCACGAUCUUCUCCAGGUUGCUGCACGUCUUGCUGUAGUAGCCCGGCGACAAGCCGCUUGACCCGCCGUCGUAAGACGCCGCCUCGCCGAGCGACAGCAUCAAUGCCAUCGCCGCGACUACGGCGCGCAAGCUGAUUCUUCUCCGUUUCUCCAUGGAGAGUAUGAUUGGGUCUAGCUUCGACUUGCUGUGAGGUGAUCGAUGGAGGCCGGGAUAUGAUGUUGCUGUGGAGGCCUGGAGGGGGACACUGGACGCGAGGACCCGGGAGACGGAAUUAAUGGGGGAGAUUAUCGGUGAUGGGAGCUAGGGGAGGGGCAGUUUUAUAGUGGUCCUGCUAGUGCUAGGCUGCUAGCUCCUGGUCCGGGGUGUGGAUUUGGCCGGAACGGCCGCUUGCUUGCUUUCUGCUUAGGAUUUCCCCAAUACCAACGACCUUGAAGUUUGACGAAAGCAAGCUGGAGCGUCUCCGGUGGUUACUAUACCAAACGAGAUAGAAUUGUUUGGUGCUCCGUGAUUUGUUACUGAAUCGUCCCCCGAUUAGUAAAUUGAUCCCUUGUGUCUUGCAAGCUCACGCUCGUCGGUCGGUCUGUUUGUUUGUUUGUUUGUUUACUUGCUUGUUGUGUCUUGGUAACUCGGUAUGAGUGCUAGCUUGUUAAUCUAUUCAUCUAGUGAUCACUUGCUUCCUUGUGCAAAUUCUAAUGCCACUGCCCACAUACACUUCUUAACAAGCUCUAGCAAUUUCGUUAAUGUUUUCUUAGCAACUUGCUGCAGUACAAAAAUAUGGUGAUUCAGGCACACACUUUUGACUUUCACGAGCCCCAAUAAAAAAAAUUAAACUGUCAUGUCUCGUGAGUUCAGUUUUAACAGACAAGAACCAAACGAUUCUGGGCCUCUGGGGCUUUUGCGGGUUCCAUCCUCUACUGGGAGAAGCAUUCAGUAGAGGACUGCUACUCCAAUUCAUCGUCACUUCAUCAGGUCACUCCUUUUAAAGAAGUGUUCACCUACCCCAAACUUGACCCUAGUUUGAGGUUUGGAUCCCGGAACGGACGCCGGCCGCCAGACAGACAGCUUCUUGAUUCCGUCACAUGCGUCGUUAGACACACACAUUUGGCUGCUUGCUGGCUUAGAGAAUUACUACGGAUCUCGCCUCAUGUGCCUUGUCAUCGUGUGAUCCUGCGGAUCUCCGUUUCUUAACCACUUUCAGUUUCAGACCAAAAUUUCAUAAUAAAAGCAUCUAAAAUGGUUAUCAACUCCGGUAUGCCGGAACGGAAGGAGUACUGUAUACGUAUCACUACAAAGUUAACUAUAACUAGCUACUCCCUCUGUUUCAUAAAAAUUGGCAUGGUUUUGAACUAGUUUUAGUUUAAAAUCAUGCCAAUCUUUAUGAAACGGAGGGAGUAGUAUACUUCAAGCAACGCUAAAACAAAAUUAUCUGUUAAUGGCUCAUGGUCCUGACAUUGGCAUCGUGAAUCACGGACGGACGGCGAAUCGUCCAAAAAUUCCUCCAAACUUAAUAGUUGGCGUGGCAGAUAGUAAAUCAUGAUCAGAAGAUUCCCCACUCCAAAUCCUCAUCAUCCAGGGCAUGUAUAUAUGCUAUGACCUUGCCACCAUUCAAUUCAAAUCUCGUAACAAUCGAGCCCUUAUUUUCUCUUCUUAUCUCCUGAUCUCGUUUUCGUUUGCUCUGAUCGAUCGAGCAGUUAUGCUAAUCAUUGUUGGUGCCAUGUGGCAGCACUGUUGCACUAUGUGUACCUAAAAGUCAAUAGCUAGUCUUCGUCAGAUAUAUACUAACUGUACCGGGGGAAAAGAUAGAAGUUCAUCCAAUAAUUAAUUCCGGGGUAAUGGAGUCGCACAUGGCUCUUCCAACUGUUUCGUGCCGGAAUGGCCGAAUUAUUUGUAGGGCCUUUGAUUGAUCUUCUCGGUUUUGUGUGCGAUGACCAGUUUUAUAUAUAAUCGGGACAAACACAGCAAUGGCUAGCUGGGCUAAUGGCAAUAUAUGGCAUUGGAGUAUUCCAGAAAGUUAGUCAGCGGUCGUCUCUAUAGGUGAUCUUCUAGGAUAAUUGUUGUUUGUUGGCAUGGAAUAAGAAAAACAAGUAGUAGUAGUACUGAAAAAUGCAAGCUGGACCAACGGGCGAGCACGUAGUCCUACAUGAUGCGCGCACGACCGGCCGAUCCAUCCAUUCGUUAGCUUAUCUCCGUGAUUAGAAUCCAGUACUCCUUCCGAUCCAUAAAAAAUGUCGUCCACUUGAUACGAAAUUUGUAUUAAUUUAAUAUAAAAUGGACAACAUUUUUUUAAUGUACUGGAGGGGUGUAUAUAUACGGACUACUUAUCUAGCGUCGCUAGUUUUAAUCAAAGGCCGGCCCCGGCCGGACGACGAGCAGAGCAGGUCAGAUCAGGGCGGACGUCGAGCCGGGCAUGGCUCCCUUGGUCCUGCACAACGUGGGUGCAUGUCUUGCCAAUGCCAUGGCUCCCUUGCUGGCUGGCGGUGGCUUGCAAGCAAAUCAAAUGUGGUCUGCCCAGCUCGAUCGUCCGUCCCACACGCGUUUGAUGGAGACUCUGCCGCGGCACGUUCUGAAAACCAGGCCGAGCACGCGUGUGUAUACCGUCAGAAAUUCAGGAGGUAAGCGUCCAAACUGACAGACAGACAGGCAGCAGACAGACAAACAGGCAGAGAAAUUAAGCAAGAGGAGGAUGAAGAAGAAGAGGUGUGCGAGUUGGCGUCUUGGGUGCAAGCUAGUGCAGUCACGCGAAGCUAAAUUGAGCUAGCUAGCUCAUGGCCAGCCGAUAGCCAACAAGCCAUGGACAGUGACAGGAAGGGGAAAGAAAAAGAGAGAGAACAUUGGUCUCGUAUGUGUACAAGAGCUCUUCUAGUGUACCCUAAUUAGAACCAUUCAGCCGUUCAUUUUAGUCUAAGGGUUCAGAUGAGCAGUUACUCCUUAAUACUCCGAUUUGGGUGUGUGGAGUAUCCGAUGGAGUAUUCUCAGGCAGGGAUAAAAACGUAAUCAAGGAUUGUCCUUUUUCCAUUCCCCGUCUGUCCCGGUCGAUUCACUUCGUCGAGCCGCUCUUCUCCGCCAGCGCCGCAUCCCACCUCCAUUCCCUCCGCCGCCAUCGCGGCAGACCGCCGCCGCAGGCUGCCUCCCGAGCUCCCUCCGCCGCUGAGUCUGGUGCUGCGGCCUUCGCCUUUCCUCGUGCGCGCGUUCGAGGCCGCGGCUACAGAGCAGUUGCGGGACCGACGGCGACUCUGAUGAGCGGCUGCCUGGGCCGCGCUCUGCAACGUUGUUGCCGCGGUCACAGUCCUCGUCGAUGUGCUCAACUGUUCCGAAUAGACCGGGUGCCAGGAGAAGGCAGCGCCGGGAGGCCGUGUUCUUGUCCCCAUCGUUUUUACACUUUACACCAUGUCCUUGUAGUGCAAGCAGACAACUGAGGUGCUAUGCAUUGAAAGUGUCCGAUGAAAUUACCAAGUGGCGGUGGCUAGGGAAUGAUGAUGUAAUCACUCUGUAACUCAAUUGACGUAAUUGUUGUGCAGAGUAAAGCCAGUGUCCAGAAGAUUUACAUGGGUAGGGAUCCACCCAGCGUUUGCUUCAAUGAGAGUUCUUGUUCUACUUCUACCUCAGGCGUCACAGAUGAUGAAUGUUUCCUUUACUUUUUGAAGUUUGACCGGAGUUGAGGAAGAAGAGGAAGGAGGUGCUACGGUGGUGGUGGCCGGCGGCAGGGAACCAUGGGUCCUAUAGGUGGUCGCAGCUAGCACGUGGGAGAGGACUCGCCGGGGCCGGCGACUGGGUGGCUGCGGGGGGCGAAGAUGGCCGGCGCAGUGGCCGGCCGAGGCAACAGGGUGGCUGCAGGCGGCGGCGCGCGGCGAGGAGGGGCGAGGCGACGGCGCUCUAAUCGAUUAGGGAAGAGAAUGAUCGGAAGAGGGAGAGAAAGUCUAAUAUUUCGUACAGUAUAUUUUUUAUUUUUUGACAUUUUAUUGAUCUGAAAAUGUGAAAAGUCAGGACUGCCCUUCCCUGAUACUCCGUUGAGACUGGAUGGAGUAUUAGGUACGGGAGAUUCUGCCUAGUACAAUGUCGGUGGACAGUCAAAACAAAUCUCCACUCCGCGUGAAGAAAGAAACAAACACGAUCAUCAGCUCAAAAGAAAAAUUCAGUUCAAAACAAACACACACAUGCUGGUCUCAAAUCUCGAUCUAUUUUAUCCGGGGUGAAAAUAAACAAGAAGGAAAAACAGUAACAAUUGAGCGAUGAGUAAUAAGCUAACCAACCGAGAAAGCAUCGUCGUCAUUGCGUGGGAAAUUGCAGAGUAUGGAUAUAACAAACAGUGCAGAGAUAGAUCGUGGCAGAACUGAAGAAACGUGAGAGGCCGGGUAAAAAAGGAAAAGAAGACGUCCAUCUGCACGUUCUUCAGAGAGAUACUACUAUCUCUGUUCUCAGAAGAUGGACGAGAAGACUGCGGAGACCACCGCCGCCGCCACGACGCCGUAGCGGAGCCCCGCCGGAGCCUUGGAACCGGCGGCGGCGCUGUCGCUCAUCGGGGCGGACGUCGACGGCGUCACUGCAAGGAAAAGAUGACACGGCAAAGACAAAGUUAGUGCACGUACGUUCAGAUGGUAAUUGAAGCUACAAAUUACGUUAGUGUACGUAGGAUUCAGAGAACAACUCACUCUUGGAGGCGUUUAAGAACAUGGCGUAGUCCGGUGAGCUCGGGGUCAGGUGCAGCAGGUCUAGCAAGGAGGGAACAUCGUCGUCAGACAUUAGAAAUGUGUUGGAAAAAAAUUAUGAACCACUGUCAAACACUCUAACUAUAUCAGCACGAACUUUAAUUUAGUAAGAAAAGGCAAGUAAAUCUUAAACACCACUCCCUCCGUUCCUAACGUUGUUUUAGUGCAAACUUGCACUAAAACAGCGACAAAUAUUUAGUAACGGAGGGAGUACGAUCCAGUGUGACAAAUACUACUCCAUACUAAUUUUUACAGCGGAAUUCAUUGUAAUAACCAGUACUCUGUCUUCUCUCUUUUUUCAGAGAGGGAGAGAGAUCAGAGAAGCCGGGUAAUUACAGAGUGUACGAACAUGGGCUGGACCUUCUAGUCCAUUAAGACUCGGGACCAGUCCAACCGUUUCUGGGCCAAACAAGCACACAUGGGUUGCUUGGGCCAACGCGCAUAGGCCACGAGCUGGAGUGUAAAGAGAUGGGGUGCAAAAAUGAGACGGUGCCACGUCGUCUCCAGUUCAUACAUUUGUUUUCUCUCUACAAAAACCUCUGCUCAUGUAAAAAAACUGAUUCAAAAAAAAAAUCUGCUGUCCGGUUUAAAACACGCUGAAAUAAGUGUGACGCCAUAGAGUUCUUUUAGCUAAAAGGUACUCUCUCCAAUUCAUAAUAAGUUUCGGAGGGAGUAGUAAAUGGAACUUCCAAAUCAAUUCAUAUGCUACAUGCUACCAUCUUCAAUUCAAAAAUAGCUUGGCAGCAAGGGUAUGUUUGGUUUAACCCCAACAUAGCCCACACUUGGCCAAAGAUUUGGCGAAAAUCUGUGAGAGUGAUGGCUAGAAGCUCAUUGGUAACAAAGCAAACAAGCACCAAAUUUUCAUGUGAUGCCAAUAUUUUGGCUUGGCUAGAUUUGUCUCAAAACCAAACAGACCCUAAUUCUCCGGUUCUAAGAGAAAUUUUUCAAUCGUGAACACUAGCUGGGGAAUUAUUCCAUGCCAGUACCUGAACUCAGGUGCAAACUGACAAGCUGGUGUGGCCGUGUGGAGUGUUUGUCUUAACAGGCAAAAAGAAUUUUUGCGCAGGUUCAAAACUACUCUAUGUUUUCACAAAACUUAUAAGCUUAGCUUAGAGAACUCGGGUAUUUCUAUGUCUAACUAGAAAAAUGAAAAUUUGCCCCUGGAAAACAUGCUUUCCUUGCGCGGGCAACUUUGGGUUACCCACCGUUAGAGAGAUCGAUCCAGCUGGGAAGAGACCCAGACAGAGUUUCAAGCAAGCAAGCAAGUGAAGUAAGUAAAGCAAACAAUCAAGCAAGCAAAGCAAGUUCAAGGCAAGACGUACUGAUGCAGAGGGAGACGUUGGCUCCGGCGAGUUUGCAGGCCGUGGGGAGCGCGAGGACGCGGUCGAAGCGGAGGCCGAGCUGCUGGGUGCCGUGCGCUUGCCCGGCGCCGUGCACCUGCUGGAUGAUGUAGCACAGGCAUUCCGGCCGCGCCUUCUGCGUGUCCGAGAUGUCGCCGCAGCACGUGGAGGAAGGGCUCGGUUCGUGCCCCGUCGCGUAGUCCAUGCACUCCGUCAGGUGCGCCAUGUCGCCCUGGCACUUGCUCUGCGUCGCCCCCGGCGCCGCCGUCUGUGCCGUGGCCAGAGACGGAGACAAGGAGAGACACACGGCCAGCAGGAGUGCUGCGGCUGAUAGGUGGCUGCAGCGCCGCCGUGUCGCCAUGGCUGUUGUUUGUGUGAGGUGAGCUGUGUAUCCUGAAUUGCAGCUGGAGGAGGAGGAGGUGUGGAGGGAAGGACGGAGGGAGUUUAUUAUAGCGGCCAUGGGCGAUGGAGAUGGCAUGUGUGUGCAUUGAAGUUGGGGUGGUGAGAGUUAGAUGUUUGCAUUGAAGACGGACGGGCAGCCGCCGGGCUGGCCGGAAGGGGGCCGGUUUCAGUCACUCUGUCAGUGCAGUUGCGUUGCUGCGAUCAGUAUGUGCUUGCUAGCUGCUACGUGUUCAGCCCGGGUUUCACUUCUUCGGCUCGUCAGUCGUGACCGAAAACUACAAAAAAAAACGCGGUUCUUUGUAGGUGUCUCGUUAAAAAAAUUUACUACUAGCAAUAUUUAAAUCUCGAUCCAUGCAUCGUUGCCGUUGGGUUAGAAUCUGAGUGACUCCGUUCUUCCGUCUGCUGUUUUUGGAUUCUCAAUAGCUGAAUAGAAAGAAAAAAUCUGACCCUUUUUUUUCUCCGGAUACUAGUAGUAACUGUUAGUUGUCCGAGCUAAAUAAAGAUGGGAGUACUAGUAAUUCCCACUGGAAAUAUACUCCGUAUGUACCAAUGGGAACACAACAGCGUGUUUAAUUGAAGGCGCUAGCAGAGCAGUAGUUGCUCCGUCGUCGAUGAGUGGUCCGUUGGGGAAUUCCGUGGAGGGGCGCUCCCGUUCCAUCGAAUCUGCUGCCUUGAAUACUCCAGUUGAAUGCACAGAAAGAAUUAAGGCGGGUGUAAGUCGACGUACGUAAUGGCCGUUCGUGCGCCCGGCGGCCGCUAGCUGUUGUCACGCGCGCGUCCGAUGGAUCGAUGAGUGCAAAAGCAUUUCGGCGUGCAAGCAAGCAAAUGCGUUUUGCCCCGGCCGGUCCGCACGUCAUUUAAAUUAGCUCCAUUGGAGCGGGACGGGUAACCUCUCUCCCGCUCUGGCCGGGCCGGACAUGGACAACUAACUCCUUCCACACGCCUAACUAUAUACUCCCCCAAUUCUAAAUUUUUGUCGAAAUAUUAUAUGUAUCUAGACGUUUUUUAAGAAUAGAUACAUCUUUAUUUAGACAAAUUUGAUUCAAGAAUUUACAAUCAGAAGAAGUAGCUUGUCUAGUUGUCUGUUACAACAAUGAUUCCAAAAUCAACUUGCUUGACUAGCUAGCGUAAUCAUGUCCGGAAUUUCAAGCUCAGAUUAAAGUUGAUCUGCCGUACGCUUGUCUAGUUGGCUGUCAUCAUCUACUACUGUCUGAAGAACCAAAGCCUUUUUAGUUUUUAACGGUCGAUGCACAUGUUGCAUGCGCGGGUGCUCCAUUCGUUGUAGUACGACUCCAUGUGCAACGAAGGAUUUACUGCUGAUCCAUCACAACAACUGCUGCCGUUCGCUUCCAGAAUUCAUUCACAGUCUCAUUCAUGUCGCGCAUCUGCCCUGUUCCUGGAUGUUCACACGCACCCAACGGCUCCGAAAGCAUUUACACGCGCAUGGAUGGACCGGACCCAUUGCUUUCAUGCGAAAACUAGUAGCAGCCGCAUUUUGCUUGAAGCGGAACGAGUCAGACUAAGAUCAGAUCCCCCCUUCUUUCUGUCUCGGCUCGCACCCGUAAUCUCCUCUCCUACAUACCAGUGGCAGUGAUGGCGAUCCAAGAGGAAUGAAGGCCGCCACUGCCACUGGCUCGCUGGAGUACCAUUUUCAUCCCCUCUCUCUUUUGUUCCUCUCUAGAUCGACAGUAAGUAAGGUUUGUCAGUUUCGCCAACCGGAGAGGAAAUCGAUCACCAGAAGGGAAACCUGAGAUAGGGGUACAUAGAUAGAUAGAGAAAUUGACUUGCUGCAGCCGGAAUGCUGGAUGGACGGUUCAACAUUCAGUAGCAGUUACUGAUUUCAGGCCGGGGUUGGUUGCAAGCAAGGAAGAAAGGAAAGGAAAGCUUCCGGUCAAAAAAAAAAAGGAAGACAGGAAACGAAGCCCCAAGUGCGUGAGUGUGCAAGUGGCACGUACCAUACGAUUUCGUCCAUGCUUUCAUUUAUUGAAGAGAGAGCUGCCUGCAGGCAAGGCACGCAGGCAGGAAAGUCUGGGAUGGCAAAAACUCUUCUUCCUCUCGUGGCUAAUUGAAGCUUCUGUGAUGUGAUGUAAGAACCCCGUCCGCAGCAGUUCAGACUCCGGAGCUCGUAACGGAAUCGAGGCCUUGGCAGACUAACUGACCGUACGUGGCAAGUUGGGGGAAUCUGCCAAUCUGGUGAGUGGGAGCGACUUACCUGGCGACGUACGCAGGGUAGCGCACAGCGUCGUCGUCCUGCUACGUGCGAGGAGGGGUCAGAGAUGAAAUGGACCCUUCACUUUGGACCCGUAUCUGAUCCAUGUAAAGGUAUCGGUCAGGUUUUGUCUGACGACCGUACGUGACGAGUUGGGAAAAUAUGGUAGGGUAGUGCUAGCUAGCGUGCAGCAUCGUCCUGCUACGUGCGAGGGGUCAGGGGAUGAAAUGGGCCUUUCACUUUAGGCCCGUAUCUGAUCCAUGUAAACGUACUUCAUACUUGUUUUUUUCUUCUCUUUCUACUUUUCCCGUCCAACAAAGAAUGUCUCAACUUUGACUAAAUUUGAAUGCAUCUAUACAUUCAAAUUUUAACAAAUUUGAGACCUUUUUUGUUGGACGGAGGGAAUAGUUAGCUUAUCAAUUCUUCCACACACACACACAAAUUGGUCCCUACAAAUACCCAUCAAGUCAAUCUCACAUACUGCGUAGUACGUCUCACUGUGAGCCCAGGGCUUUUAGUUGCACGAUUUUGGAUUUUUUUUGGCCGGUAAUGAAAACUAUUUUGAUGGUUUUCGUGGUCUAUUCUCUCAUGAGUUUUAGGUUUUCUGCUGAUUUUCCAUCGUUGUUAUCUCCGGUACAGGUUUCUGUCACAUCAAACCGCCACAUAGAUUAUAUUUAGAAACACUUACGAAAGUACUCUCUCCGUUUCAUGAAGAUUGGCAUGAAUUUGAGCUAAAACUAGUUCAAAUCCGUGCCAAUCUUUCUGAAACGGAGAGAGCACGCAGCAGGGUUUCUGGUUGACAUUCGCAUGGUUGCAAUACGCUGCUAUUUUUUUUUUGCAGGUGUGCAGACGUCUUAUUAGGAAAGCACGUAGAGAGGCACAAGCUGCCUUGCCUAGAACAGCAAACACCACACACGCACCCAUUCAUGCCCGGACGUACGUCAUCGAUCCGGUCACGCCUUGUGAGCACCCGAUCCGAUAUUACAAGAUGAACUCGAUUUGAUCUAGAUUUGGAAUAUUUGUGUAGCUGCGAUUAACCUCCCAUCCACCCACACAGCGAGUUCGAUCAUAUUCCAGUUCUAUCCUAGCCAAGUCCUGUCGUAAGCCAAAAGCUAACCGAGGAAGAAGAGAGACUAAAUAGGAAGAUUACAGGCUUCACAUGAGCCACUCUCGGCCUGCAAGCCGCGCUGGAAGUCUACAGUCUCUGAUGGGCCAAGGAGUCGGCCCAUGUUCCUCUGUAGUCGUAGGGCCCGUGUCGAGGUCGCUGACCCCCCCCCCUCCUUGAGAAGCGGCUUGUCCCCAAGCCGGCGCACGAGGAAACUCCUGACGAAGCGACUCGAUAUCUUCCCACGUAGCGUCUUCAGGUGAAGUGUUGCUCCAUUGGAUGAGCCCUUGUAACACUGAACGGGCACCCCGCUGAUGCAAGCAUUGCUGCAAAAGACGAAAAGGAACUUGCAGAGCCAGAUCAUCAGCUGGCAAUGAAUCAUGUACCUGAUGACGAGGAGCAAUGCACUGACGCAAUUGUGAUACAUGAAAUACUGGAUGAAUGCGACUGGUAGAGGGUAGGAGCAGACGAUAAGCCACCUCGCCAAUGCGCUGAACAAUCUCAUAAGGACCAUAGCAGCCGAAUGCUAACUUAUGGUUGGAACGAUGGACCACUGAAGCUUGCACAUACGGUUGUAACUUAAGGAAUACCUUGUCACCAACCUGGAAGACACGUUCAGUAUGUUUCUUAUCAGCCUGAGUCUUCAUACGCUAACGAGCUCGCAACAAGUGUUGGCGGACAUACGCUAACACCACCUUGCGACUGGCCAACCACUGUUGCACAUCAUCAUUGGCAAUAGCAGAAUUUGCCGACACACCAAAGUAAUUAGGAGACUGACCAUACAAAACUUCAAAGGGGGACUUGUUAAGAGAGGAGUGCCAAUUGGUGUUAUACCAAAACUCACAUAAGGAAAGCCACCUGGACCAUUUAGUAGGAUGGGCACCGAUAAAACAACGCAAGAAACACUCAACUUGCUGGUUGACACGCUCAGUUUGACUGUCAGUCUCCGGAUGAUAAGCAGAGCUCAUACGUAACUCAGAACCAGUUAGCUUGACCAAAUUACGCCAAAAGGCACUAGUGAAGAUUGCAUCACGAUCAGAAAUUAGAUGUUUAGGCAUACCAUGUAACUUGUAGACAUUAUCAACAAAAGUUUCUGCCACUUUCUGAGCCGUGAAAGGAUGAUGGAGAGGAAUAAAAUGCCCAUAUUUGGUAUACUUGUCAAUGACCACCAAAAUGCAAUUAUAUGGUCCAGAAACAGGUAAUCCAUUUAUAAAAUCCAUGCAAACCAUAUCCCAAGCAAGAGUAGGAACAGGCAAGGGAGACAAGAGACCAGGGUAUUGUACCCUUUCAGGGUUGGCCUGCUGACAAACCUGACAAGCUUGAACAUGAUCCUUAAUGAAGGCUUUCAUACCAGUCCAAGCAAACAAGGAUUUAAUCCUGCGAUAAGUAACAGGGAAACCAGAGUGCCCCCCCACUGGACUAUCGUGAAAAGCCUGAAAGAUACGCAGAUGCAAAGCAGGAUCUUGGCCCAACCAUCAUCUACCCUUAUACUGAAGAACACCAUUGUGCAAGGUGUAACAAGGAUGAGAAUCAGGGGAAACAACCACUUGCUGGAGCAAUUGCUGAACCUUUGGAUCGUGAGCAUAACUAGCUAUCACAUCAUUGAGCCAAGAAGGUUGCAAAGCAGAAACAACCAACAAAUGGUGAGUGUCAUGAGGCCUUCUAGACAGAGCAUCGGCGGCAGCAUUAGUGGAACCUUUCUUAUACUGGAUUUUGUAAGUUAAACCCAUCAUUUUGGUCAACGCUUUCUGUUGCCAUUCAGUAUGCAAACGCUGGUCCUCCAAAUGAGAUAAGAUCUUCUGAUCAUUGCGAAUAAUAAACUCACCAGCCUGAAAAUAGGAUCUCCAUUGUUCAGUAGCAAGCAAAAUAGCCAGAUAUUCCUUCUCAUAAACAGACAAAGAUCUGUUCCUAGGGCCCAGGGCCUUGCUCACAAAAGCUAGUGGAUGGCCUUCUUGCAUAAGUACAGCACCAAUACCAACAUCACAAGGAUCAGUUUUGAUGAUAAAAGUUUUGGAGAAAUCAGGUAAAGCCAAAACAGGUGCAGAAAUCAGAGCUUGCUUCAGAGUGUUAAAAGCAGUCUCAGUUUUACUGGUCCAAGCAAAUACUUGCCCCUUCUUGAGUAUAACAGUUAAAGGUUUACUGAUAAUGCCAUAAUGCCUAAUAAAAUUUCUGUAGUACCCAGUGAGACCCAGAAAACCUCUAACUUCCUUUACAGUAAGUGGAACUGGCCAAUAUCUAAUGGUGGAAAUCUUAGAAUCAUCAGUAGCUACCCCUGCUCCACUGAUAACAUGCCCUAGAUAAGCAAUUUUCUGCUAAGCAAAUGCACACUUGGACAACUUAACCUUCCACAGAUGUUGAGCAAGAAUAGCUAGCACUUGAGCUAGAUGGGACAAGUGGUCUUCAUAUGUUUUGCUAUAGAUCAAAAUGUCAUCAAAGAAAACCAGAGCAAACUUCCUCAAAACAGGAGCCAAUGUAGUGUUCAUAGCACCUUGGAAGGUACCAGGAGCACCAGUAAGCCCAAAGGCCAUAACUGUAAACUCAAAAUGACCAUUAUGUGUUUGGAAAGCAGUUUUGUACUCUUCUCCAGGAGCUAACCUGAUUUGAUGAUAGCCAGCCUUAAGAUCUAAUUUAGAAAACCAAGAAGCACCUGCUAAUUCAUCCAACAAUUCAUCAAUUACAGGAAGAUGAUACUUGCCCUUGAGAGUUAAAGCAUUCAGGUGUUUGUAAUCCACCACCAUACGCCAGGUAUGAUCUUUCUUUUUCACAAGAAUAACUGGAGAAGAAAAAGCACUGUUGCUGGGCCUAAUCAUACCACUUUGCAAGAGUUCAGAGACCUUUGCUUCAAUCUCAGUUUUUAAAUGAGGAGCAAGUCUAUAAGGCCUAAUAGUAACUGGUCUGGCUCCAGGCAUAAGAGGAAUAGUAUGGUCAUAACUUCUUCUAGGUGGCAACCCCUCAGGUGCAGUAAAAACAGGAGAGAAUUGAUCCAACAGUGGCUGAAUGUCAGGAUUGAUAGGAAGAGAUUCUACAAGUAAAAUGGCAGAGAUACUGACCAAUGUCAUAGCACAUUCAAAUGGAGGAGAACCAGAAAGUGUAACUAAUUCACUCUUCCUGUAAAAGGAUAUCCAACGCUGAGCCCAAUCAACUUGCAUUGGACUAUGUUGAGUGAGCCAAUCCAAACCUAGAAGUCCAUCAUAAGCACCCAAAGGAAGUAGCCUGAUAUCACUGAAGAAUACAUGACCAGCACUAGACCACUGACACUGAUGAAGAAGUUGGUUAUAAAUGAUAGUUCCUCCACCAGCUACCUUAACAGUAAUAGGAGUAAUAUGCUGAAUAUCUUGCAGGCCUAUUGAAUGAGCAAUAUCCAAGAAAGUAUGUGUGCUAUCAGAAUCCACUAAGAAAAUCAGUGUCUUAUGCUGCAACUGCAAUGUUAAUUGGAAAGUAGGUGCAGAAGAGUCCUUGCCCAUAGCAGCUGUUGACAGAGAAUACAGUUGGCCAGAAGACUCUGAAACAGAACUGUCCUGAGUGGUCAAUCAAUUCCUGAACAAAAUGGAGCUGAACUGAUUGUUGACACUUAUGAUCCUUACUCCAUCUCUCACCACAAAGGAAACAUAAAUCCUUGGACUUACGGUAGUUACGCAGAGCAACCCACUUAUCCUCGGCCGAGCGCCGCUCUUCUACUGCUCUUGACCUAGGCGGUGGUGGAGGUAAUGGCAGGGGUUGUGGCUGCGCUCUGCGAGAAGGUACUGGCGCAAUAACAAUGUCAGGUACUUCACCAAGUUCUUCAUGCAGAAGUGUCAAAUCAUAAGCAUCAUCAAGAUCUCUGGGGUUCUGUAAUGCAACUGCCAUCCGAAUGGGAGGAUUCAGCCCAUCAACAAAACGCGUGAGAUAGUGCAGUGGAUCAGGUGUCUCCUCAUAAGCAGUCAAUUGAUCAAACAACUCAGAGAAUUGCUCAACAUAAUCUAGGACAGUGGAAGUCUGAGAAAUGCGGAACAUCUGAUGAAUCAAAGCCUGAUGCUGAUUGCAACUAAAUCGGCCAUGCAAUUGCAAACAAAAUUCGGACCAAUUUGCUUGAGGAAAACGGCGUUGGAAGGAUUCAAGCCAACGAGCAGCAGCACCAUCGAAAUUUGCAGAAGCAUAAGGAAUCCACAAACUAGAAGGAGUACCUCAGAGAGUGAAAUAAUCCUCACACCUAGUCUGCCAGAGACGUGGAUUGGUACCAUCGAAACGGGGAAGCUCCACUCGGGGACCCGGUGACUCCUUGUGAACCGAUCUAGGGGAAUCAGGAGGAGAGGAAUCUCGAGAGAUGGAUUUCUGGCGCGUACCUCGCGAAUGGGGAGGAAAGUAGGUACCACACCCCUUACCGCUGCCAUCGGCGCCACCGCGGCCUGCCUGCGUGUCAAUCGCCGCCGUCGCGGGCCGAUCCAGCUUGACGCCCUUGUCGACGUCGAUGCGGAGUUGAGUGAUGUCGAACCCCAACUCGUCGCUGACGGAGUCGAUCUUGGUGGUGAGGGAGUCGAGCUUGGUAGUCGUUUCGUCGAACAUCUUCCGCACGGCCUGGACCGUGGAGUCCUGAUGAUCACGAACGCGCUUGUCGAUGUUGUCCGUGAGGCCGUCCUUCAGAAGGUCGAAGAUCACACGCGCUUCGGGCGUGAGGCUAUCCAUGGCGCGUGCUCGCUGCCGAUCCUUGAAACGGGUCUGGUGGGGAUGAUGAGGAAGCUCCAGGAUCGGAAGGGCUCUGAUACCAGAUUGUGAGCACCCAAUCUGAUAUUACAAGAUGAACUCGAUUUGAUCUAGAUUUGGAAUAUUUGUGUAGCUGUGAUUAACCUCCCUUCCACCCACACAGCGAGUUCGAUCAUAUUCCAGUUCUAUCCUAGCCAAGUCCUGCCAUAAGCCAAAAGCUAACCGAGGAAGAAGAGAGACUAAAUAGGAAUUACAGGCUUCACAUGAGCCACUCUCGGCUUGCAAGCCGCGCUGGAAGUCUACGGUCUCUGAUGGGCCGAGGAGUCGGCCCAUGUUCCUCUAUAGUCGUAGGGCCCGUGUCGAGGUCGCUGACACGCCUUUAAAGGAUUAUCGGCGUUGGUUCCGCGACGAGUGCACGGAGCGGUGUGCACAUGACGAUGGACAGCUCAAGCUUCUCAGCCAAAUCCACCGUCUUCUCCGCCGCUUGCCACUCAAACUCCCCCACAAGGAUCCCCACCAUGAACUCCAAAUGCAGCAACGAGAGCUCGAUCCCGGGGCACGCCCUGCGGCCGGCGCCGAAGGGGCUCAUCUUGAUCUCUUUCGCCCCCGUGAGCUGCACGUCGGCGCCCUCCCCUCCCGGCAGGAACCCGUCCGGCCGGAACCACCGCGCGUCGGCGCCCCACACGCGAUCGUCCAGAGCCAUGUCGGCCGUCGUGAAGUUCACCAGCGCGUGUUUCGGCACCCGGAAGCCGUCGAUGAGGGUCGCGUCAUCGGUCGCCGUGUGCGGCAUUACUAGUUGCGCCGGCGGGUGGCGGCAGAGCGCUUCGAGGACGACGGCUUUUAGGUAAGGCAUCUUAUGGAGGUCCUCUUCUCGGACUCCGGCACCGUCGCCGCCGGACACGGCCUGUUGUUGAAAUAUGUUAAGCACCGUCGUUUAUUUAACGGUUUGAACUUUUGGGUGAACUAGUUAGGCGUGUCGAUUUUAUAUACCUGUAUCUCGGCUCGUAAGAGUGCUAUUCAUGUGGCGUGUCGAUUAAUAUGGAACGGAGGGAGUACACCGUAAGAGUUUUUUUACACCUUCUGCUUAAAACGCUUGCUCAGCUAAAUCGUGCUAUUUAGACCUCUAACCUGGAAGCCGAUGACGGACGUCGUGAACUCCCUCUGCACGGCCUCCACGGCCGCGACCACGCCAUCGUCUUCGCCGAGCCCGUCGCCAAAGCACAUGCUGACGAGCACGUGGUACAAGGCGCGAUGAAGGAGCCCCUCGAUGACCACCACGCCAUUCAUCUGGCGCUUGACGCCGGCGACGAGCACGCCCGCGGCGCGGCGGCGCGCGCCCGCGUACCGCUGCAGGCUCGCCGGGUGGAGGAUUCUGCCGGUGAGGUUCCGGCGGAACGCGCUCCAGAGCGGGCCGUAGCCGCAGGACGCGAUGCUGUGCUGGUCGCUGAAGAGGUAGCGGUUGGAGAAGGCGGCGGGCGGUCUGUCGCCGUUAGAGGUGCAAAAAUGUCACCAUUAGCCAUUUUUAGUUCAAAGAAAUAAACUAGUCCUUUUUUAAAAAAAUAACGUGAUUUUGAAAUUUGGUUGAACUAAGUAGGUCAGAAGUUACAACUCUACCUGUCGGCGAGCAGCGCGCCGCCCUGCACGAGAGCACGAUGGGCCGCGGCGCGAUCGGAGACGAAGAUGGUGGGCUGGGACGGCUUGAGGCGGAGCGUGAAGACCGGGCCGUAGCUGGCGCGGACGAGCCGCAUGAUGGUGCUGAAGUUGCCCCGGCCCAGGAAGAAGAGCAGGCCCGUGGACGCCAGCGCCGACGGGCCUGGUGGCAGCUCCGGCGUUGUCGCCGUCGGCCCUCCGGCGCCUACCCUCGCCGGACGGAGGUACAACGCAACGGCGGCGCACGCGGCGGCCGAGAGCAGGCAGUAGAACCAGUAGGAGUAGACGAGUAGUCCAUGUCUGAGUUGUUGACUAGCACAGACAGAUUAGUUCAGUCGGAGGAAAUGAGCUACAUCAGCUUCAGGAUUACACACUCCUUCUAUAUACUGCUGAUUGCCCAAUAUAUAAGUCUCUGCACAACACUUAUUAAACUACGAUGAUCAUAUAGUACGAGAUACCUUUUCUGUGGACGACCGUCACCAUCGGAACACGCGGUCCACGAGCUUCGGACAGCCCUGAUAUGAUAGCUACAGCCGGUCGUCACACGAGGUGCGCGUGCUCGAGAGAGUCCUGUCCUGUCCGUCCGUGUGUCCACGUCUUGUGUAAAUUAAGGUGUUUUUCCUUACUCUCACUCUCACUCGCACGACACGAGAGCUUAUUAUAAGCGCACGCAUAUUUAUUUCCCCAUGAUCACACGCGACAACGGGAUACGAGAGUGUGCGUGCAUGUCUCGAUCCACCAUCCAUCCCGUACCGUAAAAUGCAUAGUCGGAGUACAUACAUAUGCUUUCGAUCUCUUCUUCAGUUCGGACCAAUUAAAGCAGGCCUAGCUUACGUGCGUGCUCCGUGGAAAAAGAGCGCCCGCCGAAACAGACGCACAGGAGGGGAAGGCCCACGAACCAACGUUCCUGAGCCUUAUCCCGAACGGAUCACGUCCUGAUCGGGGGCAAUAACCGACUCAUUGGUUCUGACCCCCCGUCACACAGCGCCAUAUAAAAAGAAAUUAGCUGGCCCUCUCUCGUCGACCUAAGUUCGCGUGAGAUUUCGUCUAAUCCCAACAACUCUUGUUCACCCUACCGAUCAGGGAGGCGCUGGAGUGCUCGGGAAGACCCAAGAACCAUGACGUCCUCUCCCGUCAUCGACCAGUGCCGAUACAGGCCGGAGGGACGCCGUUACCUCCAUCGUACGACUACUUCCUCUACGGCAUCUCCGACCAUGGCGUCCUCCUCCAUCGCAUGUAUGACUAUAUCUUCUCUAAUCUCUCUUCUGUAGUGCUCUUUUGAUGGCCAGUGGAAGUUUAGGUUUAACCUAAUGAUCAUUUAGUUCUAACAUUGGUGCUCGCUCCGGAAAAGACGGGAGAAGGGGAUGAGACUGACGGGCGGCUAGGGUUGCGGGGCAAUUUUGUCCCGUGGGGAGGAAGUCUCAGCCGUUGCAGCUGGGGAUCACGCAGGGCACCAACUUGGCCUGCGGAAGGAUCAUGGGCCCAUUCUAGCCACGGGCUUCGGCCCAAGUUAAAAAGGCCACGCAAUUCUUUUUUUAUUAUCCGCUGCGCCCGCGCGGGGAAUCAAGUGGGCCGGCCCAGUUUCGGCCAAAAUGAUGUUUUACUAUUUUUUUUCUUUAAUUCCAGUUACACUAUAAGAUGUUCAAUUAAAUACGUUUUGCACUGUUAAUUAAUGGAAAAUGGCCGAAAUUUAUUCUUGCUGAUUGUAAUUGGACACUUAAUUAUUCUGAAUGAGGUUGAUCCAACGAGAUACUUUAUUUGGAAUAUUUUAUUUGUUCUAUGAUGUUUACCUUUUAGGCAUCAAUUAAUGACUAAAAUUCUAAUGUAUAUUCUUGAUGUCUAAUUUGGUAAAAUAUUUUGGCUCUAAAAUUAAUUCUGACCAACAUUGUUUUAAUUUAUGAGCUACCCCAUUAUGUUUGCUACAAUUCUUUGUCUUCUCUGUCCAACGGUGAUAUGACUUAGAAUUGUAUGCUUUUGCAUGUUUAUUAAUCUACCAACGUAAAUUUUUAAUCAUGCAAUUUAACUUAUGAUUUUCUUAUGUUACAAUGACAGCCGCUACACUGAUGCGCUAUGAUAACAUUGAGGUACUGACGGGGAGCAACUUCCAGAAUUGGAAGUCCCAUGUCGAAAUGAGUUUGGGGGUCAAUGGACUCGAUUAUGCUCUCAGGGAAGAGAAACUAAGCCUCCAACUCCUGGAGUUGCUGGGUAUGAUGAACUUAUGAAAUAAAGCUAGAGAAGUGGGACAAUUCAAAUCAUGUCGCCUUUCUUGUUAUGAAAACUUCAAUCUCCCCUGAUAUCAUCGGGGCUCUCCCCGACAAGAGCACUGCUAAAGAAUUUCUUAAAGCAGUUGAAGAACAAUUCAAAAGUUCAGAAAAAGUAUAUUCUCGAGAGCUUCUUGGCAAGCUUCUUGAGAAGUAUGUGAUUGAAAGAAAUGUAAGAGGCCAUACCUUGAGGAUGGUGAAUGCAACUUCAAAACUUAAGGCUUUGGAGUUUGUCCUUAAUGAAAAUAUCAUAAUCUUCUUGAUAUUAGAGUCUCUCCCUCCAGAAUCUGAUCAGUUCAAGAUCAAUUACAAUUCCCUGAAAGAAAAAUGGUCGCUCACGGAGAUGACUCCUCGAGUUGUUGAGGAAGAACAGAGGAUCAUGAAACAGGCAAAGGACCAGGCUUUUCAUGUUGGCUCUUCCAAGAGAAAGCAUGACGGCCAGGCAUCUUCCUCAAAGGCCCAAAAGAAGAAAUUCAUCCAAAAUGAUACUAAGCUGCUCCAAAGGGCAAGGGCCAUGCUGCCAGCACCUCUGCUGGAGAAGUGAACAAUGCUCGCCAUUUUUGCAAGGAAGUAGGCCAUUUCCGGAAGAAUUGCCCUGAAUUCCUCAAGUGGAUGCUAAAGAGAGGGAUUAAGUUUGAUCUGCACCAUAAAGGCAAGAACAAGAAGCAUUAAAGUCGCCAAUGGGAAGGAAACCGAUGUUGAAGCCAUGGGGAUUCUCACAUUGGAGCUGCACACCGGCUUUCAUCUACAUUUGAAUAAUGUCCUUUACGUACCUACAUUGAGUAGGAAUUUAAUUUCAGUUUCUUGCUUGGACGAUAUUUCUAUUGCAUGUUUGUUUGGAAAUCAACGAUGCGUUAUCAAACAUUGUAAUAAUGACGUUGGUCUCGGUGUCAGACGAGGCAAAUUAUAUAUGUUAAUGCUUAAUUUUUUAGUUGAUGUUUUAAAUGUGAGUGAUGUUAAUGUUUUGAAUGAUGAAUGUAAUGCUGAGAAGAAAUAGAAAAACACAAGUACUUCUUCGAAAUUGUGGCAUUGUUGCUUAGGCCACAUUUCGAAGGGGAGAAUGGAAUGUCUUAUUAAAAAUAAAAUACUUCUCCCAUUAGACUUCUCAGAUGCAGACAAGUGUAAAUACUGCAUUAAAGAAAAAUAUGCAAAAACGAUUAAGAAGGGAGCUACAAGAGCCUUACAGGUCCUCGAAUUAAUUCGUACUGACAUAUGCGGACCCUUAAAUAUUAAGUCUGUAGACGGGUUUGAUUCAUUCAUCAUGUUCACGGAAGAUUUUUCCCGUUAUGGAUAUAUUUGCCCCAUACGCGAACGAUCUGAAGCUUUGGACAAAUUUAAGAUAUUUAAAGCCGAAGUUGAAAAUCAAUUGAAUGAAAAGAUCAAAGUUGUACGUUCUGAUCGUGGGGGAGAAUAUUAUGGAAGGCACGCUCCUUAUGGGCAAAUUCCAGGACCUUUUGCAAAAAUUUUAGCUGAAAACGGGAUUGUUGCGCAAUAUUCAAUGCCUGGUGAACCUCAGCAAAAUGGUGUGGCUAAGCGCCGCAAUCGCACACUCAUGGAUAUGGUGCGAAGUAUGCUCAAUCAUGCAAGUUUGCCAGUUAGCCUAAGGAUGGAGGCUCUAAAGACAGCUGCACACAUAUUAAAUCUCGCUGCAACAAAGUCAGCACCGAACACACCUUAUGGGAAAGAAGCCGAGUUUAAACUAUUUGCGUGUGUGGGGCUGCCCUGCAGAAGCAAGAAUUUUCAAUCCACAACUUAAUAAAUUAGAUCCAAAAACGAUAAGUUGCCAUUUUAUUGGAUACCCUCGUAGCGGAAAGGGAUACCGUUUUUAUUGUCCGGGUCACACCACUAAAUUUGUGGAGACCCGACAAGCGGUAUUUUUUGAGGAUAAUGAAGUCACGGAAAUAAGGGAAAUUAAUCUUGAGGAGAAACGAGUAUGUGUCCCGUCCCCGGCCAUCCAAGAGAUUUAUCUCCUAAUAUGAAAUAUUAACGUGACACGGAAUGUUGAACCUGAGGUUCGUCGCUCAGGCGCUCAACCAAAUGGAGAUCCUAAAACAGAAGAAGGUCCCCAGCCAAUUGGAGACCAUGAAAAUGAGGAUCCUCAACCAGAAAAUGAUCCUCCACCAUCACCUCCUGUGAGAAGAUCACAUCGUGAAUGAAAGAAGGCCAUCCCAGAUGAUUAUGUCACCUUUAUGAGUGAGGAUAUAAAUGAUGCUGGAAAGGUGGAGGACCCAUCCUCAUAUAAGGAAGUGAUCAAAAGCGAAAACUCGUCUUAAGUAGGUAACUGCCAUGGAGGACGAGUUGAAAUCUAUGGACACAAAUAAUGUUUGGGACUUAGUAGAAAUUCCCAAUGGAGCUAAAAGGGUAGGCUGCAAGUGGGUCUACAAAACUAAAUAUGGCUCCAAAGAGAAUGUCGAAAGAUUUAAAGCAAGGCUUGUCGCAAAAGGGUUUACACAGCGAGAGGGAAUCUAUUACAACGAGACUUUUUCUCCUGUGUCAUCCAAGGAUUCGUUUAGAAUCGCUAUGGCAUCAGUGGAUCAUUAUGAUCUAGAGCUACAUCAAAUGGACGUUAAAAUGGCAUUCCUAAAUGGCGAUUUAAAUGAAGAUGUAUACAUGACUCAACCGGAAGGUUUUGUGGUGGAAGGGAAAGAAUAUUUAGCGUGCCGUCUAAAGAAGUCGAUCUAUGUCUUGAAGCAAGCUUCAAGACAAUGGUACCUCAAGUUCGAUGAAGUCAUCAGAACUUUUGGUUUUACGGAAAAUGUUGUGGACAACUGCAUAUAUGUCAAAUUUAAAGGCAGUCGCUUCACAAUUUUAGUCCUAUAUGUGGAUGACAUAUUGUUGGCAUGUAGCGAUAAGGAUAUGCUGUAUGAAACCAAGAAUUUUUUGUCAUCUAAUUUUGAUAUGAAAGAUCUCAGUGAAGCCUCAUAUGUCCUUGGCAUUGAGAUUCAUCGAGAUAGGUCUAAAUGCACAUUAGGACUAUCACAGAAAGCAUACUUUGAGAGGGUACUGAAGAAAUACAAUAUGCACAAGUGCUCCUCCUCACCUGCUCAUGUAGUCAAGGGCGAUAAGUUUGGGACAUUUCAAUGCCCCAAAAACCAAAUUGAAACUGAUCAAAUGAAGCAUGUUCCUUACGCUUCAGCCAUCGGAAGCAUUAUGUAUGCACAAGUAUGUACACGCCCUGACUUAUCUUAUGUUACCGGGAUGCUUGGCGGAUACCAAUCGAAUCCACGACCAGACCACUGGAAGGCCACAAAGAAAGUCUUGCGUUACAUGCAAGGUACUAAAGAUUACAUGCUAACGUAUCGAAAAUCUGAUAACCUGGAAGUCGUUGGUUAUUCAGAUGCUGAUUUUGCCGGGUGUGUGGAUAGUAAGAAAUCCACGUCAGGUUACAUAUUCACACUGAGCCAUAUCGUGGAAAAGCUCCAAGCAAACUUUGACUGCUUCAUCUACGAUGCAAGAAGAAUUUGUAGCAUGUUAUGAGGUCACUGGGCAGGCUGUAUGGCUAAAGAAUUUUAUUCCCGGAUUUAAAGUGGUAGACAGCAUUUCUAAACCACUGGUGUUGUACUGCGAUAAUGAACCCACAGUUUUCUAUACGAGUAACAACAAGUUAAGUACUGCUGCCAAGCACAUGGACAUAAAGUAUCAUGUUGUGAAAGAUAGAAUUCAGGAUCAAACCAUUGAUGUGAGGCAUAUUAGCACUACAUAUACUUGCGGAUCCACUAACUAAAGGCUUACCAUCCAGUAUUUUUCGUGAUCAUGUUGCCAGCAUGGGACUACUGGAAGCUUAAUGAUCCUGGAAACUUAAGGGACCAAUAAAAGGAACCACUCCCAAUAAGAAAAAUGUUAUCUUUUGAAACAGGCUGCUAUACUAUAAGUAUUGAGUUUCAAAGACAUUUUAUCGGACAUUGUAACACCUUACUUUGGUAUGAUAUUCCUGUGAAAAGGGAGGAAUGUAUAUAAUCCUAACGAUCAAGGGGGAGAAUGUUGGUUGAUCUCGGCUUUGACCGAAACAGACGCACAGGAGGGGAAGGCCCACGAACCAACGUUCGUGAGCCUUAUCCCGAACGGAUCGCGCCCUGAUCGGGGAUAUCAUUGGUUCUGGCCCCCCGUCACACAACGCCAUAUAAAAAGGGAUUAGCCGGCCCUCUCUCGUCGACCUAAGUUCCCGUGAGAUCUCGUCUAAUCCCGACAACUCUUGUUCACCCUACCGAUCUGGGAGGCGCUGGAGUGCUCGGGAAGACCCAAGAACCACGACGUCCUCUCCCGUCAUCGGCCAGUGCCGAUACAGGCCGGAGGGACGCCGUUACCUCCAUCAUACGACUACUUCCUCUACGGCAUCUCCGACCAUGGCGUCCUCCUCCAUCGCACGUAUGACUAUAUCUUCUCUAAUCUCUCUUCUGUUAGUGCUCUUUUGAUGGUCAGUGGAUGUUUAGGUUUAACCUAAUGAUCAUUUAGUUCUAACAGCAAGUACUCACUCCGUUCAUAAGUGUACAUCUAGUUUUGUCUUAAGUCAAACAUUUUUAACUUUGAUCAACUUUAUUUGAAAAAAAUAGCAACACCUAUGAAAUUAAAUCGAUAUAUUAUAAAAUUAGAUUUCAAAACGAAUCUAAUGAAGCUAAUUUCGGGUCAUAAAUGUUACUACGUUUGAAAUUUCAAGAAAGUUGAUCAAAUUUUAAUAUCUUUAACUUAAAACAAACCUAAAAAAAUCCACAAAUUUGCAGACGGACGGAGUAGUCAGGAUCGGAGUCGAGCAUUCCAUGUGCAAUCAAAGACUAGUACUGGAUCGAGUCGAGCACUCCAUGUGCAAUCCAAUCAAAGACUACUUACGUCUUACGUGGCUGCUGCUCUCCAUGAUUCACUGCAAGCCUCUGCCCCUGCCCCUGGAUGCUCACACGUACGCGGAUCGGACCUGACCUAUUGCUUUCAUAUGCAAAGACAGUACCCGUCUGCUGCUGUUAACUUGAAUUAGGACUUGUAUCUUCAAUUACUUGUAGAAGAGAUUUAGUUGUUGGUGGGUAGUCCAUCGUAUUUCCUAACUGUAUCAUUUGUUAGUACAAAUCAGUAAGAGACGACAAAAAUAGUGUGUAGUAGUACCGUACCAUUCCAAAUCAGCCUAUCGAUCCAUUAUUUUAUGUUGAUGCGGAACAAGUCGGAUCGUAUCAUGUCACGUUCAUUCAUCAUUCAAACCCAUCUCUUUCUGUCCGUGGCUCCCAUCCAUAUUAAUUGUUAAAAUAUUACAUUAUUUAAAUAUGUUUUAGACAUAGAUGCAUCCAUAUUUAGACAGCCGGGACACAUGGUGGAGAGGUAGCACUAGCAGCAGAUGGACCGAAACUUCCUGAUGUGGAUGGAUAGAGAGAUCAUCAGUAAAUGACGCUCUGCUAGCGCAAGCAGAUCGAUCAACUGUGAGGAAACGAAUGAAAGGAACAAGUCCAAGUGCGUGAGUGUGCAAGUGGCACCUACGUACGAUCCCCGUCCUCGCUUUCAUUCAUCAAAGGGAGCUGCAGGCAGACAAGUCUUUCUUCAUCUUCCUUCUGUUAAUGCGAGACCCCGCAUCCGUCCUGUGCCAUCCAUCUGGCAAAUGUUAUUUCAUCAGGAAAGGAAGCCACUCCACAGUCCACAUCACGGUUGACUGCAUCUUGUGGCCAAGGGACGAGCAAUGGCUCACUCGUGCAAUUAACAAUCAGUGAUAGCAGUUCAGACUUCAGUUCGCAACUGUGUUUUCAAGCUCUUAACGGAAUCAAGGCCCAGGCUGACUGGCUGUGGCAACUUGGAAAAAAAUCUGGCGCAGAAUAGAUGCUAGCAGUAUAUAAAAAGAUCGAUCCAUCAAGACUUCCAUUUAACGCAGUUCAGUGGCAUGUUUCAAGCCCCGUGAGUUUAAUAACUCUCCCCGCUUCCUCUUGUGGCGACUGCGAUGUGACAUCUCAUUCAUCUGGCAUCUGCGAAUUCUUUGAUCAGGAAAGGAAUCUACACCGUUUACAGCCUAAACUUUUUCUCAGAAAAACAAUGCCCUAGCUUGUGCAAGGUUAGGUACCAAUCAGUAGGAUUGCAACCAUAGCGGUUCAGCAAGCAAAGCAGCCAUGUUUGUGUUUGGAACCUCUUAGCGUAAUCAACGUGAAGUAGAUCAGAGAAGGGGAAGUAGAACAGAUUCUACUCAAAUUGUAACUGUUGGGUUCUAUUUUUUUAAGGUGAUCAUGUAACAGGAAUCCACAAACAAGUAAUCGCAGGCAGUUCGGCAGUUUGUAUUACAUUUCAGCUAGCUGGGACGACGAGGACGAGCUUCCUAGUGUUGGAGUUAUCAGACCCUGGAUGUCCCCAGCUUGCGCUCGAAGAGGCGGCGCAAUAGGUACACCUGGAUGACGCUGGCUGCGAUCAGCGCCGCCGACUCGAUCAGCGCCUUGUGGACGGCCCGCUUGCUCAUGUUCUCAUUCACUGCACCACAGAGGUGUAGACGUGAUUAGACACGAGUGCGAUUUAACAGAAGGGUGAGAUUAUAUACACAAAGAAAGAAUAGCCACAAUACACUGACUGCUUCGAUAUAAGCUCAGCAUAGACUGAAGUUACAGUUGUUAUACAAUGAUUUCUUGACAAACCAUGGAACUUCGCUAGACAGUUGUGAUUCUGUUGAACCCCACAGAGUAAUGUACCAAGUUAUCAUAAACUGCGAAAUUUUCAGACAGUUUCAAGCUGAUUCUGGACAAUAUUAAAACUACUAUAUCAAGAAGAAAUAUCACAUCUACAAACACCAGUAAAUCUUAAAUUGGUUCUGACAGACUACAAACUAUUAUAUCAAGAAAAGAAAUGUCACUUUCACAAACACCAGGCAACUCCAAAUUGGUUCUGGCAGACUACUGCUUAAAAUUGAGACAAAGUAAAGUCGAACAGCCAAAAAACUGGCAUCAUAUCAAUGAGAUCUAGGGGCUAGAAAGAUGCCAUCCUUUUUUUAGGUUAGGAACAAACAUCUAAUAACUGGCAUUACUUAAUAUGCUGUGGAUGCUACAGCUGGUAAAUGCUGGUAGAUUCAGCUAAACAACCAGCGUGUACCUGCCUCUCAAUGAGGAACAAGCUAUAAUUGCACAUAAAGUAUAGGUAAAUUAAUAAAACUGAUCUAGUAUUUCCAAGACAAGUGAUAACAAAGGAUACUUACAUAUUGCUUGCCGGUCAGUUUGGGCCUCAAGCCAGUGCUGCUCGAACUGAAUGUUGUAAAGCGCUUCAUCUAACUUUGCAAUUUGUUCGAACAGAGGUGCAAAAUGUUCUGCAUCCAUUCCAAGAAAAACAAGGGUGACGGAAUGUUCUUGCUUUACCAAUAGUUAGGAAAUUUUCAGAAAUUCUCACCAUCUUUGGCAUGUUGUUCGAAAUAUGAAAAAUGACCAACAUGCACGUCAAAGUCUAUGGUUUCGUGAUAUGGGGAUUUAUUGGUGAAGCAGAAGCGGUGAACCCCUCUCUUCUGAACAAUGAAGUCAAAUUUAUCGCUAGUCUUGUCACGAGAAUCGCGGACUUGACCUCCAUUAGGAUCUUUAACCUGUAAUUAAUCAAGAUGGAGAAACAUAACAGUGGGUUAUGCUAGAACUUAAUGAACACAACAAUAAUGAAAUGUUACAAGGUGUUCAAUUUAGACUGCUAUUUUCGCUUGUAAUUUUGCUACGGUAUUUCCUGAUUGGUCUAUUUAAGCAACUAGAUCAAUCCCUUUGGGUUAGUAAUUUAUUGAGUAUGAUUAUAACUUUAUUCAGCUGGACUGUGAAAAACAACUACGAUUAAAGUUAAAAUUGUCAUCAGCCAUAUAAUAUUUUCAUACCAGCUACAACAAACCGACAAUGAAUAUAAAAAUAAACAACUUUGUGUCUUCUAUUUGUUUGUUUCAAAAAAAAAUGAUCCCAGGUCCAUAAUAUCGUGGUGUUAAUUUCCAUCCGAUAACUGGCAAAUCAUGAUCUUACAUGUGACCAGUGGGCCAUCAAUUUGUUAGUCUCUAUUAUAUCCAUUCCCUGUGAUGAAACCCUUGUAAUAUAUCUUGCCCCAUCCAUGUUUUCAUUGAACAAUACGUUCUUCCCUGCACCCUAUUCCCUGGUUCUUUUAAAGAUUGAGAUUGGUAUAAUCUGUAAUCUGCAUCCUAGUCAACAUAUCCUAUAUCUUUUAAGUGCUUGGAAUCUAUAAACAUGUAUGAAAGACUAAAAAGGUGAUAAAGUAAAGCCAGAUUUUAAGUUCACAAAAAAAAGUAGGAGUACUUCAAAUGCUAACAUGUCGUAUACUUUGAUAAUCUUUCAUAUUCUGCUAUUAGCAUGUGCUCUGUGAUCCAGAAUGGUAAGUAUCGUGCGGCUACCACAAUAUAAAUGACAAAACAUCUCUGAGAACACGCGAGCACAACUAUCUGUCAAGAACACUUGAGCUUUCCUUUCAGACAUCUACACAUACACGAAAAAAAGGGAUUAAGAAGCGCUUGCUUACAACAAGAUCCACCCCAUCCUCGCUAUAAUGCCACGGCGUGUCGGCCUUGAUCACCACGAAGGAUACAUGGACAGUGUCCCCCUCGUACUCCACGUUAUGCGAGAAGCACUCCUCCCUAUCGAUCACGAAGCGGAUACCCGCAGCCGGGCGCAAGAAGGGCAGCACACAGAGGACCACGAGGCACGCCGUUCUCCAACUCAGCGCCUCCAUCAUGUAUCCCUUACAACAGAAGAGCAACAACUUGCCGCACAGAGCUUCCUGCAAGAUACAGAGUUUCCAAAGUGUCAGCUGGAUCUCUCCGACCAGCCUCCACACAAGCACCAACAAAACAAAAUCUCCAAUUUUUCGUCUAAGGGGUUGCGUAGACAGCAGGGUUACAUUACACGGGCGUUUAUUCAACACGGGGCACCUGCAGUACCAGAACACGACGUAAUCGCGUCCUAGAUUACUCAGGCAGAGGGGUAACCGAUCCUACAGCGGGCGGCAUCUCAAAUCCGUGCUAAAAAAACCACGCCCGAGAGGCACUGAGCUACGGAAAUCGAUCGAUCGGGUUGCCGAUGAAGCCCUGCGCUACCUACAGGCGAAGCGGCCGGUUGGAUCUGGCCUCGUCCGGGAGUAACAUGUCCCCAAAUCCUGUAGAGGAAAUUCGGGGGGUAACAGGAGAAGAAGAGGAGCAGGAGGAGACUACUUACUCGCCGCCCGCCGGCAGAGGUCGGAGAACUACCGCCGCUCGCCCUCGGUUCUGGUCGGCGCUUCCGUUCCCCUUCUCGGCGAGGAAGAGGACGCAGUCGAGAGAGCCGAGCUGACCCUUGCGAAAGAACGCGACGCGAGCAAGCUUUUGUUUUGGUCUUUCCGUGGUCUCUCUCGACGCCGGAUUAAAAAAAACGUGGGCUGCCUGUAGCGUUAGGGCCUUAGGGGGGCCUUGAUGGGCCCAGUUAUCAGAUGGGCCUGUGCAUCUGUUCCGCUCCAUAUGGGCUAGCUAGAUAAAGCGGGCCAUCCAUUGAGGUUAGAAGUUACCGGUCCGUCUACUGGCCCAUAUAUGGGAGGCUGGAUUUGACGGCCCAUAUAUCUGAUCACAGGCUCGUAGCAAUUCACGUGCAACCCUGUCAUUGGGGGACCAAAUUAACGACGCCUUGUUGUUGGAUGGGAUCGCCUCGAUCGGCCGGCCGCCGCUGAAUCGAGCCUGAAAGGCUGGUAAUGAUAAGCGAUACGGUCCCGAGGAGAUCUUUUUUGAUUGAUGCAUGCAGGGCCGAAAGAGGCUCCAGAUUAACGUUGUUUUCCCCUCUCCCUGUCUCUAUCUCCCUUGAGCAGUGUGUCCUGCCUCUGCCGCUUUUUCUUCUCCGGGAACUGCUCUUUGUUUCUACGGAGUACGAGCGUGUUCUCUCCAUCGAGAUUUCGGUUCCUAGCUUGAUUUUACUCUCGUUUAUACUAUUUCCGUUUCAUAAUUUUUGUCUCAAAUUUAACAAAAAUGGAUGAUCUAUUUCUAAAAUAUGAUAUUUCGAUAAAAAUUAUUGAAUGGAAGGAGUAUACCACUAGCCGUGGCUCGAUAUCGCAAUUAACAGUCUCUCUGGUUCAUCGGUGGCCUGCCUGCCCAAUGCAUGAGAAUCAUGACAAUCCGCCUCUAGCAUUGCGCAGUGCAAUGUUUACACCUCUUAAUAUUGCUCGGAUCCAGGCUCCAGCAUUAGUACUAUAAUGAGUGGUAGAGUACAAAUUUUCAGCCUCACCUUUCCGUGCUUAAUUUGGCUCGCUAAUGGUGAAGAUUUUUUAGAAGGAAUUUUGAACUCCUGUUCACAUAUACAACUUUGUACUAAACGUCCGACACUUCUGAGAGAGUACGAUUCAUUGAUAUUUGGUGUUGAUUAUAGAAGGAAUGACUGAAUUUAGGCAAUGGUAGUACAUGACAUUGCAAGGUCAGGUGAUACGAUUCCAAUUUCCAAAUGCAUCGUGAGUGAAACUAAGGUUGCGUUUGUCAUUGCGGUGAUUCUCAUAAUACUUUUUUUCAUCCGUUUUUCACUAUUUUCGACUUUGGCUAACCAACUUUUACCUACUUUUGUGUGUAUUUUUUCACAACAGAUUAUAAGAUGAGUUUAGCGGCACAAUUCAGCAAUGCCAAACUGAACUUUAGAGAGGCCGCUGGCGGCAAAGUCUUGAUUAGAUUAGUACCAGUAGUAUACUGCUAGUACUGUGCAUGCAUGCACGCUUCGAUUUCCGCUGAAAUGCCAGAUUAUUGGUCACUUUACAUGCACUAAUUUAACCCGCAGGAUGUGGUGCAUGUGAUCGAGCGAUCAUGCAGGAUGAGUAUCGUGGCCGUGGUGCCGGCCGGUGGCACGAUCGCAUGAUCGUACGUACGUGUAUAUAGACCAACCACAACGUGCAUAGUGCCGGCCGGUUGAGUACGAACCACAUGCUACCACGCACGCACGCACGAAAUCAAUUAAUCCCGACCAAGCUUUUCGGAACUAAAAUAACUAAUCCGGAGCGCUCGGCCCAUCAGCCGGGCAGAGAUCCGCGAUGUGCGCACGCAGUAUAUGCAAUACAUCAUGUUCCAUCCAUCAGUACGUGUUUUCUUUGAUGCAUGCAUAUGCUACCGCAGGAUUGCAGGAAUGCAUAUGCGUGAGCAGUGGUGUUGUCCAGAGAUUCAGCUGGCUAGCUCGUGGACAAAGUAAGGUUCAAACUUUCCUCCUUUCAUUCAAAUCGAUUAAAAGGAGAUACUACAGCAAAAGGAGGAGCAUAGUAGCAUGCACGCACUGACUCACGCGCAUGCAUGCACGAGGGCACGAGGCUCGGCAUCAGCAUUCAGCAUUCAGCAGGCAGGCAGACGACCGAGAUUCCUCAAGGAAGGGUGGAGGGACGACGUACGACAGAAUCUUCAAUCUUCACUUAUUCUUCUUUCUUUUGCGGGGUGAUGUUGAUGCGAGUUCUAACUGCUCCCUCCAAUCGUGUGGCCAAUAGGGGGCUUGGCACCGAUCGAUCAAUCUCUGACGCUAUUUUACUACUCCACUCCGUAGUACUAUUAUAAAAAAAUAAAUCAUUUUACUACUGGCUAGCAUGGCAUUGGCCGGCUGCUGAAUAUAUGUUGCGUUUGGUCUGGGGUGCAGUGAGGAUAUGUAAGAGGGAAUAUUUUGCUUGCCACUGAUUCGUUAAGGACAGUCUGUUAGGAGUAGUACAGCAGCAGAGAGCGAGUGCGUCAUUCGGCUUUCAUGCAAUGCAUGUAUAUAUGCAUAUCCUUGCUCGAUCUCUUCUUCUCCCUGGUGUUAAACUGACAGGCACCGUUAAUUUAAUCUCUCAUGUACUACUACUAAGCUAGCGUGUUGUUUUAUCUAUCUCCCUCUUUGACUGAUAGUAUAGUGGUAGCAGUACAUAGCUAGCGUGUGGUGUGUUUGAUUUAACUUUUCAGUGUCCUUGACCCUGUUUUAUCUCCUGUUUGACUGCAAGUACCUACUAGCUAGCUAUAGUUUACGGCGUUAAGUUUGAUUAACUUCUCAGUGUCCUUGUCCCCUGUUUUAUCUUAUCUCCUGUUUGACUGCCUCUUUAACUAACUAGUGUCUGGUGGUCUGGUGUUUGGACAUGCGUGCCAUGCAUGUUACCACGCACGUACCAGCGAAUCAACUAGAUAGAUUAAAAAUCGUGUGUCCUGCGCUAUAGAUUAACUAUGAUGUCCCGCACGUAACAUACGUGAGUCCACAUUGUUGAGAACAUACAUGAGUGAAAAGUAGCAACAAAAAAGUAUCCAGUGAAAAUGUAUAAAUGUGUAUAAUGAAAUUGUAUAAUAGAUUAUAGAUUUUUCAUUAAUGUAUAAUGAAAUUGUAUAAUAGAUUAUAGAUUUUUCACUUAAUGAAAAUAGCUCGAUGAAAAGUAGCAUGCAUGCAUGUGCAAAAAAUAUGAGUUUUCCACUAAAUAGGUGUGAACAAAUUAAUGGUGUGAUGAUGUGGCGUGCACGAUAGAUUAUAGAUUCUUCACUUAGUGAAAAUAGUUUGAUGAAAAGUAUCAUGCGUGCAAAAAAUAUGAGUUUUUCAGUAAACAGGUGUGAACAAAUUAAUGGUGCGAUGAUGUGGCAUGUUUGCAUGUUAAGAGAAAUCAAGUAGUGGGUUUCUCCUACUUAGAUAUAAAAGAUUACUAGCUACUAUUAAUCUUAUAUUAUUACUCAAGUACCAGAGUAGUAGUAUAUGAGAUGAUGAAGGCAACGAUCUGUGUGUGAAUUAAUGUCAUUUCUCAGAAGUGUAUAUAUCUUGUGCACUGGGAACAAAUGCAGAUUAAGCAUAACCGAUCGACGACGACCCAGCAUGAAGCAAUUGAGGAAACACUCAAGUUGCAAUCAAAUUAACUGAAAAUGGUUGGAAACGGGCAAAGGCGGAAAGGGACCAAGGCUAGGCCAGCGAUCGAACCAAGGAAUGCGCCAAAUAAAGAGUACGUAGUAGAUAGAAAAAUAUGUAUUAUGUAUAGCAGCAUGGCAACGAUCCUAGCUGGCCCCAGAAAUAUAUACCGGAGAGAUUUGCUCCUCAAAGGGGUGUGUGACGCUGAGACAUACUUUGUUGGCCGUACGUGCAUGCAUGGUUGGAUCCGGCCAUAUGGGGAUAUAUUGGAUUGGGCGUGAGCAAGAAGACUGCUAAAAACAGACGCCGGGGGACCGUUUGCUAGAUCUCCUAUCUCCUCCUCACUCACCAUAUAUCGACAGCUGAUCCUGUCGAGAUAUGCAUGUGUGGAGCAAAUACCGUGCCCGUGCAGGCCAUCCGAUCAGGAAUCAAGGGCUGAGAUUGUCGUCGUCGCACGAGGAAGGAGAUACUUGUGUUUUUUGAUAUCUUCCUUUGAGGAUGGACACAAGAGUAGCCGUCAUAUUCGGCCGCGGUACAAAAAGAUAGUACAAAAAAUGCGAUAGAAAAACGAGGAUGUAAUUAACCGUGUUCGAUAUGCAACAAAGGAGGUCUUUUACUGUCAAAACAAAUAGUGGUAGACACACACCUAUAUAUAUGCUAAAUAAGUGGCCCAUUGUAGUUUUUAUAUGCUACCACUCCCGUGUUGCAAGAGAACAUGUUCUCUCGAAGCAAAGGCGUCUAAAGUUUUAAAAUUCACAAAUGGUCGUUGACCUUUUGCAACCAUGGUUGUUAAUUAGCAUAAUUAGAAUGCAACUUUGGCACCACUGCACGACCCUAAUCAGACAUAUAUCACCAGCCUGAUCCCAUUUUAGCGCUGAUCCAAGAGUGCAACAGCCGUGCAAGCAUAUCGUCUCUGCCUCUGCAGUUUUCUACUCAAAAGUCAACCAAGCAGCUUGCGAAUUCUGACACGUGAGAAAAUCAUACCCUCUAGAUACACCCACAAUACAAACUAACUGAUUCUACCAACUUUCGGAACAUAUGCAUUGAACUGGAUCCUCGUCGUUUCAACUGAAUGAACAUAGCAUAUAUGUGUUCUUCCAGUUAAAGCAUUGAGCAGCCAAAUUUGAACACUCGGAGAAUCUGAAUGAAUUGAAUGAUCUGUUCGGACAAUCUGCAUAGGCUCAUGCUGUCCCUCUGAUAGAGGAACACAGACAUGUUGUGCAAUGAAAUGAGAUGAAGUUAUGAUCCAAUUGGAGUUGGACACAGGGCCCACCCUGGGAUGAGUCUAUAUAGCAACAAUCAAGCAAUGUCCCAUAUGGACAUGCACAGAGACAAAGGCCACCCCUCCAUUGAAGAUGGUCUUUUCCUUUCCCCAAGCCAAACAAACACACCUCCCUUCAGACCAGCCAAGGGACACCAACCCAAAACCCACUGCCUGCCCAUACACAAGCAAAGCAACAAGACAGAUGAAAAUGCAUCCCAUGAUAAAAAUCCACAAGUAGGGCAUGUCCUCCCUCCCUCCCCCAUAACCAAAUAUAUAUACUGGUAGCAGGACUAGGUGAGCUUCUCCAGGCCUUCAUAGUACAGCAGCAGUGGAGGAGGAGAGUUCAGAGGGGCACCACCACCACCACAAGUACACUCAGAUUUGGGUGUAGGGGGGCGAGAGGUGCAAAGGAGAAGUAUCCCUUUUGCCUCAGCAGCACCUGCUGCUUUCUUCUUCUUCUCUUUGUGCAAGCAAUUGCAACAAGAAACAAUGAUGGCCUGUGGGUCUCGUCAUGGCAACGCCGAGGUUGUCGAUGAGUUUGAGAAGCUGGUCAUCAGGAUGAACCCUCCAAGGUUUCUUUUUCAUCUUUCUUUCUUUCUUUCCAACCCAAACCCCAUGUCUGUCCCCUUGUUUGAAUUGGGAACUGAAUUGGUUGCAGGGUGACGGUGGAUAAUGAGUCCGACAUCACCGCCACCUUGGUCAAGGCAAGCAUUAAAAAGCUUUCAUCUGCUAUCUGCAUAUAUAUACAGUUAUCUUGGUUCUUAAUUUGCAGGCAUUUUUCAGAGGAUUGAGUUGAAUUGUUUUCUGACGCUCUGUGUUUGUCGUUCUGUCUGUUGCUGCAGGUGGACAGCGCGAACAAGUACGGGACGUUGCUGGAGGUGGUUCAGGUGCUGACCGAUCUGAAGCUCACCAUCAACAGGGCCUACAUUUCCUCUGAUGGGGAGUGGUUCAUGGAUGGUGAGUGAGUGAGAGUGUGCUCGAUCUCCUCCUGUAAAGAUUGAGGAAGAAGCUAGCUAAGCUUGCUAGUAGUUAGUUCCCUUUUCUCGCUUUUGGUUCUGGGUGCAAGUAAAAAAUCUUGCCGUCUUUUUGAGCUCCAUCGUCCCUGAUGAGAGGGUGGGUUGCCGGGGGCAACAACUUUUGUGGGUGCAGUGUUCCAUGUCGUGGAUGAGGAAGGGAAUAAGCUUUAUGACGGCCAAGUCAUCGACAGGAUUGAACAGGUAAAGUACUUGCAAGGAAGAAUCAUUGCUCUCAUGCUCUCUCCCCCUCAUCUUAUUAGCUUCUGUAGUACAGCUGCCAGCUAACGAAUGGUUUCAGUUCCAAGAACAGAGCAAGUACAGAGCAAUGUCCUUCAGUGAGUGAGUUCACUGCAAUUGCAAUGCAAUUGAUUUCGUCUUGUUGGUUGUUUCAGUCUCUGGGAGCCGGGUCGCUGAGCUUCCGUGCCACGGACGCCGAGACGGAGACAGCGGCGGCGGCAAUGGCGCAGGCAACGGCGAUCGAGCUGGUGGGCAGGGACAGGCCGGGCCUGCUGUCGGAGGUGUUCGCGGUGCUGACGAACCUCCGCUGCAACAUCGCGUCCUCCGAGGUCUGGACCCACGACGGGCGCAUGGCCGCCCUGGUGCGCGUCACGGACGCCGACACCGGCGCCGGCAUCGAGGAAGACGACGACCCGGAGCGGCUCGACACCGUCAAGCGGCUGCUCCGCCACGUGCUCCGCGGCCGCGCCGCCGUCCAGGCGCGGCCGGGCGGCGCGCUGCACGCGCACCGGCGGCUGCACCAGAUGAUGAGCGCCGACCUCCGCAGCCGCGCCGCCGCUGCCGGCGCCGGAGACGAAGAAGAAGAAGAUUGCGAGGGGGUUGUUGUGGGGGUGGAGGAGUGCGCGGAGAGAGGCUACACGGUGGUGAACGUUCGCUGCCGGGAUAGAGCCAAGCUGCUGUUCGAUACUGUCUGCACGCUGACGGAUAUGCAGUACGUCGUCUUCCACGGCACCGUCAUCGCCGAGGGCUCCGAGGCAUACCAGGUAGUACAGCACAUGAUUAUACUGUUUAAAUUACAGCAUUGCGCCAUUGGUUCCUUCCUGUGCUGCUCAGCUCAUGCAUUGCAUUUGACCAGCUAGAGUAGCAGUAGCAGAGAGCAGUGAGCAGCAGAGAUGCUUGCCUGGGUUGUUAGAUACUGGUAGAUCUUGGCAUGUGACGAGAGGAGAGAGCAGAGAUCCUUUCCUGCCUGCCUGCCUGCCUAGUUUUGUGUGCAACACUUGACUGACUCACAACCAUCACUGUCCCAGUCCUGCAACACAAACAAACAUCCUUUUUUUCGCUCACGAGCACAUGCUGACGGACGGACGGAAUCUAAUCUCUGGCUGCAAUUGCGUUUGCAGGAGUUCUACAUCCGGCACCUCGACGACGGCGCCGCCGCCUCCGCCUCCGCCGCCGACCGCGCCCGCCUCCGCCGCUGCCUCCAGGCCGCCAUCCAACGCCGCAACACCGAGGUACAACAUUCAGACAAGAGCCUCUUCAGACAAACAAUAAUGUUUCUGAGUUCUGACUUUAAUGUAACUAACUGAAAGUGCCUUAAUCUGUUAGGGGGUGGUGGGGCUGGAGCUGCGGUGCGAGGACAGGCCGGGCCUGCUGUCGGACGUGACGCGGGUGUUCCGGGAGCACGGGCUCUCCGUCACGCACGCCGAGGUGGCCACGUGGGGCACCCAGGCGGCCGACGUGUUCCGCGUCGUGACGGCGUCGGGGGACGCGCCCGUGCCGGCGCGCGCCGUGGACGCCGUCCGGGCGGAGGUCGGCGAGGACAUCCUCUUUAUCAAGGAUGAUACCCUCGCCGCCUCCGCCAAUGCUGUGGGUGGGCCUGUGUCGCCGACGGGUCGUGGCGGCGGCGACGGCCGGCGGUCGCUCGGGAACAUGAUCAGGUCUCGGUCCGAGAAGUUCCUCUUCAACUUGGGCCUCAUCAGGUCCUGCUCCUAGACAGCUAGUAGUAGCUCAAGCUGACCAAAGAGUCAACGUCAACGACCGUUGCAGUGCAGCCACCACUAGGUAGCUUAGCCAAGCUAAGUGCUGCUCUAUGUAGGUUGUUCUUGGAUCGAUCAAUCGAUCCUCUUACAUUUGUCUGAGUUUUAAUUCCACUUCUCGGAUGAAAAGGAACCUGGCUAGCUAGCUUAGCUUGCUUGCGGCCGGCUUUCAUCACCAAAAUCACGUGUAAAUAUCUCUCGCUUCUUAAUUAAUUUGCUUUGCUGUUUAUGUGUGGAUUCAUGGGGUCGAGUUGUUUGUGUGCAACGGAUUAAGGAAAGUACUAACCAGGAAUUAGUUUAACCUGGCGUACAAGAGUACGAACGAGUUUACGACGACCGAAUUGGUGGGAAUCGAUCGAGGUCUUUAUGCGCAAGGUUUAAAGCAAGGGACUUUGUUAGCACUUAGGCCAAUGUGCAUAUAGUCAAAGGGAUGAUGCUUAAUUAGCGGCCGGCACGAAGAAGAAUGGAAUGUUCAGACCUGCUGAAGCUAGCAUUCAAACUGCAAAUCAUGGCCGCAUCUCCUAUUGCCUUUGGAAAUCAAAUCAAUGAUCAGCUUGGUUUUAGUCGAAAACAGUACCUCCUCCAUCCAACAAAGUAUGUCUCAACUUUAACUAAAUUUGAAUACAUCUAUACACUAAGUCAUGUCUAGAUACAUCUAAAUAAUUUUGACAAACUUGAAACAUCUUUUGUUGUACUGAGUGAGUACAUUUAUGUGGAGUUUCUAAGGAACAGACGAAUUCGUCAAGACGACAGAGGACAGUACACACAUGAGCUUAGCACUGGCGCGGUCCGUAUAAUGCAUACGGACGCACAGGCACAGCGAACGGCACGUGAUCCACACUUUGUAACAUCUCCCCCAAUAAACGAAUCGAAACAGUCUGCUCCUGUUGAACCUAGUGCUAAACCUCAGUGCCGCACAGCGGCGCGACGAAAACAAAAAUGAAAGCCGAACGCCUUUGCAUUGUUCUCGUAACUAACCCAAGUAACACUCCAUGCAAACCGGGUUAAAAAUUAUCUGAUGGUUACCUAACCGGCUUUUGCUGGUUAGUGUUUUGUGGUUACAUUUAAUCAUUUGCACCGUCAUUAAUUAAGUAAGUGAAGGUGUCCUGGUCAGUUAGCUUGUUAGUUUAUCUGGACAAAAUUAAACGCGCGGCAGAUGGUCCGGUGAGCAGUAUGGCUGCACGAUGCAUUUCUUUUGGGCAGACAACUUGUGAUGAUGAUCAGAAUUGAAGGGUAUAAACAGUAGCAGUACUAGCAAAAGGCACGAAACAGUGCUGGUUAACUUUCUACCACGUUUUAAUCCAAAAGUCUUUCUGUCUUUGCCGGCCGAAUUUUUUGCGGCAGUGCCCCCCGUUCAAUGUUUUUGUCAAUACUGGCCCCUUCCGAAAAGUAUUGACAAAACUAGCCUGCCAGAAAACCCAGAAAGCGACACGUGGACUUUUCGUCGAUGGCAUUGGCGGAAUGUACUGUACACGCACUGUAGUAGUACCAGCGCAUUGUUUGUGCAUUUGUACCGGAAAAUGCUUUUGCCCCCUUUCCGCCAGGCUACUUUUGCAAUUUCGUUUUGAAGGGGGUUAAAUUUGUCAAAAAAAUUUGGGGUGGGGGGGGGGGGGGGGAGGCUGCCGCAAAAAAAUCUUGCCGGCCGUACCGUACCUGCGUGGAGGGGAGGUGGGAUGUGCGUCAUUGUAAAGACGUCCCCGACACGUGCAGAAAUUAGCAAACAUCACUGAAAUUGCAGUAAAUAGUAAGAGUACAUCAAACAGUAGACAGAGAGCUCGAUCCAAAAUACUUGGUCGUUGAACCAGCACGUAGCGGAAACUGAAAACGGUUUUGUCUAUUUUUAAUAGGGUACCUUGUUGUCGUUGUAUCUAGAUUGUGUUUUUUAUGAUUCGAAACGAACGAUUGAUUAGUUGAGUUGGGAUGACAUCCAAAUCCAACAGCUCUGAUAAAUCGACUGAGAUUUAUUUAUUUUUAAAAAAAAUCAAGCAACACUGAAAUAGACACACCAAAUGAAAAAUAGUUGGGAUGUAAUACAAGAAUCAUUGCAAGGCAGGUGUGGGAGCCAAUCCUGGCGCUUUGGGGUCACCUUGACCGGCGGCCGGAGAGUGACUCCAACAUCGGGGAGUGGUGGGCCACUGGUGCUGUUCCGCAGGGCGCUCGGACAAAGUUCAGGACUGCGACGGCACCGGUGUUAUGGUCUAUCUCGAAGCAUCGGAAUGAUGUUGUCUUUAAUGGAGCUUCACCUUCUUACGCCCAGAUUCUACGCCUUAUCAUUGAGGAGGCGGUCUGCUCGGAGAGAGCUAGACAGAUUAGGGAUAGCUUUUCCUUUUCGACCCUUACGGUGGCAUUAUUACGCUAGCCGGUGUUGUAUCGGCCUCUAGGCCUCCCCUUCUGUAAACGAUGAUGUAACCGCUUGGUUGCAUUCUAUGAAAAAAAAACAAGAAUCAGCGUUGUGGAGAUAGUGUGGGUUGAUGUUGUCGGAAAUGCUACAGAACUUUCUUGUUUUGGUGGCAGUAGUUCUCGCCCAAAUGUGCUGGCAACUUGUUUUGAGCUUCGGUUGCUGUUGAACCGGAAUGGUUAGAGCAUUGUUGUUCAGGCUCUCAUAUGUAUGCGGAUAACUUAUCGGACACUAUGGUUUUCAUUAAUGAAACUGGGGAUUUUUUUUUUACCGGAAAUGUGAGGUUUGAUUAAAAAUAUUCGGUGCUCUGUUUUUUUUUUCAAUGCUCUGUCGUGAAUUAGUGCUACAUCAUAGAAAUGUCAACCGGUGAACGAAAGUGGUUUGCGUUCCCUGAAUCGAGGCUCACACGUCGGCGAUGGAACUCGUCAUCGAUCCUCAAACCAGAGGGUGCGGUAAUAACGACUAGACCUCCAAAUCUCCAGUCCAAGGCAGCCAGUUUCCAAACCGCGGCAUGAUUGGAAGGAAGAUGCUGGCAAUGAUUGGCAGCGCGAAAUCUGGAGCGCUCGUCGAGGCCAACCGACGACGGCCACCCAUGUUGCUGGGACACCUCCCAUUGGCUGCACCUGCACGCGCAUCGGGCUCGAUCGAUCUGCCCCCAAGAAAGUAGCAGUAGAAAGGCCACAAGUUGUUGUAAAACGGAAAGCGGGAGAUUCUCGUUUCGCUUACAGCAGCAAAAAGCUUCGGCUCCGCGUCUAUCGAUCAGGUCGAUAUAAUAGUCGUCGGACAUUGUGGGCAGCACGUCCUUAACAGUCGCGAAAUUUUUUCACAUUUUGCAGACGGUGAUUACUACAGUACGCAGGAGUACUCCGGAGCUUUAUUACAGCAUAAUGUUGGUACAGCACUAGGACUUGCUCGUACCCUGUUUCAGCAAGUACUCGCCGUAUAUGGCUACUGACUGACAUGCCGCUCUGACUGUACGUAUGCGUCCAAGAGGAGGAUAGGUAUGCAUGGAGAUGGUUAUCCUGCGGCGUAUCCCCUGGCGACCUUGUAGUUGCAGAGCCCUAUCUGAACCCCUGCAAAGCGAUGGGCUGCCCAUGCCUGCCUGAACGACGACGCAUGGCAUGGAUCCACCAACCGGCAGCCGAAUCCGCGUGGAGCAUCUCAAACCGCAGCAAACAGCCGCCCGCACUGCCGCACCGCAUCUGGCUGCAGCUAUCGAUGCGAGCGCGCGCAGUGGUCACGCCCCGGCGGCACACGGCACGGGCGGCGAUCGCGAGAGCACGCGCCGGCACCCAAUGAGAAUGAGGUCGCGCUCGCAGGCGGCCAGUCAGGGGAAUCUGGGCGGGCGCAAAGAUCCCCAUGCCACGCAGCGGCAGUCAGGCCAGGGGCGAGAGCGAGACGACGAGCCGGCCGGCGCGGGGCCCGAUGAAGAUAUGCGAGCGAGAUCGAUCGAUCCAUCGGUCGCUGGCUGGCUGCUUGUCCAGCCCCGGGGGUUUUGGCUUGGGAUGUCCGGCCGGCGGCAGGGAUCCGAUGCGACCGGGCCGGCCAAGUCGGCUUCCUCGUUGUUUCUCAUUUUUUUUUCCUGUCCGAUAAAAUAUGCCCCUCGUCGGUCUCCUUUCAUGGGCUGCACGCCUGCACGUACCACUACCGACCUAUAGUACGUGCUUGGCCCAUGCAUGUUUCACCGAUCGACCGACUGACCAGCACAGAAUUGUAACUUGAGGUGACGCACACUGCUGCAAAACACAACAUAAGUCAUUAGUGACGGGCGCACAAAACCCGUCACUCAUGACCUCUCAUCAGUGACGGGCGCAGUACGUCCCUCAUCAGUGACGGGUCCGUCACUGAUGAACCCUCAUGAGUGACGGGUUUUUUUCGCCCGUCACUGAUGAACCCUUAUUAGUGACGGGUGCGGAAAGCCUGCCACUAACGGCCAAAUAUUAAAAAUCACAAAAAUACACAUCAAUGGCGGGCUUUACAUUUAGGCCCGCCACUGAUGACCCCUUGAGACCUUUGGAGAUUGGAAAAUUCAUAACUAAUUCAUAAAAAAUUAGAAAAAUGUGAUUCUUUUUGCUGAAGUCUUAUUUUUUCUUGCUUAACAUAGUGGAAUAAUAAUAUCAUAUGGUAACAUUUGAAAAAAUGACAUGUGUAGUACAACCUUGUUAUUUCACAUAGUUGAACUUUAGGUUUUAACCCAAAUGGCCAAAGUUUUGUCAGUUUCUAUGCCACAUUUCAUGAUAACGUAUCCAUUUUUGCAAAAGGUGAAUCUUGUGAUGAAAAACAAUAUUGCCAAAGAGGUUUACCAUGUUUUGGUUAUAAAAAGUGAUUUUCCAAUUUCCAAAUGCAAAAAAUGAGAUAUUUUUUGAAGCAACUACAAUUAAUAUUGUUCAAAAUGAAACCUAUCCAUUUUUCACAAAAGAUAAACCAUAUUAAAAUUUAUAGGCCAAUUUAAUUAUAUGAAAUACUUCAUAUUACAAGAAGUAUGAAAAAUACAAAAAAAAAGUGCCUGGACUCAUCACCAACGGGUUUUAAAGUUAGACCCGCCACUGAUACUACUGGGCCAAGCCAUUUUAGGCCCGACCCACUUCUUCCUAUAUAAAGGGACAACUAACCCUAACUCCUUCCUUCAAUCCUCCGCGCCGCCAGCCUCCCUCCCCUCCCUAUCUCUCCGAUCUCCCUCUGUCUCCUCGCGCGCCCCACCAGUCCCCCUACUCGAUCUCCUCUUCCUCCCCGAUUUCUCUUUGUCUCCCUCCCCUAUUCUCUCCCCGAGCGUGCACAAGAUGGCCGCACCCACACCGGCGCCGCCCGCGCCUGCGGUGACUCAUGGCGGCCGCCAUGGACGCCUCCCCUCUUCUGUCCCCGAGCGCCCUUGUCUUCGCCAUCGCCGCCAUGGAGCUCCGCCACUGCCGCCCCCGAGCCCGUCUCACCCUUUCUCUAUCUCUCCGUCGCUUACUCUCUCUCUGACUCACUCACUCUCCCUCGCAGCCAGGGCUCCCACGCCGGCGGAUUCGGUCACCGCGGGCCGGGAUCUGGCCGCCCCGGCCUCCAAUAGGGUGGAUCCGGCGGUCGCGGGCCAGGAUUCGGCCGCAUCGGCCUCCAUGCCAAUGGAUCCGGCGACCCUCUCUCUCAGUUCUCGGCCAUGGCUAUCGCAAGUACGCCCCCUCCCUCUCUCUCAGUUCUCUAUUCCUCUUAUUUCUCACUCUCUCUCCCCGUCGGCACCGGAUCGGGGGACCCACUUUCACCGGCAGCGCGCGGGGCCUGGAGCACCGGCGGCGGCGGGCGGUGAGCGGCGGCACCAUGUCCUUGAGAAGCCGGCGAUAUUAUUUUUUGUGAUUUUUUAACAUAGAACGGGCUGCUUUGUGGAUUCAGGGCGGGCUUGGGGCCGGCCUCGUUUUUUCUUCUUCUAAUCCAUAUCAAUGUCGGGCGUGUAGCUUGACCGUUAGUGAUGAAGUCCCUCAUCACUAACGGGUGGACCACCCGUUACUGAUGUUAAGCACAUCAUCGGCAGGAAGUUAGUGGCGGGCGGUCCGCCCAUUACUGAUACAUUUUUUUGACCGUCACUAUUUGACUGUCACUAAUGAGUCUUUUUGUAGUAGUGCGUUCUGCCCUGAAACCCACGUGUAUGUCACGUGAUGGGCACAACCUUUACUUACACGCCGGUCGUUCCUCCACGUACCACAACAAGCGCAUUUUUUGCCUGUGUCAGCACAGAAACGAUCGACGGGAAAAUGUGGGAAAACAAUUUUCAUCAAUCCAUCUUCUCCAGCGGUCUAGCGCCCAUCCAUUCAUCCGGCCUCGUCCGCUCUUCAAAUUUGUUUUCCAGGACCAAAAAAUAAA